GAUUCUUAAUUGCAAAAGUGAGGAAGGCAGGCCCUUCUCCGGAAAGUAUUUGAGCUUGGGACAAUCAUAGAGUGUCAAUUUAGUGAGGUUUUGAAGAUCAACAAUUGAAGAAGAUAGGCUUUCCAGAUUUGGAAAAAAGGCAAUGCUCAGAGAUGUUAGAGAGGCAGGAAGAGGAAGCGUGGUCCCCAGUCUUCUGUCCUCUGGCUCUGGUGGAAAUGACACCAUGUCGUCAUCGCAUCCUCUGAUUAAAAGAUAUCGCAGAGAGGAGAAUCUGUGAAAUCCCCGGCCCCGCUCAAUCAUUGACUUCCAAAUCCCCAUAUUACCCUCAAUCCUCAGUGAAUGAAGGUUGGUGGGAAGGCCAUCUUCUUCAAGGCUUGGAAGCUCACCUCCUAUUAUUGUUAAUUGUUGAAGAGAGGUCAGAUUGUGCAAUCCCUUGGGUAAGGCCUCUAGUCUCUUACAAUCAUAUAUCUCCAGCCUCCUGAGUUUCGCACAAGGCAAUCCCCCUUUGGGAAAGGACUCCAGAUUUCCACAACCCCCAAUACCAAUCUGUUGAAGCUGGCACAGAUUAUGUAAACCACUCGAUAAAAUUUUCAGAUUUUCACAGUUAGAAAUGUUGAUUGUUUCAAGAGAUGUGUUGUUGUCCAACCUUUCUGCUAUUGACUGCAGCUUUGGACAUCCAUAAACAUCAAGUACCUUAACGGACGGAGGUAGAUUGCCAACUUCAAGGGACUCAAGCGUGGCAGGUAACUCGUUUUUUGAAAAUAUACAUGUCAGAGACGGACAACUGGAAAUUGCUAAGUUCUCAAGAAGAGAUGAGGUGUACCUUCUGCUGCUGCUACUCUGGAUGCCCUCUUCCACUGUCAAAGUCCUUAUUUUAUUGCACCUCUGGAUGUCCAACCUCUUAAGGCUCAGUGGUAGCUGGACUUCAGCAAUAUAUGUCAACGAAUGGCAAUCCCAAAUUUUCAAGAUCUCGAGAGAUGAACUAGUGUCGCACAUCCAUGGCUCUGGUAACGAUUUCAGUGCAUCACAUUCUCUAAUCUCAAUUUUCUUCAACUUGGAAGGCAGAGCAACCUCAGGAAAGGAAACAAGGGAACUGCACUUGUAGAUUUCUAUCUCUUUCAAGGAACUAAGGCUGAGAGAUGAUUGUGGCAGCUUCACAAGGCCUUCGCAAUAUCUCAAUCUUAGAUAUUCGAGUCUGCAUGACAACUCGCAGAGCUGCUGUUGUUGGUCUUUCUCUUCCUCCGCCACCAAGGAUUGAAGUUUGGGACACCCUCUUAUCUCCAGACUUUUGAGAGAGCAAAUGUCUUGUAGUAAUCCGUCAUGACUCUUCCAUAUAUAUGUUUGCUCUUUUGUCGACAAAAUUAAUUCUUCCAAUUUCGGUAGUUGUGGCUUCAACGGCCCCGCAAGAAACACUUGAUUUGAUGUAUCUCUACAAACCACUGAAUUCUGUGAUCCGAGAUGACCAGUUGCACUUUCCCACACAACCUUUUUGCAUCCACCAAUUAAGAAUUUGCAAAGAGUUGGAAGACUCAAAACUGAAACUAACAAUUCUUCACAUCCUUCAAUAACAAGCAUCUCUAAUACAGGAAGGUGUUCUGGAAAUGUUCCUCGCAGUUUAGGACAUUCUAAAAUGUGAAGCUCUCUCAAUUUAGGAAACCCUUCAACCCCUUGACCGGAUCCAUGAGAAAUCCAGACUUCCCAUUCUUGCAGGUCUUCAAAACGAAGAGUCUCCAAGCAUGGAAAUGGAAUUGGAGAGUCAUCCCCAUAGAACUCUGAACCCAAUCUCUUUACUCUACUCACUCCACGCACUGUAAGAUGCUUUAGAGAGGGCAGUUGCCCGACAGACGGCAGGGCAGUACACAUGCCGCAAUCUUCAAAUUCAAGUGUUACUAAAUUUGAGAAUAAGGAAUCUCCUAACCAUGUUGGAAAUUUUGUACCUCCAUAGCCACAGAUACCAAAUUGUUCCAGAUUUUUAUGGGGUUUGAGCAUGUCAAGCACACCCAUUUCAGUUUCUGCCUCCCUUGAAGAUGAACCAUCGGUACUGCGUGUCCAUCGAAGCAAUAAUUCUUUAAGAUUCUUCUUUCCAUCCAACCGAGCCUCCUUCGCAUUACCAACGUCUUUUACGUUCUCCAAUUUUGAAAUUUCAAGUGCCCCACGAAGAUGCAUCAACAACUUUAGCUCUGAUAACCCCGAACCACUGUCUUUUCCCACAACAAAAUUACACAACGUCUGAAGACAAGUCAACUUGCCAAUUCCUAGUGGCGUUUCCUCCAACGAAUCUGUAUUUGAAUUAUUGAGAUGAUGCAAUUUGAUGAGAUUUCCCAUGUCUGCACACAACUUCUUCAGCCGAUCACAAUCUUCCAACAAAAGACUAUGCAAAUUGUAAAGCUUGUUGACUGAUUCAGGCAGAGUUCUAAUAUUAGUUCCAGACAGGUUAAGGUACCUUCAAUACCUCAAAUCACCAACUGAAUCUGGUAGCUCGGAGAUGUGAUAUCCACGCAAAGAGAAGACCCUCAAGCGUUGGAGUUUGAGCAACUUAGGAAGAAUGCUAGGAGCCAAGUAGCCAGGCGAACUCUCUGUCAACAUUACUGGUAAAAAAGUUCUCAAAUGUUGGAUAUCAUACAAGUCCCCAAACCUUUUACCGCCAACAUAAUAUUCAGGAAUAUAUGACAGAUGACGAAGAUAUCGGGAAAAACUUUGUUGCUUGUUAACCUCAGAGGUAUACUCCAUUGUGAAGUAUAUUUCCCCUGCAGCCCAAUGCGCAAGGUCGUUGAUAAGAUCGUGCAUCACAAAUCGUGAUGCAUCGUUGCUUGAUUGCUGGAAAAAGGAUCUUGAAUGUAGCUCCUUAAAGAUUUCAAGACCUAAAUCUUCACCAGUUUUCUCACGCUCUUUGCGAUCCAAGAAGCCCGAGGCACACCAUAACAAAAUUAUCUCCCCCUCUUCAAAUUCAUAAUCCUUUGGAAACAAUGAGCAAUACGCAAAGCAUUGUUUCAAAGGUGCCGAAAGAUAAUAGUAGCUCACUCUAAGCGCCGGCAUAAUGUCACAUCUCUCUUCUUGCAAUUCCCAUAUCUUGGUACUGAGCACUCUCUCCCAAUCACAUCUGUCAUCUUUUCCUCGCAAAAGUCCUCCAAGUGUUUGCGCUGCCAAGGGCAAGCCAUCGCAUUUGGCCACUAUCUUCUUGCCAAUUUCCUCCAAUAAGUUAUCUGACCCCAAAGAAUGUUGAGCAAAUACAGCUAGACAAUCAUCAAUUGACAACUUUUUUAAUUGAUAAGCUGAGGCAGUUCCCAUGAUGUCUGCAACCUCUUGAUUACGAGUUGUGACAAUAAUCUUACUUCCCUUCGCUCCAGCUUCAAACGGACGGCUGAGGCGAACCCAAUCAUUGUAAUUCUCAUUCCAAACGUCGUCUAAAACAAGCAAAAAUUUCUUUUGAGAUAACUUCUUCUUCAGCUCCUCUUGAAGCAAAUUUAAAUCACUGUCAUCAAUAGUCUGCUUGGUAACGGAUCUUAGAAUUGUUUUUGUUAGCCCCUUAACGUCGAAAUCCUCAGAGACACAAGUCCAUGCCUUGAGAUCAAAAUGAUCCCGCACUUGCUUAUCAUUGUAGACAAGCUGAGCAAGAGUAGUUUUGCCCAGCCCGCCCAUACCUAUAAUAGGAAUAACUGCGAAUCCACCAUCGUUGCUUAAAUCAUCCCUCAACAGCAGUUCAACAACAUCCUUCUUUUCUGUUUCCCUGCCAUAUACUUUGGCUUCAGUCACUAAAGAGGUUGUCUCUAGCCUUUGACUGGCUUUUUUGGACCCUCCAGCUGAACUUUCUUUCAAAUCUAGCAAGUUUUUCUGUGUCACAAUUUCUUGAAAUCUGCUGUUGAUCUCUUUGAUUUUGGACAUCAAGCCAUAAUCGAACUGAAUCGAUUGUGGAGUAAAAGUGGUGCAGCAAGUAGGAAUGAGCUUCCGAAACUUACUUGUUCUUGUACGACUGCUACUGGGUUGAUCAUGAGCAGCAGCUGGUUCUCCAUUCCCAAGCAGCAACCUCCUCCGGAAAGCCUCAGUUUGAAACUCAUCCAACAAGUCUUCAACAUCGUAAGCCAAGUUCUGAAGCUUGCCAAGCCACUUCUUCACAAACUGAUUAGUCGUCUUCUUCUCCUCAGCAUCAUCAAGCACCGCCUUGAUCAUCUCCAACAUAUUCUCCCACUUCAUUAGAUCGUCUUGGAUCUUCUCUUGGCGUGCAAAAAACAGAAUCCCCUCUGAAGCUAACUUAUUGACCAGCAAAUCAACGGACGCCGUAAGGAUUGCCUCUCCGAUGAUCGACAUUUUUUUUUCUUUUUUUGGGCAAAGGAAGAAAGGAGCAGAAUUAUGGGUUAUGGAAAGCAGAAUGAGAAUAUUGAACGGGUGAGAAAAUGGAUAAUUAAGCGGAAUGAGUUUGUGAUUGUGAAGGGUCUGGUUCAGCAAGCUUAGUAGAAAUCACGCGUUUGUACUUUAUUGACCAAUGACUAAAUAAUUUGGCAAUGCACCCACCACCACCAGUUGGCGAGCAAAAUGAAAAAGUUUAAUAAGUGCAGGGGUCGAGCAAAAUACGACGUAAAAUGUGGCAAGUCUCCCCACUUGUUGUUCCUUGCAGCUAAGAAAAGAAAAAACAGAGCCCACCACCCAUUAAUAAUUUAGCAAUUCACCAAUCAUCACAAAAUUCCAUUAGAUAUUCGUCGAUCAAGUAGUUAAGUAUUUUUGCUAGAAUGAAUGCAACCAAGAUUCUAUGGGAUAUGUAUGAAGAUGAUGUAAUAAAGUGCUUUUGAUAUAUUCCCCUAGUCGGUUUACUUCACUAACCAUUAACGAGCAAAUCCUCCCAAUGACCCUCAAUACUCUUGUGCACAAUUAAAAUAAUUUCAAUUAUAUAUAUAUAUAAAUAAAAAAACUCUCAAAUAUAUUAUUUGAUAAUCACCAAAAAAAAAAAAAUUCACCCCAAUAAAUCACAUUACAGUCUAUGUUGCAAGUGUUUUUAGGACUAAUUCAAAGAGAAAAUGCGAAGGACAUGUAAUUGAAUUUGGGACACUGAAUAUAUUCCCAAUUACCCUUUAGUGUAAAUAGUUCCACUUCAGAUAUAUAUAAUGAUGAUGAAAUUUUGUUUUCUCAUAGCAAUCAUUCUAGUGUUUUACAAUGAGUAAUUGAUUCAAUAUUAACACAACACUAUUUUAACAUGUGACAUAUUCUAUCAUAGUGUGCUUCAACUCAGACUUCUAAGUUUCCAUUUUAGAACAAGUUAAAACAGUUCCAACUCAAAAUCAGUAGUGCGCAAUUGGGUUGUUAUAAAUAUUUCUAAAUUUUAGUCUAAUUUGAAUUAUUUAAUUGUGUUUGUACAAACUAGCUUUAUCACUUCUUUUAUAUUGAUACCCUUAAAUUUCAACCUUAUUUUAUGUUGAUGCACAAUCUAACUUAACAAAAAUAAUAUUCAAAUUGUCACAAUUUUUUUUUUUAAAAAAAAUAUACAAAGUUAAUUUUUCUUCUUCUUUACUCUAGGAUCCAGCUCCAUACCCCUCUUUUUUGUCGUUAUGCUACUCAGCCGUUAGAUUUUAAUUACGUUAAUCUAAUGGUUGGGAUUUGCAAAUGAAUAAUGAAGUGGUGUUCGGCUACUAUCCGAGGCCAUUGCAUCUAAUUGGUUUUGUGAUUUUUCACUUUCUUCCCUGUAACACUUGACUAGUUCUGGAAAUUGCUUUUUGGCAUGCUAAUUGUUGUGAAAAUUUUAAUAUACUCGCAAGCGCACGAAUCUAGAAAUAAAAUAGUGGUAACGAGGUCGAUCCCACAGGGAUUGGCACCCAUCACGCCUUUAGUUGUCGUGAAUAAAUCGAAAAUCAAAUUGAACUGGUUUUUACCGGGUAGCAACAAUCGUGACGUUUUGAGAUUAUAAUAUAUGACAACACUGAUUAGUGUUGUCUCCCAUGUGAAUUGAGACAAAAAUGAUUUUCCCAAUUGCGCUUUCAUUUGAACAAUUCCACUGUAGAUUUAUAAAAUAAUCACGAAAUUGUGUUUUAUAAUAAGUUACGAGUAAUUGGUUCAAUAUUAAUACAAAACUACUUUAAGUAACACGUGGCAUAUUCUAAUUCUAGCAAAGUUUCCAACUAAGAUUCCCAAAUCAAAAGAAUUUCAAUCUCCAGAACAUUCUACAAAAUGUUUCUUCUAGCCUCUACGUUGUGCUAGAAUUUUCUCUUGAGUUUUUUAGCAAAGACUUCUAAAGAACUAUCCAGAUAUCGAGCUAUAAUCCAGUCAAAGUGUAUAUAUUUCUCUAAUUCACCUCCCUCCAUUUCACCAGAAAACCAACAAACACUUAGCUUCAAACAAACACUUUCAAAUAGCUAGCUAGCUACCCAGAUGGCAAAAUCAAGAAUUCUUGCAAUGACAAUGUUGUUUCUUGUUGUGGCGGCAACAUUGAUGAACAUGGCAUCACAAGCAAAUGCUCUGAUGCCGUACACACGAUCACCUUUCUUUGACAUGAUGUUCCGAAUGACGAAAGAGCCUUUCAGGGUUCUUGAACAAACCCCUUUAACAAUCGCAAAAGGAGCUGAUCAUCAUCAAACUCUAGCCCUGGCGAGAGCAGACUAGAAGGAGAGUGGAUGGAGCCUUUACUUUCUAUUAUAUUUGUAAAGCGUGCCACAACACACGUGAUCACACUCGACAUUCUCGGAAUUAAGAAAGAUGAUGUGAAGAUUGAAGUUGAAUAGAACAGGGUAUUGAGAGUAAGUGGGCAGAGGAAGGCUGAUGAUUAUUAUAAGGAGAGGGUUGAAGGAGAGAAAUGGCACAGAGCUAAGAGAGCAUUUGGCAAGUUUUGGAGGCAGUUUAGGAUGCCAAUGAGUGCUUGACUUGGAUCAUAUUAAGGCUCACUGAGUGCCAAAGCUUGCUGAGGAGAUGAAGAGGCAGCCGAAGGCUAUUAACAUUGAUGAAGAGUCUGGUAAUUCUUCCAAUGAAGAUAUUAAGGCUACCAAGGCUCAAAUGUAAUUGAUUAAAGAAAGAAGUGAUUGCUUUGCUUGAUGUGCUAUUUGUUUAUGAUCUUUUUUUGGUUUUGUUGUGAGAUGUUUCUCUAUGGACGCUUUGUUUAAUGUAUUUUGAUGGGUUUUUUAGGAUGGCUUGUAUGUAUUGACAACAAUAAAGUGCUUUUUAUAAAUCCUAGUCCUACAACACUAAAAGAAAUUAAUACUCUUGGUUUAUAAUUAAUAAAAAUAUAUAUUUUUUUUAAAAGUCUUUUUCUUUGGCAUAUAGUAUGCGUUUUGAGGGGAAAAAAAUUUAUCCCACUCCUAAUUCGUCCUCUUCUGUGAUAUUAAUGUGUUAACACGAAGAUUCAUUGUAAUUGCAACAAUUUUGACGAAUCCAAACGUUCAAUAACUGUUAAAUUGUAUUUAUAAAUACUAAUAGCGAAGGUACAGAAACGAUUAAUUCAAGAAGUUGCUUAAAGUGCAUUAAAUUAGGGAGUAUAAAUAAUUGUGUGAUACAGUCCAGCCUUCAUCUGCUUAUAAUUAGCAACCAAAAACCACUUUGCAACACCAUUAAAAAAACAUUUUAACAUUAUUGCUGAGGGAAGAGGCAACUUAGGCUUAUUAACUCGUAUUAUUAAUGCUGAUGACGCAGCUGGUAAUCCUUUUGGUGAAUAUAUUAAGGCAGCUGAAGCUUAAAAUUAAUUAAGCCCACUAAAGCUUAAAACUAAUUCUUCUAGUGACGAUGCUUUGCUUAGUUCGCUUUUUGUUUUUAAUUUUUUUGGGGCUAACGUUUUGCUUAUUUUGCUUUUAAAAUUCUAUUGGCGUUGCUGUGGAAUAUUGUUUCUCCUUCGAUUUUCUGUUUUUGUUGUUAUCGGAUUUGAUGAUGGUUUAUAUGUACGAAGAUUAUGUAAUAAAGUGCUUUUGUAACAAUAUAUAUAUAUAUAUAUAUAUAGAUGUUUCAACAGCUAAGAAAGAGAUAGCCAUUAUACAUUACACAUUUGUACUCAAUAAGAAAUCAAUUCAUUAAUAUAGCCAUUAAUACGCCUGGUUUAUUGUUAAUGAAAAUUAAAAAAGAAAAAAAAAUCUUUUUCUUUGGCCUUUAGUAUGCAUUUUAAGAGGAAAAAAAAUUUAUCCCACUUCAAUUCAUGAAGAUAUUUUCAUUUCUGUCAUAUUGAUGUGUUAAUAUGAAGAUCCAUUGCAGUUGGUGAAUUCAAAUAUUCAGUAACUGAUGAAAUUAUAUUUAUAAAUUCAUACUAAUAACGAUUGAAGAUUAUAAUUAAUUUUUUAAUAUGGUCCAGCCCUCGUGUGUUUAAUUAGCUCUCAAAAACCACUAAGGUAAAGGCAAAAUCAUGAUAAAUUGUGGUCGGUUUAAUUUACUUGAUCAAUUGAUAUUGGGUAGCAUUGUUCUUAUACAAACACAAUAAAAGAAGAACACUAACGUACUAAUUAAUUACAAAUAAGAACAUUAACAAUUUUGCCGAAGUCUGAUGAAGAGAAAUAUUACACAUAUGUAACCGUACAACUAAAUAAAAGAAACUGAAGUUUAUUUCAACAGCUAAGAAUGAGAUACGCAUAAGAAAUUAAUCUAUUAAUUAAUUAAUUAAUUCAUACAAUUUUCAACUGAGAUUUGAAUUUUAAAAUUACAUACACAAACACACCUGAUUUAAAAGAAAAAAAUUUUAAUAAUAAAAUAUUUUACGUAUGUAACCAUACCGCGGAAAGAACAAAUGUAAGAAACUGAAGUUUCAACAGUUGAGAAUGAGAUAGGCAUAAGAAAUUAAUUAAUUAAUUAAUAGAGUCCUCCUCCUUUGCUAAAUAAUGCGAGCCCAUUGUUCCUUUUAUUUCGAAAACCCAUUAAUCAUCAACACAUACACGCCCAAUUUUAAAAAAAAAAAAUAAUAAUAAUAAAAUAUUUAAGUCGUCCUCUGUUCAAUAAUCAAAAACCCAUUUAAAAUCUAUUUUAACUUUAGGUAUAUGGGUUAACAAGUCCCAAUAUUGUCCUCCAUCUUUUCUGCACUUCUCUGCUAUCAACGGACAUCCCCCGAUGUAUAAUUGCAAAAGUGAGGAAGGCAGGCCCUUCUCCGGAAAGUAUUUGAGCUUGGGACAAUCCUCGAGUUCCAAGUGAGUGAGGUUUUGAAGAUCAACAAUUGAAGAAGAUAGGCGUUCCAGAUUUGGAAAAUUACCAAUCAUCAGGGAUGCUAGACAGGCAGGAAGAGGAAGCGUGGUCCUCAAUCUUAUGUCCUCCGGUGGGAAUGACACCAUGUCGUCAUCGCAUCCGCUGAUUGUAAGUUGUCGCAGAGAGGAGAAUCUGUGGAAUCCCCGACCCCACUCAAUCGUUGACUUCCAAAUCUUCUUAUUAUCAAUAAUCUCCAGCCUAUGAAGGUUGGUGGGAAGGCCAUCAUCUUCUUCAAGGCUUGGAAGCUCACCUCCUUCUCCUAUUGUUAAUUGUUGAAGAGAGGUCAGAUUGUGCAAUCCCUUGGGUAAGACCUGUAGUCUCUUACAAUAAGAUAUCUCUAGCCUCGUGAGUUUCGCACAAGGCAAUCCCCCUUGGGGAAAGGACACCAGAUUUUCACAUUCCCAUAUCCCUAUCUCUUGAAGCUGGCGGAGAUUAUGUAAACCACUCGGUAAAAUUUUCAGAUUUUCACACUCAGAAAUACUGAUUGUUUCAAGAGAUGUGUUGUUGUCCAACCUUUCUGCUAUUGACUCCAGCUCUGAACAACUCCAAACAUCAAGGGACUUAAGAGACGGAGGUAGAUUGCCAACUUCAAGGGACUCAAGCGUGGCAGGUAACUCGUUUUUUGAAAAUAUACACGUCAGUGACGGACACCUGCUAAUAUGCAAGCCCUCGAGAAGAGAUGAGGUGUACCUUCUGCUGCUGCUGCUGCUCUGGAUGCCCUCUUCCACCGUCAAAGUCCUUAUAUUAUCGCAAUGGCGGAUCUCCAACCACUUAAGGCUCGGUGGUAGUUGGACUCCAGCAAUAUAUGUCAACGAAUUGCAAAUCCAAAUCUCCAAGAUCUCGAGAGAUGAAUUGGUGUCGCACAUCCAUGCCUCUGGUAACGAUUUCAGUGCAUCACAUUCUCUAAUCUCAAUUUUCUUCAACUUGGAAGGCAGAGCAACCUCAGGAAAGGAAACAAGGGAACUGCAGCCGUAGAUUUCUAUCUCUCUCAAGGAGCUGAGGCUGAGAGGUGAUUGUGGCAGCUUCACAAGGUCUUGGCAAUCUCUCAAAUCUAUAUAUUCGAGUAUGCACGACAACUGGCAGAGCUGCUGUUGUUGGUCUUUCUCUUCCUCCGCCACCAAGGAUUGAAGUUUGGGACAACUUGUAAUCGUCAGUCUUUUGAGAGAGCAAAUGUCUUGCAGCAAUUCGUUAUGACUCUUCCAUAUAUAUGUCUGCUCUUUCAUAUCAUUUAUCUCCAAUUCUUCCAAUUUUGGUAUUCGCGGCUUCAAUGGCCCUGCGAGAAACACUUGAUUUGAUGUAUCUCUACAAACUACUGAAUUCUGCGAUCCGAGAUGACCAGUUGCACUUUCCCACACAAUCUUUUUGCAUCCACCAAUUAUGAAUUUGCAAAGAGAUGGAAGACUCGAAACUGAAACUAACAAUUCUUCACAUCCUUCAAUAACAAGCAUCUCCAAUGCAGGAAGGUGCUCUGGAAAUGUUCCUUUCAGUUUAGAACAUCUUAAAAUGUGAAGCUCUCUCAAUUUAGGAAACCGUUCAACUCCCUGACUGAAUCCAUGAGGAAUCCAGUCUUCCCAUCCUUGCAUGUCUUCAAAAUGAAGCGUCUCCAAGCAUGGAAAAGGAAUUGGAGUAUCAUUCCCAUAGAACUCUGAACCCAACCUCUUUACACUAGUCAUUCCACAUACUGCAAGAUGCUUUAGAGAGGGUAGUUGGCCGACUGACGGCAGGGUAGGACACAUGCCACAAUAUUCAAAUUUUAAGGUCACCAACUUUAAGAAUGAGGAAUCUCCGAACCAAGUUGGAAAUUUUGCGCCUCCAUAGCCGCUGAUACAAAAUUGUUCCAGAUUUUUAUGGGGUUCUAGCAUGUCAAGCACGUCCUUUUCAGUUUCCGCCUCCCUUGAAGACGAGCCAUCGGUACUGUUUGUCCACCGAAGCAUUAACACUUUAAGGUUCUUCUUUCCAUCCAAUUGAGCCUCCUUUGCAUCACCAACGUCUUUUACGUUCUCCAAUUUUGAAAUGCAAAGUGUCCCACGAAGGUGCGUCAACAACUUUAGCUCUCGUAACCCGGAACCACUGUCUUUUCCUACAACAAAAUUACACAACGUCUGAAGACAAGUCAACUUGCCAAUUCCUAGUGGCAUUUCCUCCAACGACUUCGUAUUUGAAUUCUUAAGAUGAUGCAAUUUGGCGAGGUUUCCCAUGUCUGCACACAACUUCUUCAGCCGAUCACAAUCUUCCAACAAAAGACUAUGCAAAUUGUAAAGCUUGUUGACUGAUUCAGGCAGAGUUCUAAUCUCAGUUCCAGACAGGUUAAGGUACCUUAAAUACCUCAAAGCACCAAUUGAAUCCGGCAGCUCAGGGAUGCGGUAUCCACGCAAAGAGAAGACCCUCAAGCGUUGGAGUUUGAGCAACUUAGGAAGAAUGCUAGGAGCCAAGUAUCCAGACAGUGAGCUAUUUGACAGCAUUACGGGUAAAAAUGUUCGCAAAUGUUGGAUAUCGUACAAGUCCUCAAACCUUUUAACACCAUCGUAAUCUCCACGAAUAUACGACAGAUGACGAAGAUUUCUUGAAAAACUUUGUUGCUUGUCAACCUCUGAGAUAUACUCCAUUCUGAAGUACAUUUCCCCAGCAGCCCAUUGAGCAAGGUCAUUGACGAGGUCGUGCAUCACAAAUCGUGAUAUACUGUUGCUUGAUUGCUGGAAAAAAGAUCUUGCACGUAGUUCUCGAAAGAACUUUCGACCUAGAUCUUCACUAGGAUUCCCGCUCUCUCCGUGAUCCAAGAGACCCACAGCACACCAUAAUAAAAUUAUCUCCUCCUCUUCAAAUUCAUAAUCCUUUGGAAACAAUGAGCAGUAUGCAAAGCAUUGUUUCAAAGGUGCCGAAAGAUAAUAGUAGCUCACUCUAAGCGCAGGUAUAAUGUCACAUCUCUCUUCUGGUAAAUCCCAUAUCUUGCAACUGAGCACAUCUUCCCAAUCACUUCGGUCACGUUUACCACGUAAGAGUCCACCAAGAGUUUUCGCAGCUAAGGGCAAGCCGUUGCAUUUGAUCACUAUAUUCUUGCCAAUGUCCUCCAAUGACUUAUGUGAACUGAAAUCUGUUGUCCCCAAAGAGUGCUGAGCGAACACAGACAGACAGUCCUCAGUUGACAAGCUUUUGAGUUCAUAAGCUUGAUCCAGGCUCAUGAUUUUGGCAACCUCUUCAUUGCGAGUGGUGACAACAAUCUUACUUCCCUGUGCGCCAGCUUGAAAUGAAAGGCUGAGGUGAACCCAAUCAGUGUAAUUCUCAUUCCAAACGUCAUCUAAAACAAGCAAAAAUUUCUUUCCAAAUAGUUGUUUCUUUAGCUCCUCUUGAAGCUUAUUCAAGUCGUGAUUAUCCACAUUCUGGCCAGGAGCAAUGGAAAUUAGGAUUGAUUUUGUAAGCCUGCUAACAUCAAAAUCAUCGGAGACGCAAGUCCAUGCCUUGAGAUUAAAAUGAUCCUCCACCUGCUUAUCAUUGUAGACAAGCUGAGCAAGAGUGGUUUUACCCAGCCCGCCCAUACCUAUAAUAGGAAUAACAGAGAAUCCACCAUCCUUUCUUGAAUCAUCCUUCAACAACAAUUCAACAAUUUCCUUCUUUUCUGUUUCCCUGCCAUAUACUUUGGCUUCCUCCACCAAAGAGGUUGUCUCUUGCCUUUGCCUGGCUUUUUUGGAUCCCCCAGCUGAACUUUUUAUCAAAUUCAGCGAGCCUAUUCUUUCUUCAAUAUCUUGAAAUCUAUCGUUGAUUUCUUUGAUUUUGGACAUCAUGGCGUAAUCGAACUGAAUCGAUUGUGGAGUAAAAGUGGUGCAGCAAGUAGGAAUGAGCUUCCGAAACUUACUUUUCGUGCUUGUACGACUGCUGCUGGGUUGAUCAUGAGCAGCAGCUGGUUCUCCAUUUCCAAGCAGCAACUUCCUCCGGAAAGCCUCAGUUUGGAACUCAUCCAACAAGUCUUCAACGUCAUAAGCCAAGUUCUGAAGCUCGCCAAGCCACAACUUCACAGAAUCAUCAGUCGUCUUCUUCUGCUCAGCAUCAUCAAGCACCGCCUUGAUCGUCACCAACUUCUUCUUCCACUUCACUAGAUCGUCUUUGAUUCGACCUUGGCGUUCAAAUAAACGAAGCCCCUCCGAAGAUAACUUAUUGACCAGCAUCUCAACGGACGCCUUCAGGAUUGCCUCUCCGAUGAUCGACAUAUAUUUUUUUUUUUUUGGGACAAAGAAUGAAACCAGAUUAUGAGCUUGUGGAAAGCAGAAUGAGAAAAGUGAAUAAGCAGCGUGAGUUUGUGAUUGUGUCUAGCAAGCCUAGAAAUCAAGAAAAACCCACCGUAAAAGUGAAAAGUAAAACGGAGCCAACCACAAAUAUAAAAUCAGAGGAUCACAGAAAUUAAAAAAAAAAAUCAAACACGUAAUGAUUUGUAAAGUUAUUAGCGAUUUGUAAAAAUCAAACAUGCGUCUUCUUCCUCUGAGUGUUUUUUUUUUUUUUUAACUUUAUUAAUUAAUUAGUGAAGUAAAUUUGUAAAGAUCACGGGCAUCAAAUUAUUGGGAGGUAUUAAUUGCGCUUAGUAUUUACAAUUUUUUGUAAAACUUUUUAAUUUCGUUGAAAAUGUAUCGUUAUUAAGUUAUUAUUGAUUUCACUCUCUUUUACUUUUUGACGUUGCGAAAAAGACAGUAAAAAACUUGCUAAAUGUCAUCAAAUACUUGUAUCUCAUCUCACAAAUUAGCAAUAUUUGUUUGGUAUUUCAUCUCAACGGGACGAAGGAACGAUAGAAAACGCGUUCCCUCAUCAAAAUUUUCUUUCGUGAGACCGAUAAUAAAUAAUAAAAUAUUCUUUUAUGGGAUCGAUUAUAAAUAGUAAAUUAAAGAAGGGUCGACAGAAAACGCGUUCCCUCAUCUAAUUUUUCUUUUGUGGGACCGAUAACAAAUAAUACAAUAUUCUUUUGUGGGACCGACUACAAGUACUAACAUAAAGAAUAAAAAAAUGAAAAAAAGGAUAGUGAAAUAACUCAACGGAGAAGUCUAUAAAUGCUUUUGUUUGGUAGCUGGCUAAAGCAGAAUCUGUAAGUUGCAGAGUCAAGUUACACUUAGCCUGCUCCAUAACUCUAAUGUGAAACAAAAAAAGUCCUGCCACCAAUAAUUCAGCAAGCUUCACUUUAUUACACGAAGGUGAAAGCAAAAAGCCAAAAACAGCCCCCACCACCAUCAAUAAUUUAGCAAGCUUCACGCGCUUGUGCUUGUCUUGUCUGCUUGACGAACUGGACAUGGGUGGACCAAGCAUCCAUUGAAUAACUGGAAAAAGUAAAAAAUAAAAAACAGUGUCCCGCAAAAAGAAUCCAUCUUUAUGUGUUGAUAUGCACAUCUACCGAACAUCUACAAAAUGGAAGUAGAAAUUGAAACUUACGUUUUUUAGUUAUGGCUCAUAUAUAAUACAAGUAUCAAUAUUUAAGUAGAAUAGAGUUCACAUAUACACAUGCGUCUAGUUUUAAGUUUUAACCGAGAGAUAAAUUAAUCAUUAAUACUCAGGUGUUUCUAAAUAAUUGAAUAAUGAUAUUAUACGAACCUUCCCUUUACAAGUCUUCAAACUCAUAAACCAAGUUAAAAUAAAAUUAAAAAAAACGUUUCUCUCUCUCUCUCCUUUUGCUAUAUGAUUACUUUAUUUAUUGAAUUAAUUUCCAUGCUAUAUCAAAGACUUAAAAGUACACUAUAAUUUUUUAUAAUCAUAAUGGUAAUUUCUAUCAUCAUAUUAAAUUAUUGUCGUGUCAAAAUAAAUUAUAACAAAAUUUUAGCUGAACAUAAGUUCGACUCAUUUAUUAAAUAUAUAUACUUAAUAAAAUAAUAAGACGAUUAAUAUGUUAUCAGUGAUAUAGACCCAACUGAAAUAACUCUAAUGUGAAAACAAAAAAAAUCCCGCCACCGAUAAUUGAGCAAAUUAACUUCACUUUAUUACACGAAAGUGGAAGCAAAAGCCAGAGGCAGUCCCCACCACCAUCGAUAAUUGUGCUUGUCUUGUCUGCUUGACGAACUGGACAUGGGGGGGGGGGGGGGGGGGGGGGGACCAACCAUCCAUUGAAUAACUGGAAAAAGUAGAAAAUAAAAAAAUCAGUGUCCAGCAAAAAGAAUCUACCUUUAGGUGUUGCUUCCUAUUCAGUACAUGCAUAGAUAAUGUACAUCGACCUGGAAUUAAAAAAAUGGAAGUAGAAAUUAAAACUUACUUUUUUAGAUAUGGCUCAUAUAUAUUACAAGUAUCAAGAUUUGAUUAGAGUUCACAUAUUUACAAUGUGCCUAGUUUUAAUUGAGAGACAAACUAAUCAUUAAUAAUCAGGUUUUUCUAAAUGAUUAAAUAAUGAUAUUAAUUAUUGAUAUUUAAAAAAUUUGUAAGAAGUAUAACUAAUAUGUUGGGAUAUGUAUUUGUGUAGAAUGGCAAAUAUAAAGAAUAGCAAUAAAAAUAGUGGAACUUUAAUAUGAUGAAAAAAGGUAAACUGUAGAAAAUUAAUAUAUAAUUCAAGGUACGUUACAAAUAUCACUUUCCUUCAGACAUUAUUUACCCCACCAAUUGAGUGAAUGCACAUGAGUUAAGCAAAUAUGUCUCUAGGAUAUAAUGAAACGCUUCUUUGUUUGCUUGUAUUGUGCAUCGACAAAAGUAAAUCUGAAUAUUCCUUAAUGUUGCAAGCUUGCCACGAAUUAAUAUAUUGUUAUUGUAAAAAAAUAAAAAAAAUAAUGUAUUGGAUAUUUGAUGCAUAAAAGAAAUAGAUAUUAUUAGAUGAAAUUCAUUUUGAGAAAUAGGGCUACAAAAAGAGUGGUGUAAUGUCGUUUUAUUAAUGUCUAAAUGGCAUAAAUAUGACAUCUAUUUACAAAUAUAUUUAUGCUCUUUUAUUUAAGUUAUCGUCUUUAGUAAUGCCCUUGAUUCAUAUCCAUUAGAUCAAGCAACCUAAUCCCCACUAAAACUAACUUAUUGAACAGUAACUCAACGGAUGCUGUAAAGAUUGCUCUUGGAUGAUUGACAUUUUUUUUAAAAAAAAUUUGGGCAAAGAAAGAAACUGAAUUAUGAGUUUAUGGAAAUUAAAGCAAAUGAGAAAGUGAAUUAGCACAAUGAGUUUGUGAUUGCGAAGGAACCAGCAAAUCAAAAAACAAUUAAGCAAGAGAAAAGGACAAUGAACACUUUAAUAUUCUAGAAAAGGGAUAUGAAACCUCUAAACAUUUUAAAAAAGAUAUAUAAUCUCCUUUUUAUUAGUAAAAUCUGUUUAUUUCAGUAGUAACAUAAUCUUUAAUUUACAUUUACUAUCAUGUCCCUAUAAUAAAUAAAUUAAUAUAUUUAAUUUAAAAGAGUGAGCCCUCCAAUUUUACUUCCCAUUUGCUCAAUUGCCUUUCAUUCAUAUACAAGCAUGUUUAACAUCUCAUUUUGCCUAAUUUGCCUUGGAAGAAAAUAAAUUUGAUUUUAUUUUUAUCUAUUAUUCAUCAUUUUUUAUCAUCUUAACAUUGGGAAGGAUAUAUUCAUAAUUUAAAGUGAAUAAUUUGGAUAAAAGAUAAUUAUAUCUUAAUUUUAAGUUUUAAAUAAAAAGUUGUUGGUUUUAUUAUACAUGUCAUUGAUGACAUGUCUUAAAUUAAUAUAUUUAUUUAUUUAUUAUCGGGAUAUAAUAAUAAUUAUAAAUUAAAAAUAAAUUUAUUAUUAAAAUAAAUGGAAUUUAUUAACAAAAAUAGGAAUUAUAUAUCUUUUUUAAAAUAUUAAAACAUUAUUUUUUUUUAGGGUAUCACUAUCCAUUUCCCAUUAAGCAAAACAAAAGUGAAAAGAAAAAUCAGAGCCCACUAUAAAUAUAAAAUUAGUGGAGCUCAUGAUGAUGCAUUUGCUUUACAUACUAAAUUAAAUAAAAGCCGAACCAAGAAUCUUUGCCUUAGCUUAACAUGAUUAAUUAGGCACUACUUCAUAGAAAACGCGAAAGCAAUGAACCCUUUUUUUAAUCUUAAAUGUCAUGAAUAUAAUUCUUCUGCGUUAAUUAAUCAUUCUUCUCUGACCGUCUCUUCAGGUUCAUUUCAAAAGUUUGAAGAUAGUUUAUCAAUUCUUCUACUUAUAAAAGCAAGUUAAAUUAAAAGAUUUUAAUCUCUCUUCUUAUUACUAUAAGUGCACUGUGCACGACAUUUUUUUACAAUAAACAAUGCCAAUUUGUAAUGUAAUGUUAUAUUCAUAUUCCCAUCGCGUCGAACUCUUUUUUUCCCUCUUUUUUAAAAGGAGACGGUGCGGUUUGGUUGUUCGCAAAAUUAGUGGUGUGGGGCUCUAUUUGCUUUUGUUUUCACUUUAUUAAUUAACUAGCGAAGCAAACAUGUAAUCAUUUGUAAAGGAGUCACUAGCACCGGAUUAUGUAAGAUGAAUUCGUAAGACUUAUUAAUUUCAAUUGAAAAUGUAGCGUUAUUAGGUUAUUAAUUCACUAAGUUAACUUGAGGUUCUAAUAUUUACUAAUUGUGGUGAUUAAUUUAUUUAACUUGUCAUAAUUUUCAUUUGAGAAUGAAAUUCAAUCAAUGUAUGAAAAAAGAUAAUUUUUUAAAAUUUUUAAUUCCUAUGAUUUGAUUUCACUUUUUUCCGGAUAUUGACGCUGUAAAAGCUUGCCCAAUGUCAUCAAAUGCUUGUAUCCCAUCUCACAAAUUAGCAAAUAUCAUUUGGUUUCUUUAUACGUGGCCAUCACAAAUUAAAAGUAACAACAUCCACCAUAUAUCGAAAAUUAAUUUUGAGAAUACUUUUGACUUUUAAAAGAAAAAUGCGAGUACAAUUUAAUAAGAGAGAACAAGAAUUGAUCAUGUCCCAAGAGACUGAAAAUAAGAUUAUAUAAACUUGAAUGCAGGCAUAUCAUAUGUUAAUCUUAAUUUUUUUUUGUUGCUGAAAAUUAAUUAAUUUGUUCCACUAUUCCUUUUUUAAUUGUAUGGUGAGAAACACAUUGGCCACUUCUGAAUCAUGUUGCAUAUUUGUUAACUCAAAGAAACAGUACACUUUUGUAUCAAUCAAACUCACUUUGUUAAUAUUCUUCAUUAUUAUGGUUAAUGGCUUAGCAAAUGUAGAAGGAGGAGUCAACCAAAAUGUAGCACUUUCUCUUGUAUUAACCUUUUAUUAAUUGUUGAAGUUAAAAAAAAUGUUAAAACAAGUUAAAAUAGUUCCAUCUCAAAAUCAGUAGGGUGUAAGUAGGUUGUUAUAAAUAUUUUUAAAUUUUAGUCUAAUUUAAUUGUGUGAUGCACAAACUUUCUCACUUCUUUCAUAUAAAUAAAGGGGAGAACUAUUUGAACUCAUUAAAUCACUUUUUAAAUUCCUCUACUUAUUAAGGCCAUCAUAAAAAUUCAAAAAUCCUUUUUAUACUCACUACAUCUCUUAAAAAUAUCGCAAAUAUGACACAUUUGUCUUCACCUUCUAUUUAUCUUCAACAUUCACAAUUUUUAUUUGAAUCUGUAAUAUGUUUAACACUGUUCAUUCACUCAUUAGAGUUCCAAUAAUAGAAUAUAGAGAUUAAAAAUAUCAUUAGCAAAUUAUUUGUUUGUGUUCUAUAUGAUAUUCUUGGUUUGGAAAAAGCUUCAUCGGCAAUAUAUGUAAAUAAAAGACUAAGAACUUCCAAUAAUUCAGAUUUGAUCGAAACUUCACAAACUUAUUUUCACUUAAAAAAAUAAAAUAAAGUAAAAGAAAUUCUCGUGUUUUAAAAGAAAAACUGCCAGACAUGUUUCUAAAACAACUAGAAACCAAACUAGGCUUGAAGCAGUGAGUUUUGAAUUAUAAAAAAUACAUAAUUGUAAUUUCACCUAAAUCAAAUGAUGAAUUUCAUGACAACGGAUUUAGACUAUAGACCAAUACACAAAGAAUUGGAUGUUCAUCGCAUUUGUUCUUGAAAUUGUUUUGCGCAAAAAAGUUAACUAUUGUAUUAUGUUGUAUUGCAUUAUUUUAAUAUAAGUGUAUUAUAUUAUGCUGUAUUGCAUUAACACUGUAUUAUAUUAAUACUAUACAACGUUUGGUUCUACAUUGUACUAUAUUAAUUUUUAAUUAUACAUACACUAUAUUAUGCUAUACUAUAUUAUUUUUUUGGUGGUUAAUUUCAAUUAUAUGUUUGGAAAUAAUAUUUAUUAGUACUUAGCAAAAUAUAAAAUAUAGAACCUUAAAUUUUAGAAUAUUUACAUCAAUUUUUUUUAGUAUAAAUGUAAAUAAUUAUAAUAAUUCUUCAUUAAACUUAUGUAAAAAUAACAAAUUCUGAAUUUUUGCUAUCGUAACAUUUUUUUUUUAACGGCGUUUUUCAAAUGUAUACCUUAUUGAUGAUGCACCAUAAAAAUAAAUAUCAAAUUUUGCGAUCAUGAUCAAGUCGAGUUUUACAUUAUGAAAGCAUGACACAAAAAUUGAAAAAAAUAAUGGCCGGCAAAAAGUUAUACAAGCAACAACAAAAGUGCUAAUUACUCGGAAAAUAAACAAUCAAGAGCCGCUGAUAGAUAUGAGUCAUAUGACAAGGUAGAGGAAUACAGAUAUCUGCAUACAUUUUUAACAAAGAUCAUCUUUGUAACCAAUUGUUGGCUUUGGCAUUAAAAGAUCAUCUUUGUAACCAACUGGGUAGCUAUAAAAUGAAUACUAAGUCAAUCAAACGGGAAAGCUUGCUACAAGACUUUGAAGCAUUAUUCUGUUGCAUCACCUUCCUCCUCUGCCUCACUUCCUGCAUCCCAAAUUAAAGAACAACAAAUAUUAAAUAACAAAAACAAAAUCUUCAAUAGACUUUUCAUACUCCAUGGAGCAAAUCUAUGGGAAUCCACAAAAUAAUUGAAAUAUAUCAAUGCUGCAGGUCAUAGUAACAAAUUACAGAUACACAAUCAUGCAUAUGCAACUAAAAAAUGCUUAUUUAUUACAGCCGCUUUUUGGCAUGACUACUUCAUAAGUUAUAUAUGAUAGAUAACAUUAUUAUUCUAAUCACAUGGUUAUGAUUUUAGUUGGACAUACAAAAGCUACGUGCAUGAAUCUGUAUCAUGCCACCUUUCAUGAGUCAAAAAUUUAAAUCAAAUCAAUUUGGUUGAGCCUUCAAAUUCCUAUUCCAGUCAAAGGAGAUGAUUUUUCCAAAGGUAAAGAAUGAGUCCGGUUACUUAAGCAUGUCAACCUUUUUUCUAGGCUAAGGUUUAUCCCUUUCCAUUUCACUAACUCUCCUCUCACUACCUUGCGUCAACAUUUGCAUACUUGAUAUACUUUCACAACCUUAAUCUAAUACUUUCAUUUAUGCUGAUAUAAAGAAGAAGUUUGAUUUAAAUCUGGACAGGUAACAAGAUUAAAAAACUGCCUUGUAGUAGAGCCAAUUCUUCCAACAAACAUUUCUUGAACCAAUAUCUAAGAUUAAGCUGGAUCACGUAAGACAAAUAUGCCAAGAAGAUUUUUAACUCACCUGACACUAUGGAUCUCCAAAUGUACUCAAUUAGCUUAGGUAAGCCAUACUUCUUCUCAAUUAUGAGCCCAGUAAAUAGGACCCGAAAAACUUGCAUUCCUCUGCUGACAUUCAUUUCAGUGUUGCAAGAAUUACAGAUUCCAUGACCAUGGACUGAAGUUCUUUUGUUAAGACAGGCGCAAGAGAGUACGCCCCUAUCCCACUAGUAUUUGGCCCGGUGUCACCAUCACCAACUUGUUUAUGGUCCUGACAAGACAUUAGAGGUAUGGGCGUAUGGCAUUCUCCCCAUCCACGAAGUCCUUUAGAACCAAAAGCAUUGUUUACAAGCAUCGAAUCAACAACUUCUAUGAAUCAUCCAAUGUCAUAGUUAGAGCUGGUAAAAUUUGACACGAUCCAAUUAUUCGACACGAACACGACACUAAUAAAUGGGUAUGGGUCGUCAAAUUUAACACGAUUAUUAAAUCGGUCGGGUCCGGGUCAACACGAUUUUUUUCCGUGUCGGGUUAGGGUUAAAAUUCUUGACCCAUUUACCCGAUCAAUGACUCGAUUAUAUUUUUUAUUUUAAAAUAAUUUAUAGAUUCUUGUCAUCAAAACUUAAAUAUUAGAGAAUUUUUUUUUAUUCUUUAAAAAGAUGAAUAUAGACACAAUAUUUUAUUUAUAAAAUUUUAAAUAUAUUUAGAGCUUUAAUAAUGUAAAUGUAUAAAAUAUUGGUAGAUACGUAUAUUUUAUAAUAUUGAUAUAUAAUAUUAUUUACAUAUAUAUAAUUAAAACCUCAAUAAUGUGUGUAAUAUUUUAGUAGAUAUGAAAAUUUUAUAAUACUGAUAAAUUAUGUAUGUAUGGAUGGAUGUUGAGACAAGCUAGAGAAGCCAUGAAUGAGAUUUUUCCUUUGACUCCUGCUAUGUGGCAAGAAUUUGCGAGAGAUGAAGCCUCUAUUUCAACCGGGUAUCUGUCAUUUCCUUUUUACAGUGGUUUUUGAUUUUGUGAACAAAUACUUUUUUUUUCGCUUAGAGAUAUAGAUGUUUAUGUUAGUUAUUUGCUAAUGUAAAAAGGAACAAAAACUGCUUAAAAGGUAUUAAAGAAAGAAAAAAGGAACCAAUUUGAAGAAGGGGAUACUCAUAGCGGGAGUUCUGCUUUGGGGUUUAAUUGAUGGGAAGAAGAAAUAGUUUAUAUGUUUACAGAAUUAAACAAUUGAUCACUGAGUUAGUUGAGGAAGAUAAUUAAUCACAAUGUCUGAAGCUGUUGCUGUUGGCGUCACCUAUUGUUAAGAUUUCAUCCUUUUUUAUGGUUUUACAUAGCUGUGACCUAAAGCUUAAUGUAUACGUUGAUAAUUACAUAAUUGGUUUCUUGCUGAUACUUGGCUUUAAUUUGUAAGCCUGAGGCUCUUUCGGGAAUUGAGAAGAUUUACGGAAGAGGAGUUUCUGAUUAUCUGGUUUGUUCUCUUUAUGCUUACAGAAUUUGAAUUAACGCUCUGCAUGAAUUUAUGAUUCAUUUUUUUUGGAGAAAUAUUUUAUGAAAUUGAAGCAUUGGAGUAAAGCGUACUAGUCGUAAGCUUGAUUCACUUUGUUUUGAUUUUAUUACCAAGAGGUGCUAACAGUUCAUGAUGCAUAAAAGAGGGGGAAAAAAACUCUUCUUGGUAGAUACAUAAAUUUUAGUUUCUGAAUCAUUUUCAACGAAAGAAAUAAUUUUACAGAGGCUGAAGAGCAGCAUUUUCAUUUAUAUGAAAGUUCAAUUGUUAUAUCAUCUGUUUCCAUAUCUUUUGUGGUAAAUAAAGUCCUUGAUGAUGGCAUAAGAGCACAGAAGAGUUGUUAGUUUCAUAUGUGGAGAUUUUCAUCAUAGUAGUUCAUUGAAAGUGAAGGCAGCUGAAUACCCUUUUUUCUGAUGCAGUCUGUCCCUCUUUGGUGUGAUUAUUUAAAAUUUGUGCAAGAAUAUGAUCCAUCUAUACGCGAAUGUUUACCCAAUGGCACUUCAAAGGCAAGGAAUCUAUUUGAGCGGCUAUUACUGCUGCUGGUCUGCAUGUUUUAGAAGGCAGUGAAAUAUGGGAAUUGUACAGAGAAUUUGAGCUAGCUAUAUUUAGUAGGAUUGAUAAGAUUAACUUGAAUGUGAAAUAUUUUAAUUUAUUUUACUUUUUUUUGGGCUUAAAUAACGAGUUUAUUCCCAUCUAUAGAAAGAAAAAGGGAAGGUUUUUUUUUUUUUUGCUGGGGGGGGUGUUUCCAACCCUAGCACAUGACAAGCAUUCCAAGACCCUUGCUGCUUGUUUUGCAGGAAAAGGAAAAACAGGUUCUGCGGAUUCGAAGUAUAUUUCAUCGCCAGUUGUCUGUUCCCCUUGCUAACUCAAGUGCAACUCUUCUUGCCUACAAAUCUUGGGAGCUCAAACAGGGGGCUGUUCUUGAUGUUGAAUCUAGUAAUGUAGAUGGGAUUUCUUCUAAUGUUGCCGCAGCAUACCAAAAGGCAUUGGAGAUGUGUAAUGCACGAGCUCAUGUUGAAGAGCAGAUUUCUAGGCAGGAUUUAUCUGACUCAGAGAAAUUUCAACAAUACAUGGCAGAUGACUUUACUAUCGUCAUUUGAUAGCUUUUUAUAGUAAGUGAAAUCCAGCCCUAAAAAUUUUAUUAAUAUGAAUAUUUUUUUGGGGGGAUUUCUUCUUAUGGCAUUAUUAUUUUGCUUUUGUGUAGCUAACAAUUAAUAUGUGCACUUUAAAUAUUAUCUAUUGUUUCUUAGCAAAUAAUAGUAAUAAUAAUAAGUAAUAAAUAAUUAAUAUCUGCAUUGUCAAAUAAUAAUAAUAAUAAUGUCUGCUCUUUUUACUCUUGGGGGGGGGGGCAUGCAGUGUCAUUAUCUUCCUUCUUCUCCUUUUUCUAUUUUGUGCUUUCAAGUUUAAUAUUAUUAUAUUAAUCUGUUAUUGUUGUAGAUAUACUUGAAGUAUGAGCAAUCUUCUGGAGAUCCUGGUAGAGUUCAACUUCUUUAUGAACGGGCUAUUACCGACUUUCCUGUAUCAAGUGAUCUCUGGCUUGAUUAUACUCGUUAUCUUGACAAAACAUUAAAGGUUUAUCCUUCUAUUUUCUAUUUUACUUCUUCUGUUGCAGCUAUUUGUAUACUAAUCGACUCUCCUCUUCAGGUUGGUAAUGUUGUGAGAGAUGUUUAUUCCAGGGCUACAAAAAAUUGUCCCUGGGUAGGAAAACUUUGGGUACGAUCUUUGCUUUCUCUGGAACAUGGCCGUGUUUCUGAGGAGGAGAUAUCCACUGUAGGUUUAAUUGUUACCCUUCAUUCUGAGCUUAAUCAAUUUUCCUGAAUGUAUUCAUUCUGAGCUUAAUCAAGUUUCCUGAAUGUAAUUGAUUUUGAUUGUUUGAAGUUAAAGAAAUGAUCAGCUUCCUAGGCAAAUUUCUUGGCAAGCACUUGAUUGUGGGAGUAACUGAGGAGAAGCAUUCCCUAGUGUUUUUUUUUGUUUUUCUCCUCCCCUAAAAUUGCAAUAUACUUCCCUUGAAGAGUAUUUUUUGCUUUAGCAUUUACACAUCUGUACAGAAGCAAACAUGAAUCAGAGAGAUUUAGUGGGCAAAUUCACCUGUGCUGACAAAUUAAAGCAUAUUAAAUACCGCGGUGGUUGUUGGAAUGCUCCAAAAAGUGUUUUCUUGGUGCUCCUGCUCCUUUUGCACUUUCAUAGUGUUUUAAUAACUGGGUUGUUUAAAUGUCCUGUACUUAUUUUCUUUACAAAUGUCUUUGUAUUUUUUUAAAUUUAUAAAAGAUUGUUCUAAUUAUAUUAAUAGCAACAAAUUGCGCAAACUCAAAUCUUAAUUUCAUUCUGCCCCUAUUACAUAUAUACGGGAUUCUCCUAUUAUUUCAUCAAAUUUUCCAUUACUAAUUUCAGGUCUUUGAGAAGUCACUACUAUGUACUUUUUCAACCUUUGAGGAGGUAGAGAUAUAAUCUUAUGUCUUCUGUACAUACCUUGGUUUCUUGAGCUGUAUGAUUUGGUAUAUAUCUACUUCUGAUUCAUCAUGCAUUUUUUUGUUAACUGGUUCUUUUUUGUUUGAGUACCUAGAUCUAUUCCUUACUUGAAUAGAUGGUUUGAGGUGGAGAAUUUUAUUCUCCGGUGAAGUUGAGGGCGCCUUGGAUUAUUCAUUGAUAACGGAAACCCUUCAGGUUUGUAAACUUAUACUGUUGGCUAUUCAAUAUUAAAAUUGGUUAUACUCCUUAAUAUCAAGAAAUUGAAGCUUCCCAAAUCAUACCCAAGAAAUGCUCUAUUGUGGAUUACUGGAUGGAGCUAGUUGCUAGAUGAUACCUUUAAGAUUCAAGACAUAUGUUGUUUUGUGUAUGGCUAUCAAGUACUUUGGCCUGCAAUUGUGGCAUAUUGGUCUUACGCCAGCAUCAGGUAUAACAUUGUGUCUGGCAUAUAUACCAUUGGAAUUCUGGGUUUCUGUUGAGUGGGCUCCAACAGCUAUAUUUGUGUCCAAUGUUGUGGGGUCCUCUUCUUUGGUGCUUUUAAGUGAAGUUUUAACUUUCCUUGUCAAAAUUUUGUUACAAAUCAAGUAGAAGGCACUGCACUGAAGCAUUGGUACUUCUAGAUUGCUUGUUUUGCAUGGUAGAUUUCAAUCCAUUGCUUUUAUUUCUUGGAUCAUGUUUAUCAUUGAGGACUUUCUUGGCCAGUCAUAGAGCUGACUAGUGCUACCAUCAUCAUUGGUAGGGCAAAAAAGUCAAUUCCUAUGGGAUGCUUUCUGACUUAGAGAAGAUGUCUUCAAGAAUUUGUGGAUUUAAGUCUUCACACGAUGUUCAACUCUUGAUAGUCUAACCUUGGUACAGGAUUUAUAGCUGUCUUCCAAGUUUGUGCUCAUAAAUGAGUAACCUGUCUGUCUUUAUGAUACCAGUUAAAUUUGUUAGCUUUCCGGGAUUUGGAGGUUGUAAAUGUCCAUAAACAACAAUGUCUUCUCUUCCUUACAGCGUGCAUCAGAUUACUUGUCAGAACAGAUGAAAAAUAACAAUGGUUUGCUGCGUUUGUAUGCUUAUUGGGCACGUCUUGAACAAACUAUGGGAAAAGAUACGGUUUCAGCUCGUAGUGUCUGGGAGAGGCUACUUAAGAUCAGGUUCACCAAUUUUAAUUUUUGCCAGUGCAUACAUAGCAAAAUUUCUUUAUAUCUAUAUAUUUUCGGAUAACUUGUGCUUCUCUUAAUGCAGUGGUACAAUGUUGGAAGCCUGGCAAAGUUAUAUAUCUGUGGAAAUUGAAUUGGGUCAUAUUAAUGAAGCUAGAUCCAUCGACAAGAGAUGCUACAGUAAAAGAUUUACAAGGACAGGUUCAGAGGUAAAUUUCUUUCAUCCUGCUUCUUUAAUGAAUAUUAACUGCUUAACAACGUACCUUGUUGUUUCCAUCUUGUUUGUUUAACUGGUCUUAUUUGUAAACACCUGAAAUCAUACAUCUUAAUUUCUGAUAAUUAGAUGUUAUUUUAGAUAUCUGUAUCUGUUAAUGUUCUUUCAAGUCUGAUUCCAAUGCAUAUUUAGUUAAACUGCUCUUUACUGCAUUUUGGAUUAGUUGAUAUCUUCCUUUCCUAAAAACAGAAUCAUUCAGGACAUAUGCCAUGCUUGGCUGCAAUUUGAAUGGGAAUUUUGUAUAAAAUUUUUAAUGAAUUUAUGGGUUUGAUGAGUAAAAUUAGGGGUUCAUAUAGACUCACCCAUAAAUUGAACCCUUAUUUUAUGUUGAUGCACAACUUAACUUAACAAAAAUAAUGUUCAAAUUGUCACAAAAUUUGAAAAAAAAAUCAUACAGUUAAUUUUUCUUCUACUUUACUCCAUUAUUCAAUGGGCAUAUAAUAAAUUAGGAGAGGGGAGAAAUAAAGGGGAAAAUUAGAGUAUUGUCGCAAUGAUACACUGAUACAAAUGCCCAUUGAGUGAUUGUCAAUGGGCAUAUAAUAAAUUAGGAGAGGGGAGAAAUAAAGGGGAAAAUUAGAGUGAUUGUCACAAUGAUACACUGAUACAAAUGCUUAUGUAUGUGUAGUGUGUGUGUGGGGCGUUCUUUAAUUUGACCAAAAAUAAAUGCAUUUAUUUGUAUUUUUAAUCAAAAUCGAGGGAUAUAAACAAAAAUUUUACCACUCCAGAGUCCAGACAUGUAUCAUUGCCUCGUUAAAAAAAAUUGCAUAAAAUUAAAAAACCAUUAGUGGCUGAAAGAGAGAAACAAAUUAAGAAAGGGUUCAAAAGAUGGAACCCGAAGAGAAAACCCUAGCAACAAUCCCAGAAGAAGAAGAAGAAGAUGGAGACACGGCCAUGCCCGACGUCAAGAACAACCCUAAACCAACAACAACAGCCAACUCUUCGGACUCGAGCGAUGCCUCUGACUCAGACUCGGACUCUGACUCAGAAGAUGAAGCAAAACAGAACAUGGAGCUUCAAACCCUAGAGUAUCAGCUAUCCAAUGAACCCUCCAAUUACGACACCUAUGUUCAAGUAACUUCAAUACACAUAUUUAUUGAGUGAUUUUGUGGAUAACCGUUUGCUUGUUCUUUCUUGGGUUGUGAUAAAAAUGGUUUUUAUCUUUUUUUUUUCAGUAAAUAAAGGUUUUGAGAAAAAUGGGUGAGAUAGAGAAAUUGAGACAAGCUAGGGAAGCCAUGAAUGAGAUUUUUCCAUUGACUCCUGCUAUGUGACAAGAAUGGGUGAGAGAUGAAGCCUCUAUUUCAACUGGGCAUCUGUCAUUUCCUAUUGCAAUGGUUUUUUAUUUUGUGAGCAAAUGUUUUUUUUGCUUAGAGAUAUAGAUGUUUAUGUUAGUUAUUUGCUAAUGUAAGAAGGAACAAAACCUGCUUAAAAGGUAUUAAAGAAAGAAAAAAGGAACCAAUUUAAAGAAGGGGAUACUUAUAGUGGGAGUUCUACUUUGGGGUUUAAUUGAUGGAAAGAAGAAAUAGCUUAUAUGUUUACAGAAUUAGACAUUUGAUCGCUGAGUUAGUUGAGGAAGAUGGUUAAUCACAAUGUCUGAUGUUGUUUCUGUUGGCCUGAACUAGUUGUUAAGAUUUCAUACUUUCAUUCAACAAUACAAUAGACUUUGAUUGGGUCCACCGUAGUUGGGUGUUCUGAGGAAUCAAUGAGUGUCUUGAGAAAACUUGGGUGGAGUGCUGGUCAUUUUCAGGAUUCAGUUUCCAAGAAAACAAAAAUGAAGUCGUAGUUGUAGUUUAAAUUAAUUUAUGUUUUUAUCUUUUUCUGUGAGCCCAGUGAGCUUUUAUUUUCACUUUGUUCGCUUUUGUUUCUUUCCCUUCUUUUCCUACAGUUUCUUGAUAAUCAAACAGAUCAGGAUUAAGUGUUUACUUUUGGUUAGGGGUGGGCGUUCGGUUCGGGUUAACCCGAACUAAACCGAACCUGAAAUUUAUUUCGGGUUCGGUUCGGUUUGGGUUAACUCGUGCAACCCGAACGGAUUCAAAGCUUCAAUCUGUUCGGGUUAAAUUUCGGUUCGGGUUCAACCCGAACCGAAUUUUCAACCCGUUCGGGUUGAAGCUUUUUUUUUUUUAAAGAUUUAGCUUUUAAAUUAAAAAUAUAUAUACAUUAAUUAAACCAAAAAAUCCCUAAAAAUGAAAAAUCCCUAAACAAAAAUCUCUCCCUCUCGGCCUCCCCCUCCUUGCUCCCUCUUCUCACUUCUCAGUUCUCACUUUCUGUGAACUGUGGUUGAUGACAUCAGCACUUCAGCAGCAGCCACAGCAGCCCCGUUCAGCUCCAACAGACACCAGCCGGCCUCAUCGUCUCACUCCCUCCCCCUCCUUGCUCCAUCGUUUCACUCCCUCCCACGACGACAACACUCACAGGCCACAACAGCAGCCAGCAGCCCCGUUCACAGCAGCCCACUCGCGUCAGCCAGCACGCCUCGCCCGCAACUGCGCUGUGCGUUCAGCUCGCGUCCCACUCAGCCCAGGAAGUCUCGAUCUGCCAACGCUGUAGCUGCUCUGACCUCCGAGAUUAAGGUUUGUCUUGCCUUGCCGACGGCGACGCUGUAACUUGCUGACUUGCACGCAACUGAUGGCAACAACCCGAAUUGAAUUUUAAGUUUUUAACAGCCUGUUGCUAUUAAUUAAAUUGUAAAUUUUUAAUUAAUUGAUUGACAAUUAUUCAAUUAUUUGAAGUGGGUUUGUUGUUGUUGAUUGAUAAUUGAACCCGAACUAAUCCAAACUAACCCGAAUUAACCCGAACCGAAAUUGUAACCCGAAUUAUCAACCCAAUCCGAUCCGAAUUGUCAAUCCAAACCGAACCGAACCGAAUUGGUUCGGGUUGGCGUUUUCAACCCGAUUGGGUUCAAUUCUCCAACCCGAACGGGUUGAAACCCAAACCGAAACCCGAACAACCCGAACCGAAACCCGAAACGCCCACCCCUACUUUUGGUGUAAUUAUUCACUCUAACUCGAAUAGUACUUAGGUUUAGUGCUAACAAAAUAGGAAGUGAAUUAAUAUCUGAAGUUGACCUAGGAGUGGAAUGAAUGUUACCAAAAAUAUACUAUAUGGUAGAUAGAAUUUGCCUUUUAGGUAAGACAAAAAUAAUUACAGCUGUUAAUUUAUUUCAAUAAGUUCGUACAUCAUUGAAUAAUAAGUCCAAGAUUUUAAUGGUUUUGUUUCCUGAAAAUUUGUCACGAGUGCAUGAACAAAGUUCUAUGGAUGAACUUCUCUUAGUUAAUUUGAGUUCAAUGUCGCAGUUCCUCAUAUUAACUAUAUAAAACACUAAUCUUGCUCUUUACUUUGGAGCAUUUUAAUAAUUGAUGCUAAUUCCUUAGCCAUUUUAUUCAUCUUGUGCAUAAAUUAUGCAAUCAAUAAGCCAACUCCACUUUCAUCUUUAUUUAGUGAAAAAUUUGCAAGGUCACUAGGAGGUUUUUGUAUGUCUCAUGCUAACAUGGACGCCAUGGUUUCACUAUGUAAAUUUUCCCCACUGAAAUUCAUGAUCCCUCAUAUACCACUCAUCACUCAUGAAGCUGUUUCUGGGGCUUUAAAAGCGCCAAAUUUUAGUUUUAUCCUUUCUAGCUUAUUAACCUGUCCGCAUCUGCAUUAUUAUCUUUCCUGUCAUACGAAAGUUUCAUUUAUCAUCUUCCCAACAUAAACAUCCGUAGGUCAUUGUUGACUUUUUUGCUUUGACACUUAUUGUUUCUAAGUAUAGGCUACCAAGGGAGAAAAAAAUUGACAUUGAUGGUCAUCCCCAGCAUUUUUAUCCCAGGAGACUGGUCAUUCACUUUCUAUGAAGGACUAUAUAGACAUCCAGACUCUAUUUUGAAGGACAAAGCUGUGGCUGAGCUUGGUUGUGGAAAUGGAUGGAUAACCAUUGCCAUAGCUGAGAAGUGGUUGCCUUUGAAGUUUUGUUGGUUUGUCGUCCUUAUGCCAUGUGAGAGCUUUUAUUUCCUUCCCUACCAGUGCCUUCAGGGGCUCCAUCAUGAUUUCUCUCAUCAUUUUCUAUCUCUGUGUUUUGCAAGGCCAUUUGAUAUUUAUAACAGCAUUGGCACCAGGUUAUGGUGAUUUAAUGCACUCCUAUUAGGAAAAAUUACAUAAUUAUCAACUCUGUCCUUGUCCAAAAGUCUUUGUUGGAGUAUGUUGAAAAUAUAACCUUGUAGGAGUUCUUUUAUGCUGUCUGAAUAUCCUAUUGCAGGUCUAUGGCCUUGAUAUUAAUCCCAGAGCAAUAAAGAUCUCUUGGAUAAAAUUGUACUUAAAUGCAUUAGAUGAAUCUUUUUCUAAGCUUUUCUGUCACUGUCACUGCAAAAGGUCUUUUGUAUUGAGGGUUAUCUGUGGGGCUAGGAAAGGUCAGCCCAUCUAUGAUGCGGUGAAGAAAACCUUACUGGAUAGGGUGGAGUUUGAUGAAUCUAAUCUCCUAGCAUAUUGUAGACAUCAUGACAUUCAACUUGAAUGAAUAGUGGGGUGCAGACCUCAGGUACUCUCACUUUCUGCAACUCAUGAUAUUUCUAGGGGAUUAAAUUUUAGUGAAGUUUGUUUACCCAACAUCAAGUUGGAAUUUUAGUGUGCCCACAUGGAUUACUUUUAACUCCUAGUUUAACUUAUUCUGUUGUCUCCAUGCAGGUUCUCAACCCCAAUUCCAAUGCAAUGUCGAAAAUAAUCACUGAAAAUGCAAGCGAGGAAUUUCUGUAUUCAUUGAGUAACUAUUGUGGAUUGCAGGUUGGAAGAUAUUCUAAAUAAUUUAAUUGUGAUGCGCAAUUGCAAUUGCCGGGAAGUUAGCAAUUAAGUUGAUAGGCUUCUUCUGGUUUCACAUAUUUCUAAGUAACAACUUUGGUUUGAAGCUUGCAUACCUUAGGUAAGGUUGAUGUCUUUAGUUGGUCAAUAUCAAUUGGGAAAUAUAGCUAACCAGUGAAGACAGUGGGAAAAGGAUGAUGUGAGUUUGACAAAUGCUGGGAGGAGAUAGGGAAACUUAAUCUGAAAGAUUUCUUUUUUUUUCUUGGUUUAUUUAUUUAUUUACUCGUGUGACCUCUUCACAAUGCCAUUGAUUCCCAUAGUUCAUGUUGCUAGGUGAACUUAACAACAACCAUCUAUUAUGCCUUGUGGAUAACUGAGAAAAUUUAUUGCUUUGGACAAGUUGCUUUUUGAAAUAGAGUGCAAGUAGAUUGACUAAUAAUGAACUUAUUGUAUCAAGUUGUUACAUUUGAAUAUAUUAAGGUCAUAUAAAGCUUACUUGUUAUACUUCUUUUUUUCUUUUUUCCCUCCCCAUUUCCCUGUAUGGAGGGUUUCUUGGACGAUCAGUUUGGCUUAGGUCUAAUUUUCUCGAGCAGUUAAGGAAUUACUGUUAUCAAAAUAAAGUUUCCUCUCACUCACUAGCCAAUUGAGCAGCUCGUCACCGGUCGGAUUCAUUGCCGAUUGCAGCCCACCUCCAUCAUGUCAGUUCAGUAGCUUGUCGCUGCAGUCAUGAUCGGCCUCUUUGUUGUCGUUGAAGAACCAAUCAAUAAUGAUGAUGAUUGAUGAUGAUGAUGAUUACCAUUGUUGAUGAUUAAUAUUAUUGAUGAUGAUGAUGUAGAUGAUGUAAUUGCGGUGAGAUGAUGAAGAUGAAACUGAAUUGUGAUGUUGAUAAUGAAAUUGACAGAAGGAAGAAGAAGAUUGUGAAAAAUCUGACUUCUUCACUCGUAUUACAUUAGAGAAGAAUACAUAUUUAUAUACAUUACACCCUAGGAAUAAAAUGGUAAAAAAAAAACAGCUAAGAUAUUGCAAAUCAGUAUCCCUGAAAAUUAGGGAUUAUAUAUCCUAAAAUCUAGUAUUUAAGUCAACACAUAGCUGUAAAAUACAGCUAACAUCUACAACAAUAGUCAACACACAGCUGUAAAAUACAACUGACAUCUGCAACACUCCCCCUCAAGCUGGAGCAUAGAUAUUCUUCAUGCCUAGCUUGCAUACAAACUCUUCAAACUUGUGUCCAUGCAUUCCUUUUGUCAACAUAUCUGCAGUUUGUUGUCCUGUUAGAAUAUACACCAAACAGAUAACUCCAGUUUCCAAUUUCUCUUUAAUAAAAUGUCGGUCUACCUCCACAUGUUUUGUCCUGUCAUGAUGGACAGGAUUAUGGGCAAUAUUAAUUGCUGCCUUAUUGUCACAGUAAAGUUGCAUAGAACUAUUUUUUAUUAACUGUAGUUCUUUGAGAACACGUUCUAUCCACAUAAGCUCACAUACCGCAUGUGCUAGUGCUCGAAAUUCUGCUUCUGCACUGCUUCGUGCCACUACAGUUUGCUUCUUGCUUCUCCAAGUUACAAGGUUUCCCCACACCUUAGUACAAUAACCCGUUGUAGACUUCCUAUCCAUGAUGUUUCCAGCCCAAUCCGCAUCAACAAAAGCUUCUACAUUCCUUUUUUCUCCCUUCUCAAAAUAAAGUCCCUUUCCCGGUGUUGACUUCAGGUAUUGAAGUAUUCGGUUUACUGCCACUAAGUGAGCUUCUUUUGGGGCGUGCAUAAACUGGCUCACUAAGCUAACCGCAAAAGCAAUAUCAAGUCUAGUAUGGGAAAGAUAAAUUAAUCUCCCUACUAGCCUUUGAUAUCUCCCCCUCUCCACGGGUGCACUAUUUUCUUCAAGACCCAACUUGCUAUUUGGUUCAAUUGGUGUGGCAGCAGGUUUACAGCCAAUCAUACCAGUAUCCUUUAGCAAAUCUAGGGUGCAUUUCCGUUGUGUAACUAGAAUACCUUUAGCUGUUCUAGCUACCUCCAUUCCCAAAAAAUAACGUAGUGGUCCAAGAUCCUUGAUUUCAAACUCACCAGCUAAUUUUUCUUUUAAUCCUUCCAGCUCUUCUUUGUCAUCUCCUGUUAGUAUAAUGUCAUUAACAUACACGAUCAAAAUAGCUAACUUCCCUUCUUUAGACCGUUUGUAGAACAUAGUAUGAUCGGCUUGCCCUUAAGAAUAACCAUAGUUCUUCAAGACUUUCCAAAUCGAUCGAACCAAGCCCUAGGGGACUGUUUAAGGCCAUAGAGAGACCUUUUUAACCGACAAACUCUUCCAGCAGGUCCUUUUUCUUCAAAACCAGGCGGCAUAUCCAUGUAAACUUCCUCUUCCAAUUCUCCAUUCAAGAAUGCAUUCUUGAUAUCAAGUUGGUUGAGAGGCCAAUCUAAAUUUGCAGCAAGAGAGAGAAGGAUCCUUACAGUAUUAAGCUUUGCCACUGGAGCAAAAGUUUCUAGAUAGUCCACCCCAUAGGUUUGUGUGAAACCUUUCGCCACGAGUCUUGCUUUAUACCUGUCCACACUUCCAUCAACCUUAAAUUUGACUGUAAAUACCCACUUGCACCCCACAGUCCUCUUGUCUUUAGGUCUUGGUACAAGCUUCCAUGUGUUAUUCUUUAUUAAGGCUGCCAUUUCUUCUUAAACAGUUUUCUUCCACUCAUUUGACUCUAGGGCUUCAUGGAUGUUUCUUGGAAUAGUGGUAUUAGAUAGACUGGCCACAAAAUUCCUAUACUCCUUAGAUAGAUUUGCAUAUGACAAGAACUUGUUGAUAGGAUGUUUAGUGCAAUUUCUUACCCCUUUCCUUAUCGCAAUAGGCAAAUCUGUGGACUUCUGAGCUUCGUUCUCAGCAUAUUCAGUAGGUGGGUUUUGAUCCUCCCUUAGUUCAGAUCUCGGUUCUGCUUGGUCUAUAAGUGGCUGUACCUCUUGAGUUUUAUUCUUCUUUCGUGAAUAGACAUGAAACUCGCCUAUAGGUUCCUCCAAAUGUGAAUUGGUUUUUAUUCCUUCAUUCCUUGGUGACACUAUUGGUUGAUUAAGUUCUAUGGUGUUAGGUAGGUUAGGAUGAAUGUCUGGACUGAGGAAGGAGGUAUUUGGUAGAUUGAGUUCUAGGCUGGAAUUACUGGACAUAUUAGGUUCUAGGCUGGAACAUCUGGACAUAUUGGGUUCUAGGCUGGAACUACUGGACAUAUUGGGUUCUAGGCUGAAAUUACUAGGCAUCUUAGGUUCUAAAAUGCCAAGAAGAUCCCAGGAAUUAUCUUCUCUCAAAUUCUGCCCCUGAAGAGAAUUACUCGUGUAAAAAGGCUGAUUUCAAAGAACUUGACAUCCAUUGUGACGAAUAAUUUUUUGGUAAGAGGAUUAUAACACUUGAACCCUUUCUUGGUAGGAGAAUAUCCUAGAAAUAGGCACUUGAUGGCUCUAGGAGACAACUUUGUUCUUUGAAGACUCGGAAGAUAUACAAAGGCUGUACAACCAAAAGUUUUGAGUGCAAAAUUAGAGGUAACAAGGUGAUUUUGUGGGUAGCUGUCAAGAAAAACAAAAAUAGGUGUCUUGAAUUUAAGAACUCGAGAGGGCAUACGAUUUAUGAGAUAAGAUGCUGUAAGAAUGGCCUCUCCCCAAUAUAUUUUUGGUACAUUAGUUGUGAACAUAAUGACCCUAGCAACCUCUAAAAGGUGUCUGUUUUACGUUCUGCAACCCCAUUUUGUUGUGGUGUUUCGGAACAAGAACUUUGGUGGACAAUUCCUUGUUGUGAUAGGUAAUUCCCUAAAAUAGAAUUGAAAUACUCAGUUCCAUUAUCUGUACGGAGUACACGAUUUUCAGUUUGAAACUGAGUUUUUACCAUGACAUGGAAUUGUUUAAAAGUUUGUCCAGCUUCAGAUUUUUCCUUCAAAAGGUACACCCAAGUGGUCCUAGAGUGGUCAUCUAUGAAUGUUAUGAACCAUUUUGCUUUUGACAGGUUGUUAACCCUUGAGGGGCCCCAAAUAUCACUAUGAAUCAAAGAGAAAGGCUGGGAUGGUUUAUAAGUACGGGUAGGAAAUGAAACACGUGUUUGUUUAGCCAUUUAACAAAAGUCACAAUAUAAUAAACUCAAAUUUUGAUUUUUAAAUAAGGAAGGAAACAAGGUUUUUAGAUAUGGAAAGCUAGGGUGGCCUAACCUAUAGUGCCACAACAUUAUUUCAGAAGAAACAAAUUCACAUUGAGAGACCUGAGCAUGUCCUUUCACGAGUCUUUUAUUCUCGAGAUAGUACAGUCCCUCAUAUUCCUUUGCAUUCCUAGUCAUCCUCCCCAAGAUUGGAUCCUGAAAUAGACAUUUAGAACCACAGAAUUUAGCUACACAGUUUGUGUCUUUAGUAAGUUUACUAACUGAAAGAAGAUUGCAUUUAAGAUUUGGGACAUGUAAAACUGAAAAAGAGUCAAACAAUUUGAUAGUUUUACUGUUCCUUUUCCAGCAACAGUGGAUAAUGAUCCAUCAGCAAUCCUCACUUUAUAAUUACCUGGACAUGGAGUGUAACUAGAGAAAAAUUGAGAAGACCCUGUCAUAUGGUCUGAGGUCCCUGAAUCAACAAUCCAAGAACCUUUUUCAAGGGAUUGGAUGCUAAGGGCUGAUGGGUUACCUGUAUGGACUGCAUUACAACUAGAGGAGGUCAAGUCAUUUUUAUUUGCUUGCUGAUUUUGUAUAAGGAGCUGUUGCAGCAUCUCAAAUUGAUCUUUUGCGAGGGCAAACUGAUUAGUUUUCUCUGUCACCAUUCCCUUUGCUUCUUGCUGCCGUUUUGGUUUCCAAUCUGCUGGCUUUCCAUGAAGCCUCCAGCAUGAGUCUCGAGUAUGCCCUUUCUUGUGACAAUAGUCGCAAUAGGGACGUUCUCCAUGUUUUUGUCCCUUUUGGUUAGCUGACUGAUCUGUCUUUUUGGUCACCAGCGCUGAUCUCUCCGCCUCAGGUUCCUUCACCAGUCCCAUCAUGACUCUCUUUCGACUUUCUUCACGCCCCACCUCAACAAAAGCUUCUCGGAUGGAGGGUAGAGGAUUCUUUCCUAAUAUUCUGCCACGAACUUCAUCAAGUUCUUUGUUGAGUCCAUAAAGGAAAUCAAAGAGACGUUCUUUAUCCAACAUCCUCUUAUUUUGAUGGCAUCCUCAGAGCAAUGCCAUUGCGAUUCAUAGUAAAGGUCAAGUUCAUGCCAUAUAUUGUUUAGAGAAUUGAAAUAUUGAGUCACUGAAAGACUCCCUUGCUUUUGGUCACGUAAUUGUGACUUGAUUUCAAAGAGCUGAGCUGCAUUCCCCAGGUCAGAGUAAGUUUCUGUCACGGCUUCCCAAAGCUCCUUCGCAGAUGGUAGGAAGAGAUAAGUCCUACCAAUAUCCACGUCCAUCGAGUUGAUCAACCAAGUUUGCACCAUUGAAUUUUCAGCAUCCCACUGUGGAUAACCUGGAUCCAAGACAUCAGGGGCUUUGGUUUCCCCUGUAAUAUACCCUAAUCGGCCUUUGCCACGAAGAAAUAGGGUGACAGAUUGAGACCAUUGCAAAAAGUUUCUGCCAUUUAACUUGUGCAAAGUUAUUUGCAAAGAGGGGUUUUCGGUACCUAAGGAGACCGAAGAGAUGUCCUGCCUUGUUACAGAACUGGAGGAAAUCUCAGAUUCUUGUGUAGGGUUUGUUGUCUUCUCCAUUGGAUGGGUUGAGAGUUUAGAAUGAGAAAAAAAUUCAGAGGCUUAGUUUAAAAGAGUUGCUCUGAUACCAUGUGAAAAAUCAGACUUCUUCACUUGUAUUACAUUAGAGAAGAAUACAUAUUUAUAUACAUUACACCCUAGGAAUAAAAUGGUAAAAGAAAAAAAAGCUAAGAUAUUGCAAAUCAAUAUCCCUGAAAAUUAGGGAUUAUAUAUCCUAAAAUCUAGUAUUUAAGUCAACACAUAGCUGUAAAAUACAGCUAACAUCUACAACAAUAGUCAACACACAGCUGUAAAAUACAGCUGACAUCUGCAACAAAGAUAAUUGUGGUGAUGAUGAUGAUGUUGAUGGAGAAGAUGAAAUUGACAUGAUUGAUGAUGAAGUAACGAAGAAUUUGUAAAACACACACACACACACACACAGAGAGAGAGAGAGAGAGAGAGAGAGAGAGAGAGAGAGAGAGAGAGAGAGAGAGGAGAAGAGGAUAAAAAAAAAGAUAGAGAAAAACAGGAGAGAAAAUAAUAACAAAAACAAAAGAGGAAAAUAAUUAUUAUUGUUAUUAUUAUUAUUAACAAUAACUUUCUUAAUAACCAUAAUCAUAUAAUAGAUAAUAAAAAUAGAAGGUAAUAAUAACUAAGGGUAUUUUAAUAAUUUAAAUAAUUUAUUGUAAUUUCAAGGUAAAGUAAAUAUAUUAAUGAUAAUACAGUUUAUUUUAAUUUUGAUUCUUAUAAUUGAAGUAAAUAAUUUAUUUUAAUUUUUAUUUCACAUUUUAAUUUUAUUCUAUUCUGAAUUAGUAAACGCAUCAUAAAAUCAUGUGAUUCUACUCUAUAUGUGAGAUUGAUUUUUUUCUUUAAGGCCUACGACAUCCCAAUACAAGUCUAUAUAGGACCAAGCUACUAAGUGGACGGUCAUAAAAACUUAAAAAGGCAUAAAAUUGGAUGGCCGUCUAAUUAAUUUCCCGUGACCUACAACAAAAAUUUAAGAAGGAACUCCGAUACCAUCAAUUCUGCAUUUUAAUUUGAAGUUGGAAAACAGUGAAAACAGAAGGAUCGGGUGAUUUAAUUUUAUACAUAUUUAAUCAAGUAAAAAUGGCACGUGCGUUGUAAUUUGCCCAGUUAUCUUACUUUGAAUAAUAACAAAGUUCAAAUUUUGUAUUCAGUGAAAAAUCAAUUCUAUAGUGAAAAACACUAGCUAGAAAAAAAUCUAUGUCCUGAUGUCUUAGUUUAUAAGCUCAAACAAUGAAUAGUAUACAUACAACGCAUGAUAGAACACAAACUCAUAUAGAUUUUUAGUUUUGAAAUUCAUUUCAGAAAAUCUGUUCUGUUCAACAGGUUAUAGAUUAUCAACUAAACUCUGCCCACAUUCUUAGCUCUGCCAUUGGAAGUACGCAACUCAGCUGCCCAUCGACCGCCAAGCCAUCAAGACAAUACCAAGAUACAACAUCAAUAAUAAUAACAUCAAGAAUUACAUAGAGGCCGUCGCACGUUACACCCACUCCAACAGGAAACUAAUUAAUACCCUCCAAGCUCCUCUGUUUCAAAUCCAAAUCCACUGCUCGACCAUUUACUAUGACGUAAGGUAUAUGGAUUAAUUAACAAGUGCCGAUAUUGUCCUCCAUCCUUUUGUGUACCUUUCUUCUGGCAAGGCCUUUUCUGGAAAGUAUUUGAGCUCCAGACAAUUGCAGAAUUUCAAUUUGCUGAGGUUUUGAUGAUCAGCAAUUGAAGAAGACAGGUGUUAAUAAUUAUGAAGAACUGGUGUAAUUUAUAUCAUGUAGGAAGCCCUUCAGUUACUUUUUUGACCGUGCUCAAGCUCUUUUAAGGGCUAAUAUUAAAAUUUCGUGAUAUUGUGCCAAAAGAGCUUCGUACGUCAUUGUAAACUGUUCAUCGUUAUGUGCUGCUUCCCCAUUUAAUUACAUUUAUUUAACAUUUUAAAGAUGGAAGUAGAAAUUAAAACUCAGUUUUUCAGAUAUGGCUCAUAUACAAUGCAAGUAUCAAGAUUUAAUUAGAGUUCAAUAUACAUGCGUCUAGUUUUUAUUGAGAGAAACAAAUCAUAAAUACUCAGGUGUUUCUAAAUGAUUGAAUAACGAUAUUAUUGUUAUUUAUAAAUUUAUAAGGAUAAAUAACUAAUAGUCCACCAUAAAUACCGAAAAGGGUCCCCAGCAUAACUUGAACAACUUUACUUGUGUUUGCUCAUUGAAUAAUGUUAUAAGAAAGAAAUACAUAUGUCAGAAGAUUCAUAGUAUAUUGGAGUGUUUUUUGUACUUGAAUGAGAAUGAAUGAAGGUAUGUUAAUUUACUUUAAAUAAUUGUCUAAAAGGAAUAGAAAUGCUCUAUAACAUACCAAAUACUACCUUAAUCAAAAUUUAUUUGACAAAAAUUUUUAAAAAAUGGAAUAAUUAACCCUAAUUAAAUAAUUGUCUUAUAUCACCAAACUCUUUUUUUUUUAAUUAAGCCAUCACCAAACUCUGUAAAGCAUAAAAUAUAAUAGGCAAAUUUGAGUUAAAAAAAAAUGAAGUUAGGAAAAUGACUUGCAUAUUGUCUUUGAUGAGCGCAUAAUUUUCUUUUAAAAAAAAUGUUGAAAUGAACUCAAACUCGUUAGUGCAACUUGUCGGUUUUAAGUUGUAGAUACGAGUGACAUGUCAUUUUAGCUGAACUAGAUUCCAGAGCUCACAUUUGGGCAGUGUCAUCCAAGAACAUUAAAACUCACGUGACUAUUGCACGCAUGGUUUAAGCUGAAAUGACGUUGCUAGCAGUCGUUUAAGGAAGGCCUUUAAGUGUCACAUGAGUUGCUCGUGAUAGGAGGUUAAAAGCUGUUGGUUUUGGAGGGAAACCCCUGAAGCUGUUACGCCUGCAUCUUCUGGUAUAUAAACGAGCUGGUUCUGGUGUCAUAGUCAGUAAUCAAGGAAAGAGAGAUAAAGCAUCUGUACUGAGAGAAAAUCUUGACAGGGUGGUCUCUGUAUUGUGUAUAAUUUCUCUAUAACCUUGGAAGCUUAAUAAAACUGCUCUCUGUGUUGGUUUUCUCCAGUGGAUGUAGGCACCCUUCAACAGGUGCUGAACCACUUAAGCUCGGUGUGUUCUUUGUCUUUGGGUUAUGAUCUUUGAUCUGUGCAUUGUUCUUUGUUAACGUAAGAUUAGUUCUUGAAUCUUUGAGUCAGAGUUGGGUCUUGGGGUAAGGUUAAUCUAGUAACUAAAGGUUAAUUUCACAACAAUUGGUAUCAGAGCUCUAAACUCUGAUUUCAAGGUUCAAGAAUGGGUUCAAAAGUGGAUCUUGAGAAGUUUACGGGGCAGAAUGAUUUCAAUAUGUGGAAGAUCAAGAUGGAGGCUUUGUUGAUUACUCAAGAGCUGGGAGAAGCCAUAGAUCCAGUCACUAAGAUUGAAGAAGGUGAGGCUUCAUCAUCUAAGAUCCCAGAACAGGUAGCAGAGAUAGACAAGAAAGCCAGGAGCACAAUCAUACUAAGUCUUGGUGACUCUGUAAUUCGAGAAGUGGCCAAGGAAAGGACUGUUGCUGGUUUAUGGGCUAAGUUGGAGAACUUGUAUAUGACAAAGUCUUUGGCAAAUAGACUUUACAUUAAGAAGAAGAUGUUCUCACUGAAGAUGAUUGAAGGGGCAUCAUUAACAGAACAUGUUGAUGAAUUCAAUAAGGUUUGUGAUGAACUGGAGACUAUAGAUGAAGGGCUGAGUGAUGAGAGCAAAGCCUUGCUACUAAUCAGCUCUUUACCAAAGUCUUACGAGCACUUUGUGGAUGCACUGCUGUAUGAGAGGCAAACACUCUCCCUAGAAGAGGUUAAAUCUGCUCUUGGCACAAAGAAGCUGAAAGAUAAGCAAGAUAAUCCAGAAAGUGAAUCAAGUGAGGGAUUGAUGGCAAGAGGCAGGUCUGAGAAAAGAGAUAACAAUGAAAAAAGCAAGGCAGAUCAAAGUCUAAACAAAAGAAUUUGAAGUGUUUUCAUUGCCAUAAAGAAGGGCAUUUCAAGAGAGAUUGCCCUGAAAGAAAGAACAAGAAUAAAGAAACCAAAGAAAGAACAGGUAAUGCAGCCAUAGCCACAGAAGAAGAAUGUAACUUUGAAACAGCCGGAGUACUCAUUGCCACAAGUCAGAAACCUCAAGGUCAGUGGGUCCUUAACUCAGGUUGUACCUUUCAUAUGUGUCCAAAUAGGAGUUAUUUUACAACAUAUCAGCCAUGUGAUGGGGGUAUGGUUCUAAUGGGUAAUAACUCAAUGUGUAAGGUAGCUGGUAUUGGGACUGUUAGCCUUAGGAUGUUUGAUGGGGUGAUAAGGGAAUUGACACAAGUGAGAUUUGUCCCUGAUCUAAAAAGGAACUUAAUCUCAAUUGGCAUGCUAGAUCAAACAGGUUGUGUAAUUAAGGCUGAGAAAUGUGUAUUGAGGGUAAUUAAAGGAUCAAUGGUGAUCAUGAAAGGCAUAAAACAAAAUGGUCUAUAUGUGAUGGAUGGACAUACUGUUGUUGGGGAGGCAAGUGUGACUGACAGUAAAUGGAACAGAUCAAUGAUGUGGCAUUUAAGGAUGGGGCAUAUGAGUGAAAGAGGUUUGAGAGAGUUACAAAAACAAGGAGUGUUUGGGGAUGAUCAAAUAGGAGCUUUGGGGUUCUGUGAGGAUUGUAUUCUAGGAAAAUCCUCCAGGUUAAGGUUUGAGAUUGCAGCUCAUACCACCAAAGAGAAGCUUGAAUACAUACACUCUGAUUUGUGGGGGCCUGUACAAGUAAACUCACUAGGUGGAUGUAGAUAUUUUCUGACUUUUAUAGAUGAUUUUUCAAGGAUGGUUUGGGUCUUUGCACUCAAAAGCAAAGAUGAGGUUCUGGAAAAAUUCAAAAACUGGAAAACUUUUGUUGAGAACCAGACUGGUCUGAAGGUGAAAACUCUGAGGACAGACAAUGGCUUGGAGUAUUGCAACAAGCUGUUUGAAGAAUUCUGUGAAAAGAAUGGUAUUCAGAGGCACAAAACUGUCACCUACACCCCUUAACAGAAUGGCCUUGCUGAGAGGAUGAAUAGGACUCUGGUGGAGAAGGUGAGAUGCAUGUUAAUCUAUUCUAAGCUCCCAAAAACCCUUUGGGCAGAAGCUUUAAACACAGCAUGCUAUCUAGUCAACAGGAGCCCAUCAACUGCUAUAGAUUGUAAAACACCAAUGGAGCUUUGGUCAGGAAGAAGGGCUGACUAUACAAAACUCUGAAUCUUUGGGUGCACAACAUAUGCUCAUGUGAAGUAGGGUAAGCUGGAACCAAGGGCAUUAAAAUGCAGAUUUCUGGGGUAUCCGGAUGGGGUCAAGGGCUAUAGAUUAUAGUGUGUUGACACAAAACCACCACAGUGCAUCAUAAGCAGGGAUGUAAAAUUCCAUGAAGAAGAGCUAUUGAAUAAACCAAAGAGCUCAGAUAACAAUAUGGAAUCAAGCACUGAGACUGAUAUAGUGAAGUUUCAGGUGGAGCCUCAAAACUUGAAAGAACUUGAGCCUGAAAUUGAAGGUACUGAAGCAGAACCUGAAGCUGGUGUUGAACAUGAAUCAGCUGAAAGUGAAGAGAACACCUAUCAGUUGGCUAGAGACAGAAAGAAAAGGACAAUAAAGCCACCUAAAAGAUAUGCAGUAGUUGACUUGAUUGCAUAUGCUUUGAAUGUUGCUCAAGAGCUGAAUGAUGAUGAACCUAGGACCUAUCAAGAAGCUAUCACAGGCAAAAACAAGCUGGAAUGGAAGAGGGCAAUGGAUGAAGAGAUGACAUCCCUGAUUAAAAACAAGACCUGGACAUUGAUUGAAAAACCAGACAAGAGGAAAACAGCAAGCUGCAAAUGGAUCUUCAAAAUUAAAAAUGGUGUACCUGGAGCUGAACCUAGAAGAUUUAAAGCUAGAUUGGUGGCAAGGGGUUUUACACAGAAGGAGGGAAUUGACUUCACUGAAGUAUUUUCUCCUGUGGUGAGACAUGCUUCCAUCAGAGUUAUUCUUGCACUUGUGGCUGUGCAAGAUAUGCAUCUUGAGCAGAUGGAUGUAAAAACAACAUUUCUGCAUGGUGAGUUACAAAAAGAAAUUGUAAUGCAGCAGCCUGAAGGAUAUGUAGCAUCUGGAAAAGAAGACUAUGUUUGCUUACUUAAGAAGUCUCUGUAUGGGUUGAAGCAGUCACAUAGGCAAUGGUAUCUGAGUUUCAGAUAUUUUUGACAUGUCGGUUUAUAACCUUGAUUGUGCAUGCCCUGUCGGUUGCGUGAUGAAACAGGAGAAUAUUGACAUCUGUGUAUUAUCGUUUACUUCCUGCAAUUAAAUCACAUGUUGUUCAUUCCAUUUACACUAUACGGCACAUUUGGCAGUUGUUUUGGUCACUUAUUGAAGCACGGGUUAAGUACUUGAUUCAAGGUUGUUAACUGACCUUUACAAGGCGGGAAAAUUCUGGGUUUGUUAUAACAAACCCCGGAAUGCAGCUAGUGAGUGGGGACUUUUCUAGACUCUUCAUGAUAUGUAUAUAUAGUCUUAGAGGCUAUAGUUGAGACAUAUGAAAAGCUUCUUAAUGUUUGUAGUUUGAUCUCGGUGAUGGAGAUAAGAUUGCUGCCCUGUUCUUCAGUGGAUAUAGGCUAUCUCCAAGCCGAACCACUUAAAUUGUGCCUCUGUUUUGCUUGAUGACUACCAGUGGUGAGAAAACACCUACAGAACAAAUCAAGCUUGAUGACUCAAAUAUUAGGGAAGCCAUAGUCAAGGUAUCUGGUUUAUGCAUCAACAGUGGUUCGUGGACUAGAAUUCCUAUCUAUUGUCGCUUCACAAUUGCACUGGAAGAAAGCGAAUUUGAUCGAGCUUUGGAUCGCAUAGCUAAAUUCAAAAGCAUCGUACAAAUAGUUAACUAAAAGACGGUAUUGUCAUUUGUCAUGAUUUAUUUCUAUUGCCUGAUGAUGAUACCCAUCACGCCUUAGUUGUCGUGAAUAAAUCUAAAAUCAAAUUGAACUGGUUUUUACUGGUUAGCAACAAUUGUGACGUUUUGAGAUUAUAAUAUAUGACAACACUGAUUAGUGUUGUCUCCCAUGUGAAUUGAGACAAAAAUUAUUUUCCCAAUUGCGCUUUCAUUUGAACAAUUCCACUGUAGAUUUAUAAAAUAAUGAUCAAAUUGUGUUUUAUAUUAAGUUACGAGUAAUUGGUUAAACAUUAAUACAAAACUAUUUUAAGUAACAUGUGGCAUAUUCUAAUUCUAGCCAAGCUUCCAACUAAGAUUCCCAAAUCAAAAGAAUUUCAAUCUUCAGAACAUUCUGCAAAACGUUUAGUCUCUACGCAGUGCUAGAAUUUUCCCUAAGUUUCUAUUGCAAAGACUUCUAAAGAACUAUUCAGAUAUCGAGCUAUAAUCCAGUCUAAAGUGCAUAUAUCUCUCUAAUUCACCUCCCUCCAUUUCACCAGAAAAUCAAUAAACACUUAGCUUCAAACAAACACUCUCAAAAAGCUAGCUAGCUAUCCAGAUGGAAAAACCAAGAAUUCUUGCAAUGACAAUGUUGUUUCUUGUUAUGGCAGCAACAUUGAUAAACAUGGCAUCACAAGCAAUAGCUCUGAUGCCGUACACACAAUCACCUUUCUUUGACAUGAUGUUCCCAAUGACGGAAGAGCCUUUCAGGGUUCUUGAACAAACCCCUUUAACAAUCGCAAAAGGAGCUGAUCAUCAUCAAACUCUAGCCCUGGCGAGAGCAGACUGGAUGGAGACACCAACAGCCCACGUGAUCACGCUCGACAUUCCAGGGAUGAAGAAAGAUAAUAUGAAGAUUGAAGUUGAAGAGAACAGAGUACUGAGAGUGAGUGGGGAGAGGAAGAGUAAUGAUUAUUAUAAGGAGGGAGUUGAAGGAGAGAAAUGGCACAAAGCUGAGAGGACAUUUGGCAAGUUUUGGAGGCAGUUUAGGAUGCCAAUGAGUGUUGACUUGGAACAUGUUAAGGCUCACAUGAAAAAUGGGAUUCUGAGGGUCACAGUGCCAAAGCUUGCUGAGGAGAAGAAGAGGCAGCCUAAGGUUAUUAACAUUGAUGAAGAGUCUGGUAAUUCUUCCAAUGAAGAUAUUAAGGCUACCAAGGCUCAAAUGUAAUUAAUUAAAGAAAGAAGUGAUUGCUUUGCUUGAUGUGCUAUUUGUUUAUGAUCUUUUUUUGGUUUUGUUCCGAGAUGUUUCUAUUUGGAUGCUCUAUUUAAUGUAUGUUGAUGGGUUUUUGAGGAAGGCUUGUAUGUAUUGACAACCAUAAAAUACUUUUUAUAAAUCCUAGUCCUACAACACUAAAAGAAAACAAUACGUUUGGUUUAUAGUUAAUAAAAAUAUAUUUUUUUAAAAAAUUCUUUUUCUUUGGCAUAUAGUAUGCGUUUUGAGGGGAAAAAAAUUUAUCCCACUCCUAAUUUGUCAUCUGUGAUAUUAAUGUGUUAGCACGAAGAUUCAUUGUAAUUGCAACAAUUUUGAUGAAUCCAAACGUUCAAUAACUGUUAAAUUGUAUUUUAUAAAUACUAAUAGCGAAGGUACAGAAACGAUUAAUCCAAGAAGUUGCUUAAAGUGCAUUAAAUUAGGGAGUAUAAAUAAUUGUGUGAUACAGUCCAGCCUUUAUCUGCUUAUAAUUAGCAACCAAAAACCAUUUGCAACGCCAUUAAAAAAACAUUUUAACAUUAUUGCUGAGGGAAGAGGCAGCUUAGGCUUAUUAACUCGUAUUAUUAAUGCUGAUGACGCAGCUGGUAAUCCUUUUGGUGAAUAUAAUAAGGUAGCUGAAGCUUAUAAUUAUUUAAGCCCACUAAAGCUUAAAACUAAUUCUUCUAGUGACGAUGCUUUGCUUAGUUUGCUUUUUGUUUUUAAUUUUUUUGGGGCUAACAUUUUGCUUAUUUUGCUUUUAAAAUUCUAUUCGCGUUGCUGUGAAAUAUUGUUUGUCCUUCCAUUUUCUGUUUUUGUUGUUAUCGGAUUUGAUGAUGGUUUAUAUGUACGAAGAUUAUGUAAUAAAGUCUUUUUCUUUGGCCUUUAUUAUGCAUUUUAAUACGAAAAAAAAUUAUCCCACUCCAAUUCAUGAAGAUAUUCUCAUUUCUGUCAUAUUGAUGUGUUAAUAUAAAGAUCCAUUGCAGUUGGUGAAUUCAAAUAUUCAGUAACUGAUGAAAUUGUAUUUAUAAAUUCAUAGUAAUAGCAAUUGAAGAUUAUAAUUAAUUUUGUAAUAUGGUCAAGCCCUCGUGUGUUUAAUUAGCACUCAAAAACCACUUUACAAUAGUCAUUAAAAGAACAUUAUAACGUCAUUACUGAUGAGUUCUGGUGAAGAUAUUAAGUUAAGGCCACAAAAAUCGAAAUGUACGUGGCUUCGUUUGUUUUUUGUUUUGAUUUUUUUUGGGGGCAAAUGCUUGGCUUCGUUUUUGAUAUUUUAUUGGCUUUAUUGUGUGGCAUGUUCUUGUUUUCUUUUGAUUUUCUGUUUUUGUUUGUUAUGGGAUUUGAUGACGAUGUACAUGUACGAAGAUUAUGUAAUAAAAUGCUUUUGAUAAAUUGUGGUCGGUUUAGUAUUAAUUAACCAAAUUUAAUUUACUUGAUCAAUUGAUAUUUGUUAGUAUUGUUGUUAUACAAGCACAACAAAAGAAGAACACUAACGUACUAAUUAAUUACUAAUAAGAACAUUAACAAUUUUUGCCGAAGUCUGAUGAAGAGAAAUAUUACACAUACGUAACGGUACCGCGGAAGGAAAAAAUAAAAGAAACUGAAGUUUAUUUCAACAGCUACUCUUUCUUUACCUAAAUCCUGCACCUCUCAUACUACCAACAAGAUCGAAAACCUUAUCGAAUACUCCUACAUCCCAGACUCUGCCCAAAUCAGUGAAUCCACAUACCUCCAAUACAGUACCCCGUUGCUAAAAUAAAGCGAGCGUCUUACUCUACCUAACAUUUUUCUUUUUAUUAAUUUAAAACAGUUUUCAACUGAGAUUGGAAUUUUAAAAUUACGUACACAAACAUACCUGAUUUUAAAGAAAAAAAAUUCUAAUAAUAAAAUAUUUUACAUAUGUAACCAUACGGCGGAAGAACAAAUAUAAGAAACUGAAGUUUCAACAGCUGAGAAUGAGAUAAGCAUAAGAAAUUAAUUCAUUAAUUAAUUAAUAGAGUCCUCCUCCUUUGCUAAAUAAUGCGAGCCCAUUGUUCUUUUUAUUUCGAAAACCCAUUAAUCACCAACACAUAAUAUACGCCCAAUUUAAAAAAAAGAAACUAAUAAUAAAAUAUUUCAGUCCCUCUGUUGAGUCGUCCUCUGUGGAGUCGUCAUCAAAAACCCAUUUACUAGCUAUUUCAACAUAAGGUAAAUGGGUUAACAAGGCCCAAUAUUGUCCUCCAUCCUCUCUGCACUUCUCUUCUAUCAACGGACAAUCAUAGAUACUUAAUUUCAAAAGUGAGGAAGGCAGGCCCUUCUCCGGAAAGUAUUUGAGCUUGGGACAAUUCUUGAGAUACAAUGAAGUGAGGUUUUGAAGAUCAACAAUUGAAGAAGAUAGGCGUUCCAAAUUUGGAAAAUUGUAAAUCUCCAGAGACGUUAGAGAGGCAAGAAGAGGAAGCGCAGCCCCUAAUCUUUUGUCCUCUAGUGGAAUUGACACCAUGUCGUCAUCGCAUUCGCUGAUUUUAAAAUGUCGCAGAGAGGAGAAUCUGUGAAAUCCCCGGCCCCGCUCAAUCAUUGACUUCCAAAUCUCCAUAUUACCCCUGAUAUCAAGUGAAUGAAGGUUGGUGGGAAGGCCAUCUUCUUCAAGGCUUGGAAGCUCAACUCCUCUUCCUAUUGUUAAUUCUUGAAGAGAGGUCAGAUUGUGCAAUCCCUUGGGUAAGGCCUCUAGUCCCUUGCACCAACUGAUAUUGAACUUUAUUAGUUUCGCACAAGGCAAUCCCCCUUCGGGAAAGGACACCAGAUUUUUACAUUCCCAUAUUUCGAUCUCUUGAAGCUGGCGGAGAUUAUGUAAACCACUCGGUAAAAUCUUUAGAUUUUUACAAAAAUCAAUUCUGAUUAUUUCAAGCGAUGUGUUGUUGUCCAACCUUUCUGCUAUUGACUCCAGCUUUGAACAACUAAGAACUUCAAGGGACUUAAGAGACGGAGGUAGAUUGCCAACUUCAAGGGACUCAAGCGUGGCAGGUAACUCGUUUUUUGAAAAUAUACAUGUCAGAGAUGGACAUUCGCUAAUAUGCAAGCCCUCGAGAAGAGAUGAGGUGUACCUUCUGCUGCUGCUGCUGCUGCUACUCUGGAUGCCCUCUUCCACUGUCAAAGUCCUUAGAUUAUCACAAUUAUGGAUGUACAACAUCUUAAGGCUCGGUGGUAGCUGGACUCCAGCAAUAUAUGUCAACGAACGGCAACUCAAAAUCUCCAAGAUCUCGAGAGAUGAAUUGGUGUCGCACAUCCAUGCCUCUGGUAACAAUUUCAGUGCAUCACAAGAACUAAUAUGAAUUGUCUUCAACUUGGAAGGCAGAGCAACCUCAGGAAAGGAAACAAGGGAACUGCAUUGGUAGAUUUCUAUCUCUCUCAAGGAGCUAAGGCUGAGCGAUGAUUGUGGCAGCUUCACAAGGUCUUGGCAAUCUCUCAAUUCUAUAUAUUCGAGUCUGCAUGACAACUCGCAGAGCUGCUGUUGUUGGUCUUUCUCUUCCUCCGCCACCAAGGAUUGAAGUUUGGGACAGCUGCCAAUCGUCAAUCUUUUGAGAGAGCAAAUGUCUUGUAGUAAUCCAUCAUGACUCUUCCAUAUAUAUGUUUGCUCUUUUGUCGACAAAAUUAAUUCUUCCAAUUUCUGUAGUUGUGGUUUCAAUGGCCCCACAAGAAACACUUGAUUUGAUGCAUCUCUACAAACCACUGAAUUCUGUGAUCCGAGAUGACCAGUUGCACUUUCCCACACAACCUUUUUGCAUCCACCAAUUUCCAAUUUGCAAAGAGCUGGAAGACUCGAAACUGAAACUAACAAUUCUUCACAUCCUUCAAUAACAAGCAUCUCCAAUGCAGGAAGGUGCUCUGGAAAUGUUCCUUUCAGUUUAGAACAUUUUAAAAUGUGAAGUUCUCUCAAUUUAGGAAACCCUUCAACUCCUUGACUGGAUCCAUGAGGAAUCCAAUCUUCCCAUUCUUGCAUGUUUUCAAAAAGAAGAGUCUUCAAGCAUGGAAAUGGAAUUGGAGAAACAUUCCCAUAGAACUCUGAACCCAACCUCUUUACUCUGCUCAUUCCACAUACUACAAGAUGCUUUAAAGAGGGUAGUUGCCCGACUGACGGCAGGGCAGUACACAUGUCACAAUUUUUAAAUUUUAGGGUCACCAAAUUUGAGAAUGAGGAAUCUCCCAACCAAGUUGGAAAUUUCAUACCUCCAUAGCCUUUGAUACAAAAUUGCUCCAGAUUUGUAUGAGGUUUCAGCAUGUCAAGCAUGCCCAUUUCAGUUUCUGCCUCCCUUGAAGAAGAACCAUCGGUACUGCAAGUCCAUUUAAGCGAUAAUUCUUUCAGAUUCUUCUUUCCAUCCAUUUGAGCUACCAUGGCAUCACCAACGCAUUUUGCAUUCUCCAAUUUUGAAAUGUUAAGUGUCCCAUGAAGGUGCGUCAACAACUUUAGCUCUCGUAACCCGGAACCACUGCCUUUUCCCACAACAAAAUUACACAACGUCUGAAGACUAGUCAACCUACCAAUUCCUAGUGGCAUUUCCUCCAACGACUUCGUAUUUGAAUUCUUAAGAUGAUGCAAUUUGGCGAGGUUUCCCAUGUCUGCACACAACUUCUUCAGCCGAUCACAAUCUUCCAACAAAAGGCUAUGCAAAUUGUAAAGCUUGUUGACUGAGUCAGGCAGAGUUCUAAUCUCAGUUCCAGACAGGUUAAGGUACCUUAAAUACCUCAAAUCACCAACUGAAUCCGGUAGCUCGAAGAUGUGGUAUCCACGCAGAGAGAACGCCCUCAAGCGUUGGGGUUUGAGCAACUUAGGAAGAAUGCUAGGAGCCAAGUAGCCAGGCCCACUAUUUGUCAACAUUACUGGUAAAAAAGUUCUCAAAUGUUGGAUAUCAUACAAGUCCCCGAACCUUUGAACGCCAUCAUAAUCUCCACGAAUGUAUGAUAGGUGACGAAGAUUUCUGGAAAAACAUUGUUGCUUGUUAACCUCCGAGGUAUACUCCAGUGUGAAGUAUGUCUCCCCUGCAGCCCAACGGGCAAGGUCGUUGAUAAGAUCGUGCAUAACAAAUAGUGAUGCAUCGGUGGCCGAUUGCUGCAAAAAAGAUCUUGAACGUAGCUCCUUAAAGAAAUCACGACCUAAAUCUUCACUAGGAUUCUCAUCUUCUUUGUGAUCCAAAAAACCGGAGGCACACCAUAAUAAAAUUAUCUCCUCCUCUUCAAAUUCAUAAUCCUUUGGAAACAAUGAGCAGUAUGCAAAGCAUUGUUUCAAAGUUGGAGGAAGAUAAUAAUAGCUCACUGCAAGGGCUGGUAUAAUGCCACACCUCUUUUCUGAUAAUUCCCAUAUCUUGCUACAGAGCACACGUUCCCACUCACGUCUGUCAUGUUUUCCACGUAAAAGUCCUCCAAGUGUUUGUGCUGCCAAGGGCAAGCCAUCGCAUUUGGUCACUAUCUUCUUGCCGAUUUCCUCCAAUAACUUAUGUGACCCCAAAGAAUGUUGAGCGAAUACAGCCAGACAAUCAUUAUCUGACAACUUUUUUAAUUGAUAAGAUGGAACAGUACCCAUGAUUUCUGCAACCUCUUGAUUGCGAGUAGUGACAAUAAUUUUACUUCCUGGUGCACCAACUUCAAAUGGACGUCUGAGUUGAACCCAAUCAUCGUAAUUCCGGUUCCACACGUCAUCCAAAACAAGCAAAAAUUUCUUUCCAGACAGUUGCUUACUCAGUUCCUUUUGAAGUGAAUUCAAGCUGGGAUCACCCACGUUCUGGCUAGCAACAAUGGAUGUUAAGAUUGUUUUUGUUAGCCUCUUAACGUCGAAAUCAUCAGAGACACAAGUCCAUGCCUUGAGAUCAAAAUGAUCCUGCACUUGCUUAUCAUUGUAGACAAGCUGAGCAAGAGUGGUUUUGCCCAGCCCGCCCAUACCUAUAAUAGGAAUAACAGAGAAUCCACCAUCGUUGCUUAAAUCAUCCCUCAACAGCAGUUCAACAACAUCCUUCUUUUCUGUUUCCCUGCCAUAUACUUUGGCUUCAUCCACCAAAGAGGUUGUCUCUGGCCUUUGACUGGCUUUUUUGGAUCCCCCAGCUGAACUUUCUUUCAAAUCUAGCAAGUUUUUCUUUGUCACAAUUUCUUGAAAUCUGCUGUCGAUCUCUUUGAUUUUGGACAUCAAGUCAUAAUCGAACUGAGUCGAUUGUGGAGUAAAAAUGGUGAAGCAAGUAUGAAUGAACUUCCGAAGCUUACUUGGUCUCGUAUGACUGCUACUGGGUUGAUCAUGAGCAGCAGCUGGUUCUCCAUUUCCAAGCGGCAACCUCCUCCGGAAAGCCUCGGUUUGAAACUCAUCCAACAAGUCUUCAACAUCAUAAGCCAAGUUCUGAAGCUCGCCAAGCCACAAAUUCACAGACGGAGCCGUCCUCCUCUUCUCCUCAGCAUCAUCAAGCACUGCCUUGAUCAUCUCCAACAUAUUCGCCCACCUCAUCAGAUCGGCCUCGAUCUCCUUUUGGCGUGCAAAAAACAGAACCCCCUCUGAAGCUAACUUAUUGACCAGCAAAUCAACGGACGCCGUAAGGAUUGCCUCUCCGAUCAUUGACAUUUUUUUUUCCUUUUUUGGGGCAAAGGAAGAAAGGAGCAGAAUUAUGCGUUAUGGAAAGCAGAAUGAGAAAUUUGAACGGGUGAGAAAAUGGAUAAUUAAGCAGAAUGAGUUUGUGAUUGUGAAGGGUCUGGCCCAACAAGCUUAGUAGAAAUCACGCGUUUAUACUUUAUUGACCAAUGACUAAUAAUUUGCCAAUUCACUCAUCACCACCACUUGGUGAGCAAAAUGAAAAUGCUUAGUAAUUAAACGUGGCAAGUCUCCCCACUUGUUGUUCCUUGCAGCUAAGAAAAGAAAAAACAGAGCCGUAAUUAAUGACAGAAUUUUAAAAAUAAUAAUAAGAGAAAAACCUACACAUUUUCGACUUAGAGUGGAACCGUAAUUAAUGCUAAAAUUUACUCAGCUAAAAUUUUCAAAAUAUUGUUCUUUAUAAUUUUCAAAACCGUAAUUAAGGUUCAUCUCAAAUGUUUGAAGAGACUCUAUCAAUUCUUCUGCGCUAAGAAUAUUAAAAUUCUUAUUUUUUCUUCAAACGUUGAAUAAUGAAAAAAAAUGUUAAAUAUGGAGAAAAAUAGAAUGCAUCCAUCUUUGCUGUAGAAGUCUUCUACUUAUAAAAGCAAGUUAGAAUAAACGAUUUUAAUCUCUCUUUUUAUUCCUGUAAGUGCACUACAUUUUUUUUGUUUUAAUCUCAAUGUGAAGUCGUAUCAUAAUGUUAUGUUAAUGUUAUAUUCUUGUUGGAAAAUGAAAUUUUAGAUAAAACAAAUUCGACUCAUUUGUUGAAGGUAUAUAUUUAGUAGGUUGCUAACAUAAAGUAAAUGAACUAAAAGACAAUACUACCAGCGAUAAUUUAGCAAGUUUCGCAUGCUCGUCUUUCUUGAAAUAUUAUAUGGGAAUGGGAUCAAACAACAGUGAUACAAAGAGAAAAAUGGUAAUCCUCUGAUUGUAUUUUUUUUUUCUUUUUCAAAAGAGAUGGUGGGGUUGGGUUGUUUGCAAAGUUAUUAGUGUGGGUCUAUUUAAAAUGUUAAGAAAUUUUAUGUCCUUUUUUCAAAGUGAAUUUCCAUUUUUCAUUUCUCAUUAAGUAAAACCCACAGCAAAAUUAAAAAGAAAAAACAGAGCCCACUAUAAAUAUAAAAUCGAAGGAGCUCAUAAUUAUACCUUUGCUUUACAUACUAAAUUAAAUAAAAGCCGAACCAAGAAUCUUGCCUUUACUUAACAUGAUUAAUUAGACACUACUUCAGAGAGAAUACGAAAGCAAAGAACCCUUUUGUUAAUCUUAAAUGUUAGGAAAAUAAUUAGCUUGGAAUAAAGCUGCGUUAUUCUCCUCUUACCGUCUCUUCAGGUUCAUUUCAAAAGUUUGAAGAGAUUUUAUCAAUUCUUCUUAUAAAGGCAAGCUAAAUUAAAAGAUUUUAAUCUCUCUUCUUAUUACUAUAAGUGCACUGCUUUUUUUUUAUAAUCAACAAUGUCAAUUUGUAGUGUAAUAUUAUAUUCAUAUUCCUGUUGCGUCGAAAUAAGGUAAAAUGAAAUUUUAAAUCACACAAAUUCGACUCGUUUGUUAAAGGUAUAUAUUUAAUAAGCUAAUAACAUAAUUAACAUAACGCUAUUAUUACACUAAAUGAAAUAAAAGACGGUACCCUCCACCAAUAAUUACAUUAGCAAGCUUCGCAUGCUCGUGUUUCAGGACCUAGACAUUGGCGAAUUAAUCUAGGAUAACGAAACAAUUUCAAAAAGCAAAAUGGAUACUAUACAUUUUCUUUUUUUAAUUGUACAGAAAACGGGACUAAUUUUCAAAUAUUUUUAAAUUCACUUAUUUACAAAAGCUAUACAAAAUGAUUUCCUUUUUAUUUUUGAUGAGCAUAAUUUACAUACAUAUUUUACUAUUUAUUAUAUAAUUACUAGUUAUUUUUAUUUGUUAUUUUAAUUAAUUGAAUUAUUUUAUUUCAUAGGAAAUUAAUUGGAGAUUAUGGAUGAAAAGUGCGUAAAGAAUAACAAUUUGACAGCAUUGAAGAUCAAAUCAAUUUGCGGAAGGAAUUAAGCAAAUGUGCAAGAAAUUCUAUUCGAAGAAACCGAAGCCAAUAAAUUGAAUAUCCAUACUCGUGCAAACAAAGAAGAAGUUUAAAACUAAAGUGGGCAGCACAUUAAAAAAAGCUUUUAAUUAAGUCUUUGAAUGGAAAGUCAAAAUAGAAUAAAGGAAGGAAAUCAAUAGCUUUUGGCUUUUAUUGUUUUCAAUUACGUGGCAGGCUUAGAGCUUUAGCUUGUAAGAGUUGGUUUGGUUAUUAUCACAAUAGGAUUUGGUGGCCAAGCAAUAUAAAAGGGAGUUUUGCUUUUGAAUUAAAGGCUGGACGGAAACAAAAGGGAGGAGAAUUCGGCUUUGAACAGAGAGCAGCGGCAACGGCAAUAUUUCGGCUUCCAUGGCUGAAUUUAUUUCUUUUGUUGCUCACAAUUUAAGUAUGUCUAGCUAAUUUUCUUAUACUGAGGUUAAGGAUGAAACCCUAUUCAAUGAAAUAAUUAUCUUUUUAUUUAUUUAAUUCCCUAUAUAUGUGCUUUAAUGUUUAUGGUUUUUAUUUCACAUGAUUAAUUGGACGUUAUUAAAAUCUUUUCAUCAAUUCUGUCAUGCAUUAUUAAUUGUUAGGAUUAAUAUUCAAUUAAUUCUAUACUUGGAUCUAUAAAGUUUAUACAUGAUUAUCUUUGAUUUUAUGUCUUUCAUUAAAUUAUUUACAUAGAGUGCUUAGGAAAACUUUGACUCUUUGUUAUUUAAUAUGUUUACAUGAGAUGCUUACAUGUCAUACUAUUAAGUAGAAAAAGAACCUACAUUACAUUUAAUUUUAAUUGGGCUUAAUUGUUAUAUUUAUGAGAUGACAUAGAUUGAUUUUGAGUUGUCACUCUAAAAUUAGGGAUUCAUUAAUAUUUGGAUAAUUACAAAUUAAAUAGUGGUGGAUUCCGAAACCUUGAUAAUUUUUAUUUUAUUGAUUUCUCAUUUGCUUUAAUUGUUUUCUUAGUUUAAUAAGUUUAAUUUCUUUUAAAAAUUCAAAUUACUCAACUAAGUUAGGAUUAAUAUUAAUUUUAGAUUUAAAUUAGACUUUUCAAUUUAUAACAAUCCAUGUGGGAUUGACCUCGUUACUACUAUUCUAUUUCUAGAUUCAUGCGCUUGUAAGUAUAUUAAAACUUUCACAACAAUUUUGAAAGGAAUCAAAUAACAGUGAUACAAAGAGCGCAAAGUUGCAAUUCUCUUAUUAUAUUUUUUCUCUUUUUUAAAAGGAGAUAGUGGGGUUUGGUUGGUUGCUAAAUUAUUGGUGUGAGGGUCUAUUUGUUUUUGUUUUCACUUUAUUAAUUAUACCAAGCAAACAUGUAAUCAUUUGUAAAGGGGUCACUAGCAUUGGAUUAUGUAAGAUGAAUUCAUAAGACUUAUUAAUUUCGAUGAAAAUGUAGCGUUAUUAAGUUGUCAAUUCAUUAACUUGAGGUACUAAUAUUUACUAAUUGUGGUGAUUAAUUUAUUUAACUUGUCAUAAUUUUCAAUUGAGAAUGAAGUUCAAUCAAUGUAUGAAAAAAAUAAUUUUUUUAGAUUUUUAAUUCCUAUGAUUUAAUUUCCCCCUGUUUCGAUUAUUGACGUGUUAAAAGCUUGUAGAAUAUCAUGAAAUGCUUGUAUCUCACCUCGCAAAUUGACAAAUAUUGGUUGGUUUCUCCAAAGGCUACCAUAAUGAAUUGAAAGUAAAAACAACAACCAUUGAAAAUUAAUUUUAAAAUCAUUUUUACUUGAAAUUUUUUAAAAGAAAAAUUAAGCAAAUUAGAUUACAGAUAUCAAUCUUAAUAUUUUGUUGAUGAAAAUUAAUUAAUUUAUCUCAGUACUUUCUUAAUUUUGUGUUGUGCACCGCAUUGGUCACUUCUGAUUGUGUUGCAUAUUUGUUAAUUCAAAGAAAUAGAACUUCUUUAUCGAUCAAACUUAUUUUAUUAGUAUUCUUCAUCAUAUGGUUAAUGGCUUAGCCAAUGAAGGAGAAGGGGUCAGCCAAAACAAAUAAAGUACUUUCUCAUGCAUUAACCUUUAUUAAAAAGCUUUAUUAACUGUUGUAGUUAAAAUAAUUUUAAAACAAGUUAAAACAGUUCCAACUCAAAAUCAGUAGGCUGCAAUUGGGUUGUUACACAUAUUUCUAAAUUUCAGUCUAAUUUAAUUGUGUAUGGACAAACUAACUUUAUCACUUCUUUCAUAUUAAUACUCAUAAAUUUCAACCUUUUUUUAUGAUGAUGGACAAUCUAACUUAACAAAAAUAAUGUUCAAAUUAUCACAAAAUGUUCUUUUCUUAAAAAAGAAAAGAAAAUCAUAUAUAGUAGUUAAUUUUUCUUCUUCUGUACUCCAAGAUCCAACUCCGUACUCCACUUGUUCGUUGUUAUUAUACCCAGCCAUUAGAUUUUAAUUACGUUGAUUUAACGGUUUGGAUUCGUAAAUGAAUAACGACGUAAAGUUUGGCUACCAUCUGAACCCACCGCAUCUAAUUGGUUUUGUGAUUUUUUGCUUUCUUCACUGCAACGCUUGACUAGUUCUGGAAAUAUCGACCGCCAUCAACGGCAAAUCUGAACCAUGUAUUAUUUGCGAAUACAUUCAUUAAACUAUUAAACAUUCAGAGAAGAAAGCAAACCGUGGCAGUAUAACAAAAACUGCGAAUGGUCAUUCCCAACACGAACCCCUAUGGUUGUUUUCCUUUUAAUUUUCUUCUUUGAAUUCUCCUUUUAUUAAUCAUUAGAAAAACUCCAUUUUUUUUGUUUUAAAUCAUGUGUUAUUAACAUUUACAUGGUUAAUGUCAUCGAAAUCGAAUGGUUGUUAUCUACGAAAAGAGAAUUGCUAGAAAUUUUGUUAGUCCCAUUGCAACAAUAUAUUGUUAUAAAUUGCAUUGUUUUCCAUAUAACAAAUAUAAUAAAAUCUCAAUAAAUUAAUAGUUUUUGGGACCAUAAAAAAAUUAUUAAAAUUAAACAAAUAUCAAUUAAUCAGUAAAUUAAUAAAUUAUUAAUUUAUGAAAAUAUUCAUUAUUUUGGAAAAACAUGAUCACGCUUUUAAUAUUGAUUUACCUUGAGUUAGUAUCUAUUAGGUUUUAUUUGUCUAUUAGUUUUCUCUUGGGAAGAUUUUUUAAGAGUUAGCUGCUUUAUAUUAACAGUAAUAAAAUUAUUAUUUAACGGUUUUGUUUUUCCAUGCUAAAGACCGAUUAGUCGUCUUCUUCUCCUCAGCAUCAUCAAAACCAGGGUUUUUAACUCCUAAAACGUUUCUUUUUAGAAAUAUAUUACUUUAUUCAUCUAAUAUGUUAUCUAACAAAUAGACACAGAUGAAAUCACUCUAAAGUGAAGAUGAAAGGGGAAAAAAAACAUUCCAACCACCAAUAAUUUAGCAAGCUUCACUUUUAUUCCACCAAAGUGUAAAUAGUGCCAGCCCCCACCACCAUCAAUAAUUUAGCAAGCUUCACACGCUUGUUGUCUUCUCCUUGACGAACUGGACGUGGGUGGACCAAGAAUCAAUGAAAGAAUUUUAAAAAUAAUAAUAAAAGAAAAACAUAAACAUUUUGGACUCGGAGUAGAACCGUAAUUAAUGCUAAAAUUUACUCCGCUAACGUUUUCAAAAUAUUGUUCUUUAUAAUUGUACAGCAAAUAAGACUAAGUUUUGGACAUUUUCAUAUUCACUUACUUUCAAAAGCAGUAUUUCGAAACAUUUUACAGAAUCAAGUAACAGUUAUAUAACGAGAAAAGUGCAAAGUUGUGUAAUUCUAAUGUUUUUUUUUUUUUAUCACAGACACUCAGAUAAUUUUUUAUUUGGGUCGCCAACUCGCCAAUUAACCCAUGAUUGAAUGAGUGUUUAGAAAGAAAAUCAAUAAAAAACAGUUUUUUUUUUGGUCGUCGAAAUAUAGUAAGUGAGAAAGAUUAUUCUGUUUUUUUUGUUAAUUAGGUUAGUAAUUAUGAUUGAGUGACUCAGAACUAUAUUCUAGAUUGAGAAUCAACGGUUCUCCCACACUGAGAGGCUGUAAGUUUAAGAUUGUCGUUUGCUAUUUCAUCGACAAGAGAACACUUGAAUUUAUUAAAAGGAGAAGGCCAUAAAGAUUUUCCUUUAUGAGAAAUGUAUCUGAUCAUUCCUUUUUACUUGAAAAUUUCAUAUAUAAAAACUCAUUAAUAAAUGACAGAAUAUACAUAAAUUAUUAAUUCAUUUGAUAGUUGAUUAUCGAAGGACAUGUGACCCAUGGAAGCAUGCAGUCUAUAAAAUAAUUCUUUUUUUUUUUUAACAAAAAAUUGGUGAUGUUGAAAAGCAAAAUUAUUAUUUCUCUAAUUAGGGUGAACAUUCAUAAAAAGAAUGCCGUAUGAAACUAAAUUAUUAAUUCGUUUGACAUGUGACCCACAAUAAAUAGUUAAAUUUGGCGGCAACAAUAAUUACAAGACGAACUUAAAGCAGCGCAUAGGUUUUUCUUAAAAAUACAUAAACAAUUCGAUAUUUUUUAUUUGACAGUUUUUAAGAAAUGUCAAACAUAUAUGACAUUUUGUGAAAAACUGAGUAAUUGUGAAAUAUAAAUGAUAAUUUAUUUAAACGUCAAAUAAUUGUGACGUUUUAUCAAAUAAGUGAUAAAUAUCUUACAUAUUUAUUGAAUAAUUAUCAUUUACCUUUUCCUUUUAUUGACUCGAGCAAAAAAAACAAAAAAACUGACUAUACUGCUUUUAUUUUCGUUCUUAGAACAGAUUUUAGUUUCUUUUGAGAAAAUUCAAACUCAUUCCCAUUACUUUCUUUUCAAUAAUCACCUCUCAGUUUUUCAUCAAUCACUCAAUUCCGAAUUUCAUCUCCAUUCUCUUUUGAAGAAGAACGCACGAAGAAUUUUAGCUUGCUUUUGCUGCUUCUCGAAUAUUGGGUAUUGUUUCCUUUAAUUUAGAUAAUUGUUUUUUAUAUCUCUCUUUCUAGUUUGAUAAUUUAUGGUUAUACUUGAAUUAAUUGUAUUUUUAAUCAACCAAGGUUGAUUUAAUUGAUUCCAAGUCUCAAUUUCCUGUUCAACAAUUUUCAUACUCAAUUUUGAAAGAAUCAAUGUAUUUUAUCUUUGGUUAGUACACUUCUGUUCAAUUUUUGUUUAUUUAACUUAAGAUAUCUUUUUCUUUCUUUUCUUCAAGCAAAUUAUAGAUUAUAUUGAGAACAGAGUUUUCUCCUUAAUUCCGCCAAGAGCAACGUUGAUUUCAGGUGAUAAUUGAAUGUGUAAUAUUUUCAAUUGAAAUUAAUUGAGUCUCGUGAUAAUAAUAGGGAUUUGAGAUUUACAUCCUGUUGAAAUGAUUUUAGAGUGUUCUGUUAUUUGAAUGCGCAUUAAUUGUUUGAUUAAAUGUCUCUUUAAAAGAUUAUUUUUGUUUUUAGCAAACAUCUUAAUGCACUUUACAAAUUGAAUCCAACAAGGGAAAAUUAUAGAACUGCAGCAGUUUUCAAAUUGAUUGCAUAUUAGAAGUAAUGUUAAUUUAUGCUGCAACAGUUCAAUGGGCUGGGCACAAGUUUAGGACUUCAGUUGCUCAAUUAAUGAAUCCACCACUCAUCAGACUUGGAACUUAUAUCUAUUGAAUCAAUAAAAAUAGUUGAUGGAAUCAAUGCCGAAAGCUUCAUUUGAUAUUUAUUUAUAACAUCUGUUAGAUUCUGGACAAUCACAAAGAUAUAGUAGCAGAAACUAUGUUAGAGACACUAUAGUUGCUUAAUUAGUGAAAUUGUGCUCUCAUUGCCCCCUUUUUUUGGUUGAUUCUAUAAUUUUAUUAGUUGUUCUUGUGGUUGUAAACAAUAUCAAUUUCUAAUAUUAAUAAAACUGAAUGAAUAAAAUGCGAUGCAUUUGCAGGAAAGUUAAUAGUUUAAAUAUGGAUAAAUCUUGGAUGUUGAUGGAUAGAAGGUCUAUAGAAUAUGAGAACAUGGUAAAUGAGUUUCUCAAGUUUGCAGUACUUCAUGCUAGUCAUCUUGAGCUUUUGAGAUGUCCAUGCCAAGCAUGUCUUAGUUUAUAGGCUCAAACAAUUAACAGUAUAGAAAAUGCAUGAUAGAACACAGAACUCAUAUUUUAGCAACAAUCCUCAGCUCACUGGCCCUUAGUUCAGAAUGACAAUUCUUAUUAGCCAAAGGUUCAAAAUGAUUUUUAGUUGUUUAUAAGUAGAGAACUAGAUCAACAAAUAAUUGAAGACCUGCAGCUUGGCUAUUGAACUAUACGAUGAUGCCAAUUCGAAGACUACAACUUGGCUCUGCCAUUCGAAGUAAGCAACGCAGCUGCCCAAAGUCUGCCAAACCAAGAAAAAUAAAGACUUCUCCUUAGCAAUUAAGUUAAUAUAAGGAAUGUUGCAUGUCCACAAAACUAGGUAGACGCAACUGGGACUUCAAUAUAUAUAUAGAUAUAUAUAUAUAUAUAUAAGCAUUUCCUAGAUCAAUAUUAUUCUCAGUAACUGAAUAUUGAAGCUGACCAUCACAUUUAAUAAUAAAUCAAUAUCAGGAAUGUUGUUGAGGAGUAUUUUGAUAUUUACAAAAGUGUUCAAAGUAAAAAUUGAUUUCUUAAAACCCAUUAGCUAGCGCACAUAAUAAUGGGGAGAAAAUUUUAGACUACGAAUAGUCCCACCCAUUUAAUAAUAUUCUUCAAUCAAUUAUGUUUACUUCAAAAAAAAAAAACCAUCUCUUUAUUACUUUCUAACUAUUCAUAUUAAUGUGUUCAUAAUUAUGAAGAACCGGUGUAAUUUAUAUGAUGUAGGAAGCACAUUAGUCAAAAUCAUCAGAAUCUCAAAAUUUCGUGAUGUUGUGCCAAAUAUGCAAACCAAAGCUUCCUACAUUCUUUGUACGUUUGUGUUAGUUACAAGCAAUCACAGUGGUAAACGAAAAAAAACGAAUUAAAACACAUGAGGAGAUUUAAAUGAAAAUGUCUUAAUCAUAUAUCGCAUGUAAGACCUUUUGUACUCAAAACUGAUCAGCACCCAUUCUGCCCGCCGUGUGAUCACAUCUUGAAGGGAGUGUUGCUUCAGCAUUUUUAUCAUUUUUACUAUUUCUAGGAUCCAUUUUGUCACCUCCCUCCCUCCCCCCGGUUUCUAAAAUAAUUAUAUAAUAACCAUAUAAUUAUUGGUUGUUCUAGCAAAUAAAAAAAAUAUAUAUAUAUAUAUAUAUAUUAAUCUUUUAAUAACAUUAUCACUUUGUCAAAAUAAAAAAUCUCCUCAUUAAAUAAUUAUAUUAUAUAUAUUCAUUUAUUUAUCCAAAUAAAAAAGUAUGAAGUCAAAUAGUACACAAUAAUUUAACUAAUUUGAAUUGGUUUAUUUUUAAUGAAACAAAUAACAUUCCUAAAUGCUUCUCUUGAUCCUUAAUUUAUUGAUAAUUUUGUCAAUUUAAGGUCGGCUAUAUAUUGAUUAAAUUACAAGCUUAGACUAUCGAAAGCUGGUUACAGUUAUGGAGGCAGGAAAAAUUUUAUUGUACCAGAAAUUUUUUCUACAACAGUCCAUGCAAAGUAAACAUUUGUAAGGAAAUUGGAGAAUAAUUACAAAGCCAACUAAAUUUUAUGAGAAUCAAUUUGGAGUUUUUGUUAAUCGCCAUUUUGCGUUCAUACAAAGCAAGUGUAGAUACCGGCACAAUAAGCUAAAUGCAAAAUCCAAUGUAGGACAGUGGGGUUGGGACAACGAAAUGGGGAAAUGGGAAUCUAGGUAAUUGCACUGAACCUUAAACUGAGAGUACGGGCACUUAAAAUUUUUAAAGUGUCUAAUAAGUUUCAGCUAAAAAGGAAAUAGGCUGUAAAAUUGCUAAAUUCAUUUUGAUUUCUAAAUUCAUAAAUAACCUUAAAAGUUCUCUGAUACAACUUGUCAAUAAUGGUGAAAAUUCAAUUUCAGAAUGACAAUUCUUAUUAGUGAAAGAAUCAAAAUGAUUUUUAGUUGUUUAUAAAUAGAUCACUAGAUCAACAAAUAAUUGAAGACUGGCUUGGCUAUUGAACCAUACGCGGCAAUUCGAAGACUGAAACUUAACUCUGCCGUUCGAAGUAAGCAACUCAGGUGCCCAAAGGCUGUCAAGCCAUCAAGACAAUACGAAGAUACAACAUCAAUAAUAAUUACAUAUUACACCUACCCCAAUAAGAAAUUAGUUAAUACAGUCCUAGAAAGAAAUUUACAAACCCAUGCUGUAGGAAUAAUUAAUUAAUUUAUACAGUUCGGUACUCAUUCCUCUUCUGUUUCAAAUCCAUAUCCACUGCUCUGCCAUUUAUUACUACGCAAGGUAUAUGGGUUAGCAAGUGCCGACAUUGUCCUCCAUUCUUUAUGUGCCUUUCUUCUAUCAAGGGACAACCCAAGAUCUCUAAUCGCAAGAAAAAUAUUUCAAAGUAAAAAGUGAUUUCUUAAAAUCUAUUAGCUAGUGCACAUAAUAAAAGGCCAUUCAUGGUAAAUUUUAGAUUACAAGUAGUCCCAAUAAUAUUCUGCAAUCAAUUCCGUUUAUUUUAAAAUAAAAGAAAUCCAUCUCUUUAUUACUUUCUAAUUAGUCAUAUUAAUGUGUUAAUAAUUGUGAAGAACCAGCGUAAUUUAUAUGAUGUAGGAAACCCGUUAGGCAAAAUAACCUGAAUUUUUUAAAGUAGGGGCUAGACAUAUUGGGCAUAACCUCAGUUUCUGUUACUUCUUUGACCCUGCCUAAGCUCUUUUAUGGGCUAAUAUCAAAAUUUCGUGAUAUUGUGCCUAAAGAGCUUCCAAUUCAAGGAGCUCCCCUGUUUUUGACUGAAACAUAUGUAAUCCGAAAAAUUUAUAAUUAGAUAAAUCAUUCAAAAUCUCCCUGAAUCUAACCCACAUUUCUAUGGUUUAAUAACAUAUCACAAAGGUGCCUAAUAUAAUGAAAUUAGCACUAGUUCACGAGAUUGCCAUUAUAUAUUACAAGUCUUUUUAUGAUGUAGAUUAGAAGGGAAAAUACGAAGGACAUAUUAUAUAUUAUAUAUGAUUGAAUUUAAUCCAUGAUAAUUAGACAAAAUAACACUAAUCUAGCUAACUAAUCCACCCAUCAUAAUAAUUUGAUUUUCAUUAUUUUAUUGUGUCCAAUCAUGCUAAUUUAAUAAAAAAAAUACAGAACACUUGAGGAUUUAGAUAUUCAACAACUUUGGCCAAGUUUGAAAAAGAUUAGAGCUUCCUUCAUGCUUUGUGUUCUUAUGUUACACAUGAUCAUAUUAUGUUACAUUUGACAGAAAACUGAAAAUUAUUGAAAAAAAAAAAUCUUAGUUAGCACAUGAUCAAAAUGAGAGAUUAAUGCACACACAUCACAACAAUGUUUCAUUCAUUUUGAAUCUAUAUUUACAAAACUUGUAUCCGAUGGUUUACAUUUGUUUAAUCUAACUGCUAUGACAUGUGUACUGUCAAAACGCUACAGCUGCCAUCUCUGUUUGUCCUUGUUGCAUCCUUGAUCUUAUAUUAUCCUGGAGAUUAUUGAAUGUUCUUCUCAUUCUCAUGUGCUCGAGGGUCCUUUCUUGAGACAUUUCAGCAAACACCUGAUUCAUCCUAUUAAACAUUAGCAUCAUUAAUCAGUAAAUGAUGUAAGGUAGCCCUGUUUCGUGAAGUCAACAUAAAUCAGUCACCUUAGAUUUUCUGAGUCUCAGAGCACAAUGGGUGAUGAUUUGAUGAGAAAUAUUAAUAUGCCUUCAUCCCCUGAAUUAGCUAGAGCUGGUUGUCAUUUUCUUCUUUCUUUUGGUACGGUUUUAGAUUUUUAAUCAAUCAGAUUCAGCUGCAUGUUUGCUUUUAGUCCAAACCAAAAUAAGAUAUUAAGUACUUUUGCCAGAAUAGACGCAACCAAAAUUCUAUGGGAUCUGUAGUUCCUAGUUCAUGCAGAAGCGACCGAAUGCUUCCUGCAACUCAGGCAGAUAGAACCUUGGUUGAUUCGUUUUUCUUCAUCUGAAAUUCUACCUAAUGCCUAUCCUCUUAAUUGGUUUAAAUUCUUCUUUUUUUUCUUUGAAUUGUUGAUUUAUAAUGUCUUGUAUGCAACAUUUAUAAUUUCGGAUGAUGAUAAUCUUGUUUAAGAAGAGAUUUCUAGUUACGGCAGCAGCGUUCUUGAUCAUGGCAUCACAAGCACGUGCUCUGGUUUGCUUAGUUUCCUUUUUGUCUCUGAUAUUUUCUUGGCAUUGUGGGAUAUUGUUUCUCUUUUGAUUUUCUGUUUUUGUUUGCUUAGUUUCCUUUUUAUGUCUGAUAUUUUCUUGGCAUUCUUGUUCUCUCUUAUAAUAAAGUGCUUUUGAUAAAUUCGCCUGGUCGGUUUACUUCACUAACCAUUAAUGAGCAAAUCCUCCCAGUGACUCUCAAACUCUUCUACACAAUUAUAAUAAUUUCAGUUUUACAUAUACAAAAAUGAACAGCUCUCAAACAUAUCAUUUGAUAAUGACAAAAACAAUAAUUCACUCCAAUAAAUCUCAUAAUAAAUACAUGAUCUACAUUGCAAGUCUUUUUAGGACGCAUUCAAAGAGAAAACAUAAGGAAUGGCAAUGCAAGAAUAUGGAAUCAGAAUAACAGUGAUACAAAGAGAAAAAAAAAGGGGAUGGUCGGGUUGGGUUGCUUGCAAAAUUAUUGGUGCGGGGGUCUACUUGUUUUUGUGUCACUUUAUUAAUUAAUUACCGAAGCAAACACGUCAUCAUUUGAAAAAGAAUCACUAGCACCAGCUUAUGAAAAAUAAAUUUGUAAGACAUAUUAAUUUGAAAAUAUUUUGGAAUUUCAGUCUAAGUUGAUUUGUCUAAUUAUGUAUGCACAAACUAGCUUGACCACUUCUUUCAUAUUGAUACCUAUAAAUUGCAACCUUAUUUUACGUUGAUGCACAAUCUAACUUAACAAAAAAAAUAUUCAAAUUGUCACAAAAUAUUUUCUUCUUAAUAUAUAUAUAUAUAUAUAUACAUACACACAGUAGUUAAUUUUCCUUAUUCUUCACUCCAGGAUCCAGCUGCAUACCCCUCUUUUUUGUCGUUAUGUUGCUCAACCGUUAGAUUUUAAUAACGUUAAUCUAACGGUUGAGAUUUGUAAAUGAAUAAUGAAGUGGUGUUUGGCUACUAUCUGAAAAUAUCGGCAGCCAUCGACGGCGAAUCUGAACAAAGGCAACAGGAGGUGAUCGUGGUGAAAUUGUUUUUUGGCAUGCGAAUCUAACGACUUUCAAAUACGUUCAUUCAAAUAUUAAAUGCAAUUCAGGCAAAUAGAAACUUGGUUGAUUGAUUGCUUUUCAUGUGAAAUUCUACCUAAGGGCUAUCCUUUUAAUGGUUUGUACUGUCUUAUAUGCAAAUUAAAUUCGGAAUUCGGGUGAUAAUAAUCUUGAUUUAGAACAGAUUAGGUAACAUGUGGCAUUCUACAUUCUUGCAAUGCCAUUUCUUUUUAUGGCAGCACCAUUUUUUAUCAUUGUUUGUGUGGACCUAUUUGCUGAAUUCAAAACUUGGCGUGUUAAAACGGCAUCGUUUUGUCCAUUAAGAUGUUUCAAGUUGUCCCCGGCUGGACAUAUGACUCACUUAAUGAUACCAAAACGGCGAGGCAUGAAGGUGUUUCGGCUAAGGGCUUAAGUUCUGCAUGUGACAAGCACGUGAGAGAAGAAUCAAGUUAGUUAUAAGUUGUUAUACACGUGGCUGGAUCUGGUGCAAUCUGGGGUAAUGAACAGCCGUUAUAUAAGCUGAGCUUUCAGGCAGUUUCAGCAAGAUGUAAAGAGCUUCUAGAGAGAAUGAAGAGAGAGAAAAUGUAUCAUCUUAUUCCUUGUUAGUUUCUCCGUGUGAGCUCUGUAAAAUACUUUGAUUCAUAAAUAAAACUCAUUUUAGUCGAUUCUCCCUUGGAUGUAUGUUCUGCCUCAUUGCACAGCCGAACCACGUAAACAGUGCUGGUUUCUUUUUUUUUCAUUUGUGUCUAUCACUAAAAAGCAGAGCACUUGCUUGAUUGAAUAAUGUCAUAUUACAUCACAUAAACUCUCUCAAUUAUUGAAAAAGAAAAUCGUAAAAGAGAUGUGUUGAAUUGAUAACUGAAAAAAUCUUAAAAAAUCUUCAAAGUUUUCAAUUAUUGAUAACUGAAAAUUAUUGAAAAAAAAAAUCUUAAAAGAGAUGUGUUGAAUUGUGAAAUUAAAACUGAGUUUCAGACAUUUCUGACAUGUCGGUUUAUAUUCUUGAUUGUGCAUGCCCUGUCGGUUGCUUGAUGAAACAGGAGAAUAUUGACAUCUGUGUAUUAUCGUUUACUUCCUGCAAUUAAAUCACAUGUUGUUCACGUGAUUCCAUUUGCUCUAUGCGGCACAUUUGGCAGUCGUUUAGGUCACUUACUGAAGCACGGGUUAAGUACUUGAUUCAAGGUUGUUAACUGACCUUUACAAGGCGGGAAAAACAAACCCGGAAUGCAGCUAGUGAGUGGGGGACUUUUCUAGACUCUUCAUGAUAUGUAUAUAUAGUCUUAGAGGCUAUAGUUGAGACAUAUGAAAAGCUUGUAACUUCUUCUUAAUGUUUGUAGUUUGAUCUCGGUGAUGGAGAUAAGAUUGCUGCCCUGUUCUCCAGGCCGAACCACUUAAAAUGUGCCUCUGUUUUGCUUGAUGACUACCAGUGGUGAGAAAACAGCUACAGAACAAAUCAAGCUUGAUGACUCAAAUAUUAGGGAAGCCAUAGUCAAGGCAUCUGGUUUAUGCAUCAACAGUGGUUCGUGGACUAGAAUUCUUAGCUAUUGCCGCUUCACAAUUGCACUGGAAGAAAGCGAAUUUGAUCGAGCUUUGGAUCGCAUAGCUAAAUUCAAAAGCAUCGUACAAAUAGUUAACUCAAAAACGGUAUUGUCAUUUGUCAUGAUUUAUUUCUAUUGCCUGAUGAUGAUACCCAUCACGCCUUAGUUGUCGUGAAUAAAUCUAAAAUCAAAUUGAACUGGCUUUUACUGGUUAGCAACAUUUGUGACGUUUUGAGAUUAUAAUAUAUGACAACACUGAUUAGUGUUGUCUCCCAUGUGAAUUGAGACAAAAAUUAUUUUCCCAAUUGCGCUUUCAUUUGAACAAUUCCACUGUAGAUUUAUAAAAUAAUGAUCAAAUUGUGUUUUAUAUUAAGUUACGAGUAAUUGGUUAAAUAUUAAUACAAAACUAUUUUAAGUAACAUGUGGCAUAUUCUAAUUCUAGCCAAGCUUCCAACUAAGAUUCCCAAAUCAAAAGAAUUUCAAUCUUCAGAACAUUCUGCAAAACGUUUAGUUUCUACGCAGUGCUAGAAUUUUCCCUAAGUUUCUAUCGCAAAGACUUCUAAAGAACUAUUCAGAUAUCGAGCUAUAAUCCAGUCUAAAGUGUAUAUAUCCCUCUAAUUCACCUCCCUCCAUUUCACCAGAAAAUCAACAAACACUUAGCUUCAAACAAACACUCUAAAAAAGCUAGCUAGCUAUUCAGAUGGCAAAACCAAGAAUUCUUGCAAUGACAAUGUUGUUUCUUGUUAUGGCAGCAACAUUGAUGAACAUGGCAUCGCAAGCAAACGCUCUGAUGUCGUACACACAAUCACCUUUCAGGGUUCUUGAACAAACCCCUUUAACAAUCGCAAAACGAGCUGAUCAUCAUCAAACUCUAGCCCCGGCGAGAACAGACUAGAUGGAGACACCAACAGCCCACGUGAUCACGCUCGACAUUCCAGGGAUGAAGAAAGAUAAUGUAAAGAUUGAAGUUGAAGAGAACAGAGUACUGAGAGUGAGUGGGGAGAGGAAGAGUAAUGAUUAUUACAAGGAGGGAGUUGAAGGAGAGAAAUGGCACAGAGCUGAGAGGACAUUUGGCAAGUUUUGGAGGCAGUUUAGGAUGCAUAUGAGUGCUGACUUGGAUCAUAUUAAGGCUCACAUGGAAAAUGGGAUUCUGAGGGUCACAGUGCCAACGCUUGCUGAGGAGAAGAAGAGGCAGCCUAAGGUUAUUAACAUUGAUGAAGAGUCUGGUAAUUCUUCCAAUGAAGAUAUUAAGGCUACCAAGGCUCAAAUGUAAUUGAUUAAAGAAAGAAGUGAUUGCUUUGCUUGAUGUGCUAUUUGUUUAUGAUCUUUUCUUGGUUUUGUUGUGAGAUGUUUCUAUUUGGAUGCUCUAUUUAAUGUAUUUUGAUGGGUUUUUGAGGAAGGCUUGUAUGUAUUGACAACAAUAAAGUGCUUUUUAUAAAUCCUAGUCCUCCAACACUAAAAGAAAUUAAUACGCUUGGUUUAUAGUUAAUAAAAAUAUAUAUAUUUUUAAAAAAAGUCUUUUUCUUUGGCAUAUAGUAUGCGUUUUGAGGGAAAAAAAAUUAUCCCACUCCUAAUUCGUCCUCUUCUGCGAUAUUAAUGUGUUAACACGAAGAUUCAUUGUAAUUGCAACAAUUUUGACGAAUCCAAACGUUCAAUAACUGUUAAAUUGUAUUUAUAAAUACUAAUAGCGAAGGUACAGAAACGAUUAAUUCACGAAGUUGCUUAAAGUGCAUUAAAUUAGAGAGUAUAAAUAAUUGUGUGAUACAGUCCAGCCUUCAUCUGCUUAUAAUUAGCAACCAAAAACCACUUUGCAACACCAUUAAAAAAACAUUUUAACAUUAUUGCUGAGGGAAGAGGCAGCUUAGGCUUAUUAACUCGUAUUAUUAAUGCUGAUGACGCAGCUGGUAAUCCUUUUGGUGAAUAUAUUAAGGCAGCUGAAGCUUAAAAUUAAUUAAGCCCACUAAAGCUUAAAACUAAUUCUUCUGGUGACGAUACUUUGCUUAGUUCGCUUUUUGUUUUUAAUUUUUUUGGGGCUAACGUUUUGCUUAUUUUGCUUUUAAAAUUCUAUUCGCGUUGCUGUGGAAUAUUGUUUCUCCUUCGAUUUUCUGUUUUUGUUGUUAUCGGAUUUGAUGAUGGUUUAUAUGUACGAAGAUUAUGUAAUAAAGUGCUUUUGUAAAAAUACUAAGGUAAUAUACAUUACACAUUUGUACUCAAUAAGAAAUCAAUUCAUUAAUAUAAGCAUUAAUACCCCUGGUUUAUUGUUAAUGAAAAUUAAAAAAGAAAAAAAAAAGUCUUUUUCUUUGGCCUUUAUUAUGGAUUUUAAGAGGAAAAAAAUUUAUCCCACUCCAAUUCAUGAAGAUAUUCUCUUUUCUGUCAUAAAGAUCCAUUGCAGUUGGUGAAUUCAAAUAUUCAGUAACUGAUGAAAUUGUAUUUAUAAAUUCAUACUAAUAGCAAUUGAAGAUUAUAAUUAAUUUUGUAAUAUGAUCUAGCCCUCGUGUGUUUAAUUAGCACUCAAAAACCACUUUACAUAAAUGAGGUUUCAACAGCUGAGAAAGAGAUAGCCAUUAUACAUUACACAUUUGCACUUAAUAAGAAAUCAAUUCAUUAAUAUAGCCAUUAAUACGCCUGGUUUAUUGUUAAUGAAAAUUAAAAGAGAAAAAAAAAGGUCUUUUUCUUUGGCCUUUAUUAUGCAUUUUAAGAGGAAAAAAAUUUAUCCCACUCCAAUUCAUGAAGAUAUUCUCGUUUCUGUCAUAUUGAUGUGUUAAUAUGAAGAUCCAUUGCAGUUGGUGAAUUCAAAUAUUCAGUAACUGAUGAAAUGGUAUUUAUUUAUAAAUUCAUACUAAUAGCGAUUGAAGAUUAUAAUUAAUUUUGUAAUAUGGUCAAGCCCUCGUGUGUUUAAUUAGCACUCAAAAACCGCAUUACAAUAGGCAUUAAAAGAACAUUAUAACGUCAUUGCUGAUGAGUUCUGGUGAAGAUAUUAAGUUAAGGCCACAAAAAUCGAAAUGUACGUAGCUUCGUUUGUUUUUUGUUUUUGAUUUUUUUUGGGGGGCAAAUGCUUGGCUUCGUUUGCUUUUUCGUUUUUGAUAUUUUAUUGGCUUUAUUGUGUGGCAUGUUCUUGUUUUCUUUUGAUUUUCUGUUUUGGUUGUUAUGGGAUUUGAUGACGAUGUACAUGUACAAAGAUUAUGUAAUAAAAUGCUUUUGAUAAAUUGUGGAACAAAAGAAGAACACUAACGAACUAAUUAAUUACUAAUAAGAACAUUAACAAUUUUUGCCGAAGUCUGAUGAAGAGAAAUAUUACACAUAAGUAACGGUACCGCGGAAGGAAAAAAUAAAAGAAACUAAAGUUUAUUUCAACAGCUAAGAAUGAAAUAGGCAUAAGAAAUUAACCCAUCAAUUAAUUAAUUAAUACAGUCCCCUGCUACUAAAUAAUGCGAGCCCCUUACUGUACUUAACAUUUUUCUUUUUAAUAAUUUAAAACAGUUUUCAACUGAGAUUUGAAUUUUAAAACUACAUACACAAAUACACCUGAUUUUAAAGAAAAAAAAUUUCUAAUAAUAAAAUAUUUUACAUAUAUAACCAUAUGGCGAAAAAAUAAAUAUAAGAAACUGAAGUUUCAACAACUGAGAAUGAGAUAGGCAUAAGAAAUUAAUUCAUUAAUUAAUUAAUAGAGUCCUCCUUUGCUAAGCUAAAUAAUGCGAGCCCAUUGUUCUUUUUAUUUCGAAAACCCAUUAAUCACCAACACAUAAUACACGCCCAACUUUUUUUUUAAAAAAAACCUAAUAAUAAAAUAUUUCAGUCGUCCUCUGUUGAGUCGUCCUCUGUUGAGUCGUCAUAAAAAACCCAUUUACCAGCUAUGACAGCAAGAGGAAUAUGGGUUAACAAGUCCCAAUAUUGUCCUCCAUCCUUUCUGCACUUCUUUUCUAUCAACGGACAAUCCACGAUUCUUAAUUGCAAAAGUGAGGAAGGCAGGCCCUUCUCCGGAAAGUAUUUGAGCUUGGGACAAUGAUAGAGACCCAAGUGAGUGAGGUUUUGAAGAUCAACAAUUGAAGAAGAUAGGCGUUCCAGAUUUGGAAAAUUGUAAAUCCACAGAGAUGUUAGAGAGGCAGGAAGAGGAAGCGCGGUCCCUAAUCUUUUGUCCUCUAGUGGAAAUGACACCAUGUCGUCAUCGCAUCCUAUGAUUUCAAGAUGUCGCAGACAGGAGAAUCUGUGAAAUCCCCGGCCCCGCUCAAUCAUUGACUUCCAAAUCUCCAUAUUACCCUCAAUCCAAAGUGAAUGAAGGUUGAUGGGAAGGCCAUCUUCUUCUUCAAGGCUUGGAAGCUCACCUCCUUUUCCUAUUGUUAAUUGUUGAAGAGAGGUCAGAUUGUGCAAUCCCUUGGGUAAGGCCUCUAGUCUCUUACAAUCAAGUAUCGUCAGCCUCGUGAGUUUCGCACAAGGGAAUGCCCCUUGGGGAAAGGACACUAGAUUUCCACAAUACGCUAUGCUAAUCUCUUGAAGCUGGCGGAGAUUAUGUAAACCACUCGGUAAAAUUUUCAGAUUUCCACAAUUAGAAAUGUCGAUUGUUUCAAGAGAUGUGUUGUUGUCCAACCUUUCUGCUAUUGACUCCAGCUUUGAACAUCCGCGAACAGAAAGGGACUUAAGAGACGGAGGUAGAUUGCCAACUUCAAGGGACUCAAGCGUGGCAGGUAACUCAUUUUUUGAAAAUAUACAUGUCAGUGAUGGACAGCUGUUAAUACGCAACUGCUCAAGAAGAGAUGAGGUGUACCUUCUAUUGCUGCUGCUGCUGCUACACUGGAUGCCCUCUUCCACUGUCAAAGUCCUUAUAUUACUGCAAUUGUUAAUCACCAACUGCUUAAGGCUCGGUGGUAGCUGGACUCCAGCAAUAUAUGUCAACGAAUGGCAAAAGCAAAUCUCCAAGAUCUCGAGAGAUGAAUUGGUGUCGCACAUCCAUGCCUCUGGUAAUGAUUUCAGUGCAUCACAUUCCCUAAUCUCAAUUGUCUUCAACUUGGAAGGCAGAGCAACCUCAGGAAAGGAAACAAGGGAACUGCACUUGUAGAUUUCUAUCUCUCUCAAGGAACUGAGACUGAGAGAUGAUUGUGGCAGCUUCACAAGGCCUUCGCAAUAUCUCAAUCUUAGAUAUUCGAGUCUGCAUGACAACUCGCAGAGCUGCUGUUGUUGGCCUUUCUCUUCCUCCGCCACCAAGGAUUGAAGUUUGGGACACCGUCUAAUCGUCAGUCUUCUGAGAGAGCAAAUGUCUUGCAGUAAUUCGUUAUGACUCUUCCAUAUAUAUGUCUGCUCUUUCAUUUCAUUUAUCUUCAAUUCUUCCAAUUUUGGUAGUCGCGGCUUUAAUGGCCCUGCGAGAAACACUUGAUUUGAUCUAUCUCUACAAACCACUGAAUUCUGUGAGCCGAGAUGAUCAGUUGCACUUCUCCACACAACCUUUUUACAUCCACCACUCUGUAAUUUGCAAAGAGCUGGAAGACUCGAAACUGAAACUGACAAUUCUUCACAUCCUUUAAUAACAAGCUUCUCCAAUGCAGGAAGGCGUUCUGGAAAUGUUCCUUGCAGCUUAGAACAUCUUAAAAUGUGAAGCUCUCUCAAUUUAGGAAACCGUUCAACUCCCUGACUGGAUCCAUGAGGAAUCCAGUCUUCCCAUCCUUGCAUGUCUUCAAAAUGAAGAGUCUCCAAGCAUGGAAAAGGAAUUGGAGUAUCAUUCCCAUAGAACUCUGAACCCAACCUCUUUACACUAGUCAUUCCACAUACUGCAAGAUGCUUUAGAGAGGGUAGUUGCCCGACUGACGGCAGGGUAGGACACAUGCCACAAUAUUCAAAUUUUAAGGUCACCAACUUUGAGAAUGAGGAAUCUCCGAACCAAGUUGGAAAUUUUGCACCUCUAUAGCCGCUGAUACAAAAUUGUUCCAAAUUUUUAUUGGGUUCUAGCAUGUCAAGCACGUCCUUUUCAAUUUCCGCCUCCCUUGAAGACGAGCCAUCGGUACUGAGUGUCCAUCGAAGCAAUAAUUCUCUAAGAUUCUUCUUUCCAUCCAAUUGAGCCUCCUUUGCAUCACCAACGUCUUUUACAUUCUCCAAUUUUGAAAUGUUAAGUGUCCCAUGAAGGUGCGUCAACAACUUUAGCUCUCGUAACCCGGAACCACUGCCUUUUCCCACAACAAAAUUACACAACGUCUGAAGACUAGUCAACCUACCAAUUCCUACUGGCAUUUCCUCCAACGACUUCGUAUUUGAAUUCUUAAGAUGAUGCAAUUUGGCGAGGUUUCCCAUGUCUGCACACAACUUCUUCAGCCGAUCACAAUCUUCCAACAAAAGACUAUGCAAAUUGUAAAGCUUGUUGACUGAUUCAGGCAGAGUUCUAAUCUCAGUUGUAGACAGGUUAAGGUACCUUAAAUACCUCAAAUCACCAAUUGAAUCCGGCAGCUCAGGGAUGCAGUAUCCACGCAAAGAGAAGACCCUCAAGCGUCGGAGUUUGAGCAACUUAGGAAGAAUGCUAGGAGCCAAGAAGCCAGGCGAACUUUUUGUCAACAUUACUGGUAAAAAAGUUCUCAAAUGCUGGAUAUCAUACAAGUCCCCAAACCUUUUACCGCCAUCAAAAUAUUCAGGAAUGUAUGAUAGAUGACGAAGAUUUUCGGAAAAACUUUGCUGCUUGUAAAUUUCUGAGGUAUACUCCAUUGUGAAGUAUAUCUCCCCCGCAGCCCAACGGGCAAGGUCAUUGAUAAGAUCGUGCAUCACAAAUCGUGAUGUAUUGUUGCUUAAUUGCUGGAAAAAAGAUCUUGAACGUAGCUCUUGAAAGAACUUUCGACCUAGAACUUCGUUAGGAUUCCCACUCUCUUUAUGAACCAAGAAACCCGAAGCACUCCAUAAUAAAAUUAUCUCCUCCUCUUCAAAUUCAUAAUCCUUCGGAAACAACGAGCAGUAUGCAAAGCAUUGUUUCAAAAUUGGAGGAAGAUAAUAAUAGCUCACUGCAAGAGCUGGUAUAAUGGGACAUCUAUCUUCUGGUAAUUCCCAUAUCUUGCUACUGAGCACAUCUUCCCACACACCUCUGUCAUGUUCUCCACAUAAAAGUCCUCCCAGUGUUUUUGCUGCCAAGGGAAAGCCAUUGCAUUUGAUCACUAUCUUCUUACCAAUGUCCUCCAAUGACUUGUGUGAACUGAAAUCUCUUGUCCCCAAAGAGUGCUGAGCAAACACAGACAGACAAUCCUCAGUUGACAAGUUUUUCAAUUCAUAAGCUUGAUCCGGCCUCAUGAUUUUUGCAACCUGUUGAUUGCGAGUAGUGACAACAAUCUUACUUCCCUGUGCGCCAGCUUCAAACGGACGGCUCAUGUCAACCCAGUCAUUGUAAUUCUCAUUCCAAACGUCGUCUAAAACGAGCAAAAAUUUCUUUUGAGAUAACUUCUUCUUCAGCUCCUCUUGAAGCAAAUUUAAAUCACUGUCAUCAAUAGUCUGCUUGGUAAUGGAUCUUAGAAUUUUUUUUGUUAGCCCCUUAACGUCGAAAUCCUCAGAGACACAAGUCCAUGCCUUGAGAUCAAAAUGAUCCUGCACUCGCUUAUCAUUGUAGACAAGCUGAGCAAGAGUGGUUUUGCCCAGGCCGCCCAUACCUAUAAUAGGAAUAACAGAGAAUCCACCAUCGUUGCUUAAAUCAUCCCUCAACAGCAGUUCAACAACAUCCUUCUUUUCUGUUUCCCUGCCAUAUACUUUGGCUUCAGUCACUAAAGAGGUUGUCUCCAGCCUUUGACUGGCUUUGUUGGACCCUCCAGCUGAACUUUCUUUCAAAUCUAGCAAGUUUUUCUGUGUCACAAUUUCUUGAAAUCUGCUGUUGAUCUCUUUGAUUUUGGACAUCAAGCCAUAAUCGAACUGAAUCGAUUGUGGAGUAAAAGUGGUGCAGCAAGCAGGAAUGAGCUUCCGAAACUUACUUGUUCUGGCACGACUGCUACUGGGUUGAUCAUGAGCAGCAGCUGGUUCUCCAUUUCCAAGCAGCAACAUCCUCCGGAAAGCCUCAGUUUGAAACUCAUCCAACAAGUCUUCAACAUCAUAAGCCAAGUUCUGAAGCUUGCCAAGCCACUUCUUCACAGACCGAUUAGUUGUCUUCUUCUCCUCAGCAUCAUCAAGCACCGCCUUGAUCAUCUCCAACAUAUUCUCCCACUUCAUUAGAUAGUCUUGGAUCUUCUCUUGGCGUGCAAAAAACAGAAUCCCCUCUGAAGCUAACUUAUUGACCAGCAAAUCAACAGAUGCCGUAAGGAUUGCCUCUCCGAUGAUCGACAUUUUUUUUCUUUUUUUUGGGCAAAGGAAGAAAGGAGCAGAAUUAUGGGUUAUGGAAAGCAGAAUGAGAAUAUUGAACGGGUGAGAAAAUGGAUAAUUAAGCGGAAUGAGUUUGUGAUUGUGAAGGGUCUGGUACAGCAAGCUUAGUAGAAAUCACGCGUUUGUACUUUAUUGACCAAUGACUAAAUAAUUUGGCAAUGCACCCACCACCACCACUUGGUGAGCAAAAUGAAAAAGUUUAAUAAGUGGAGGGGUCCAGCAAAAUACGACGUAAAAUGUGGCAAGUCUCCCCACUUGUUGUUCGUUGCAGCUAAGAAAAGAAAAAACAGAGCCCACCACCCAUUAAUAAUUUAGCAAAUCACCAAUCAUCACAAAAUUCCAUUAGAUAUUCGUCGAUCAAGUAGUUAAUCCAGUGUCUGCUACGUAGAGCCUUCACUUUACAAAUCUUCAACUCAUAAACCAAGUUAAAUCAAGACGUUUCUCUCUCUGUAUAUAUAUUUUUUAACUCCUAAAACGUUUCUUUUUAGAAAUAUUUUACUUUAUUCAUCUAAUAUGUUAUCUAACAAAUAGACACAGAUGAAAUCACUCUAAAGUGAAGAUGAAAGGGGAAAAAAAAAACAUUCAACCACCAAUAAUUUAGCAAGCUUCACUUUUAUUCCACCAAAGUGUAAAUAAAGCCAGCCCCCACCACCAUCGAUAAUUUUGCAAGCUUCACACGCUUGUUGUCUUCUCCUUGACGAACUGGACGGGGUGGACCAAGAAUCAAUGAAAGAAUUUUAAAAAUAAUAAUAAAAGAAAAACAUAAACAUUUUGGACUCAGAGUAGAACCGUAAUUAAUGCUAAAAUUUACUCCGCUAACGUUUUCAAAAUAUUGUUCUUUACAAUUGUACAGCAAAUAAGACUAAGUUUUGGACAUUUUCGUAUUCACUUACUUUCAAAAGCAGUAUUUCGAAACAUUUUACAGAAUCAAGUAACAGUUAUAUAACGAGAAAAGUGCAAAGUUGUGUAAUUCAGAUCAUUUUUUAUUUGGGUCGCCAACUCGCCAAUGAACCCAUGAUUGAAUGAGUGUUUAGAAAGAAAAUCAAUAAAAAACAGUUUUUUUUUUGUCGUUGAAAUAUAGUAAGUGAGAAAGAUUAUUCUGUUUUUUUUGUUAAUUAGGUUAGUAAUUAUGAUUGAGUGACUCAGAACUAUAUUCUAGAUUGAGAAUCAAUGGUUCUCCCACACUGAGAGGCUGUAAGUUUAAGAUUGUCGUUUGCUAUUUCAUCAACAAGAGAACACUUGAAUUUAUUAAAAAGAGAAGGCCAUAAAAGUUUUCUUUUAUGAGAAAUGUAUCUGAUCAUUCCUUUUUACUUGAAAAUUUCAUAUAUAAAAACUCAUUAAUAAAUGACAGAAUAUACAUAAAUUAUUAAUUCAUUUGAUAGUUGAUUAUCGAAGGACAUGUGACCCAUGGGAGCAUGCAGACUAUAAAAUAAUUCUUUUUUUUAUUAAACAAAAAAUCGGUGAUGUUGAAAAGCAAUAUUAAUUCGACUGAUAAUUGGGGUGAACAUUCAUAAAAAGAAUGCCGUAUGAAACUAAAUUAUUAAUUCGUUUGACAUGUGACCCACAAUAAAUAGUUAAAUUUGGCGGCAACAAUAAUUACAAGACGAACUUAAAGCAGCGCAUAGGUUUUUCUUAAAAAUACAUAAACAAUUCGAUAUUUGAAAUUCUAAUAUCUCAAUAAUAUUGAUCAUGAUUCAGUUACCAAUUAGAUCCACUUACAAUUUCUUUUUUUCUUUUUUCUGGUUUCCAAUCUUUACCUAAAGAAAAUAUUUAGUGAUCCCUUUUAUCAACUUGGUUUUAUUGACUUUCUUCCAAUCAUAGAAGUGAAAAGAGAAACAGAGGCCAGCACCAAUCAGUGUUACCAGAUUCUGUAAAGGCAAAAUCAGUGCCCAGCAAAAAGAAGCUAUGUUUUCGUUAUAUGCUGCUUCCUAUUUAGUACAUGCAUAUAAAGAUAUACACGUGCACAUGCAGUACAUCUAUCUAAAAUUUAAAAAACGGAAUUAGAAAUACAGGAUUAAUGGUAGAAAUACAACAGGAAUAAAAGUGAAAUAAGCAGAAUGAGUUUGUGAUUCUGUCUAGCAAGCCUAGAAAUCAAGCAAAACCCACCAUAAAAGCGAAAAGCAAAACGGAGCCCACCACAAAUAUAAAAUCAGAGGAGCACAGAAUUUAAAAAAAAAACAAAAGAAAAGAAAAAGCCAAGCCAAGAAUCAUAUGCCUUUGCUUUACAUAUUAAAUUAACAUAAAAGCCAAGCGAGGAAUCCUGCCUUUGCUUGAUAUUUGACAAGAUUAAUUGGACAUUACACAUUAUUUCACAGAGAAUAAAACUUGUAUAGAACCAAACCCAUCAAACCCUUUCUUUAUCUUAAAUGUCAGAAAUAUAAUUAGCUUGGAAUAAAGCUAUACUCUUCUCCCUUUUCCAUUGCUACAGGUUCAUAUAGGCAUAUCAUAUGGAUUUUGUUUUAUGCUAGGUAAUUAUUAAUUUAUAUAAUAAUAUAUUUCCCUCAAAAUAUACUACUUGAAUUUGAAAUAAUUUUUUAAAAUAAUUUAAUAUCACAAUAAUAGUCAUGAUUCAAUUCGGUUUAGUUUAAUUUUUUUAGAGAAAAAAUUUGAGAAAAUAGACAAAUAAUGAAGACGCAAUUGAAGCACAACCAAUAAACAGGGUAAAGUGAAUUGCGUCCUGUCCUUGAGCACUCAAUUCUCUUCAAUCUCAAAUUUAUACGUACAUUUUUGUAAAUUCAUGUCAUAUACUAGAGUCUUUUGGGUUCUGUUAUAUCAAUUGUUUCGUGUUUAUCUUGUUUUAUUAAUUUAUGGAGCAAGAUUGCUAGUAGCGAUAAACCUGGAAUAAAACGAUUUAUUUAUUUUAUAUAUAUUUUGCGUUGUUAUCAGCAAAAAAUAUGAUGGGUUUCGUUUGUAACAACUAGCUAAUUGCUUAAUACAUUUUUGUACUUCUCGUCGUGAAGUCACGAGGAACUUGUAAAUAAGAUCAUAGACGUGGUACGAUGUGACGUGAUAAAUUUAAAUCAAAUCUAAACUAAGAUGGUUCAUAUAUAGUUAAAUCAAAUCUAAACUAAGAUGGUUCAUAUAUAGUUACAUACUGAAUAAAGAUAUUUAAACAUAAGCAUUCAAUUUUAUGAUAUACCUAAUAGUCAUUGGCUUAUAGUUAUUAAAGGAACUGAAUAGAAAUAGACGAAGAAAGUGAAAAAGAUGAAUUAGCGCACAUGAUGAUUUCUCAGAUAAAAAGUUAAAUUUAUAUUCUUUUUUUUAAUAAGUGUGAGAUGAUUUACACCCUAAAAUUUAUUUUGAGCACUCAUAUUUUUAUUACAAAAAACCCUAUAAUUCAAUUUACUGGUAUGGACAAUUCAAUAAAAGUAAAUAGAACAAUAAUACUUUCGACACCAUCAGGCUAUAGCGCGCACGCACGCACCCACAUAAAAAUGAUACAAAUUUAAAAGCAUAUUUAACAAGUUGGCUAUAGGCAACAAUAAUACUUUCGACACCAUCAGGCUAUAGCGCGCGCGCACCCACAUAAAAGUGCUUAAUACAGUGAAAUUAACGUUCAGCUCACGAAGUCGCCAUUAUAUUUAUUGAAAAAGAGAUUAGUACAAGACAUUGAAAAUUAAUUGACAUUGGAUUAGUUGUUAAUUAUGAUCUUGGUCUUUUAAUUAUCAUCUAGCCAACACAGGUCCACUAGUUUCAUUUGUGUCAAUCACUGAAAAGUAGAGCUUGAUUGAACAGCGCAUAUUACAUCACAUAAACUCACUCAAUUUUCAUUGCCAUACGUGUAGCUCAAAAGUACAUAUUAUAUCAGUGAACAUGGAACAUUCAGCUAACCUACACUAAUUAAUACAUACGACCAUCAGUUAAUAGUACCCAGCAACAUCCAUCCAUUAGAGUGGAACUCCCAGUGAUUUCGUACGUACAAAAGACAAUAUUUGACAAUCACAAAAACAAAAACAAUUUACUCCAAUAAACAACAUAACAAAUACAUGGUUGAUAUUGCAAGUUUUUUUUUUAUGAUUUUAGUUAAAACAGAAAGUAUGAAGGACAUAUUUAUAUAUAAUAGAAUGUUAUAUAUAAUGUUAUCCUUGAUAAUUAGAUAAAAUAAGACUAAUCUACCUAACUAAUCCAAUCAUCAUACUAAUCCAAUUUUCAAUAUUUAAUUAUGUCCAGUCACGCUAAUUUAAUAAAGAACACUGAACACUUGAAUAUUUAUAUAUUCAACAACAUUGGCCAUGGUUGAAAAAGACCAUAGCUGCAUCUAUGCUUUGUGUUGUAAAUUAGGACAUGAUCAUAUAAAUAUUGAUUGUUUCAAAUUAGAUUAUACAAAGAUGAAAAAAUGCUAAUCUAGAAAAUUCAAUCAUAAUAAUUUGAUUUCCAUUAUAUUAAUUAUGUUCAAUCAAGCUAGUUUAAUAAAGAACACUCGAGCAUUUAUAUAUACUCAACUUAUGAAAUUUAAUUACAAAACAAUCUUUAACAAAGUCUGAUGAAAAGAUCAUAUUAUAGGUACAAAGUUAGACUUCCCAAUCAAGCAACUAUCCAUCAAAUUGUGUGUUGUGUUACCGUUGAGCUCUUAUGUUAAUUACGGCCAGACCGCGCUUUGGCUAACAGUGAGACAUAUGCGGACAUAAGAUCUGCAAAUGAGGUGCUGCGAACGAGCGAUGUACUGUUUUUAUGCGACAUGCUAUGUACUCUGUUUUUAUGGUCUUUCUUUUUGUGGUUGUUGGACUAACUGUAAUGUGAAUUUCUAUCUAAUGAACAUCCUAAUCCUUUGAGUUAUUUUGGGAUUGUUGAUUUAUAUAUAAUGUUUAGUAUCCAAAAUUCAGAUGAUGAUAAUCUUCGCAGUAGUUUUGUCAAGUUUUCUUUUGUGUUGGUUUUGGUAUUUUAAUUUUGUACGUACCUAAUGUUAAGGUCAAUAGGGACCUAAUUUAAAAACUAUUAUAAUUUUACAUAUAUAGAUACAAAUUCAUGUUUAAGAAUCCUUUUAAUCAACCAUUCCAGUGUUUUAUAUUGAGUAAUUGGUUCAAUAUUAAUACAAACUAUUUUAAGUAACAUGUGGCAAAUUCUAGUGAGCUCCAACUCCGACGAUCGAUUUAUUUUUUUCUUUUUUUUAGGACAAAGAAAGAAACCAAAUUACGAGCUUGUGAAAAGCAGAAUGAGAAAAGUGAGUAAGCAGAGUUUGUGAUUGUGUCUAGUAAGCCUAGAAAUCAAGCAAAACCCACUAUAAAUAUAAAAUCAGAGGAGCACAGAAAUUCUAAGGAAAAAAAAAAGGAAAAAGCCAAGCCAAGAAUCAUAUGCCUUUGCUUUACAUAUUAAAUUAAAAUAAAAGCCAAGCCUGGAAUCCUGCCUUUGCUUGAUAUUUGACAAGAUUAAUUGGACAUUACACAGAGAAUAAAACUUGUAAAGAACCAAACCCAUCAAACCCUUUCUUUAUCUUAAAUGUCAGGAAUAUAAUUAGCUUGGAAUACAGUUAUACUCUUCUCCUUUCUCCAUUGGUACAGGUUAAUCUCAACUGUUUGAAGAGAGUCUAUCAAUUCUUCUUAGCUAAGAAUAUAAAAAAUGUAUAAACUUAACAGCUAAUGACAUAAUUAACAUAACACAAUUAUUACACUAAAUGAAAGAAAAGAAUUUAACAAGCUUCCGCACAGUCUUGUUUCAGGCUGGACAUUGGUGAAUUGACCAAAAGAUCAAUAAAAGAAUCUCAAAAAACCAAAUGGAAAUGGGACUAAUUUUCAGAUUUUUUCAAAUUACACUUAUUUACAAAAGCAAUACAAAAUGAUUUCCUUUUCAAAUUACACAUAUUUACUAAUAGUGGUGAUUAAUUUAUUUAGCUUGUCAUAGUUUUCAAUUAAGAAUGAAGUUCAAUCAAUUUAUUUGGGGGGGGCGGGGGGGGGCAAAGAUAUUUUUUAUUUUUUUGGGGCAAAAAAAAACAUAAUUUUAUUUUUUUUUCUUUUAGAUUUUAAUUCCUAGGAUCUAAUUUCACUAUGUUUCGAUUAUUGAUGUUGCUGAAGAGGGCAGUACAAGCUUGCUGAAAGUCAUCAAAUGCUUGCAUCUCAUCUCACAAAUUGGGCAAAUAUCGGUUGGUUUCUCUACGGUUUGCCAUCAUGAAUUGAAAGUGACAACAACCACCAACUUAAAAAUAAUUUCAAGUAUCUUUUUUACUUGAAAUCCUUGAAAAGAAAAAUUAAUCAGAUUGAAUUAUACAUAUAUGUUUGAGGGAAAGAUAGGAAAGGUAAUAGAGCGCCACGUGUCUGCCAAUGGAAUGAUAUCAGCACAAUCGGAGGUACCCUGCAUAAUCCGAGGUGCCCGACAUGACUUGAGGUACCCCGUAUAAAUAGAGGUACCCUGCACAAUUAGAGGUAUCCCACACAAAUAGAGGUACCCCAUACAAAUAGAGGUACCCCAUACAGAUAGGGGUACCCUGUGUAAUAGGGGUACCCUGCGUAAUAGGGGGUACCCCAUGUAAUUCGAGGUACCAGGCAAAGCGGAUGCAAGAGAAUCCACCGAAAAUACCCGCCAUGAGAAACGUCUCCGCCUCCUAAAAGAUAUCAUUUGAUUUUUUCAGAAUUAGGAAUCAAAAGCGACGUGCUAAAAGGAGGGACAGCCGCCUGCUACCUCUGCCAAAAGUGAAGGACACUGUCCCAAGGACAGUGGUCCCUAGCCGCCUACCUGACAGCUACUGCAGAGGUACCCUGGACCACUCUCCAGCGCGCGCCACGUUUCCAAAAGAUGAGAUACGCCGCGAAUAUGCAAAUAACGGCCCAAAAAUAAUUAUAAAGAGGUAAAAGGACGUUAGCCAAAAAGGGUACGCCACGUGGCAGCUGAGGUACUCCAUAUAUAAAGGUGCCUAGAUUUCAUUCUCCAGGAUGCUCUCAUUCGCCCAAAAAUACUCACACUCCAAAAAAGAGGUUUUCUUCAACCUUAAACCCUAAUUUACAGAGGGCUAGCUAGCUCUCUUUGCCAUAAAAGCUUGAGUUUGCUAACUUGAGCGUCGGAGUGUGAACGCCGAGGUACCCCGGCUUCACCUCUAACCUCCAUUUCACUGUUUUGCAGGCGUGAAGCUCAUUUUGAAGGACACCUCUCUUGUUUCUGACCUUCCACCAUUGUUACCACUCUCUCUCCCCUUCUCACCUCCCACGAAUUUCAGAUACACCGCACCGCGCACAACAAACCAGUGAGGUACCCCAUCUCCCCUCAAAAUAACAAAUUUAUUGUUCUAGAUUGGUUUGGUUUUUCUUACCCCAAAAUCAGUUGAAAACAAUAUACAUAAAUUCGAUACCAGUUGAAAAUGUGAGUAUGAUUAAUUAAUAAGAGAGAACAAGAAUUGAUCAUGUCCCAAAACAGAGAAAACUAGAUUGUGCAAACUUGCGUGCGCAUAUCAUAUGUUAAUCUUAAUAUUUUGUUGCUGAAAAUUAAUUAAUUAGUUCCACUACUCCCUUUCUUAAUUUUGUGUUAUGUACCCCAUUGGCAACUUCUGAAAUAUGUUGCAUAUUUGUUAAUUCAAAGAAAUAGAACUUUUGUAUCAAUCAGACUUUACUUUAUUAACAUUCUUCAUCAUUAUGAUUAAUGGCUUAGCAAAUGUAGGAGGAGGGUCAGCCAAAAUAAAUAAAGUACUUUCUCAUGCAUUAACCUUUAUUAAAAGGCCUUAUUAAUUGUUGCAGUUAAAAAAAAAANNNNNNNNNNNNNNNNNNNNNNNNNNNNNNNNNNNNNNNNNNNNNNNNNNNNNNNNNNNNNNNNNNNNNNNNNNNNNNNNNNNNNNNNNNNNNNNNNNNNUACUCUAUUUUUUUGUCGUUAUUCAGCCGAGCCGUUAGAUUUUACUUACGUUGAUCUAACAGUUGGGAUUUGUAAAUGAAUAACGAAGUGGCGUUUGGCUACCGUCUGAACCCACAACGUCUAGUUGGUUUUGUGAUUUUUUACUAUCUUCUCUGUAACGCUUGACUAGUUCUGGAAUUGUCGACCGCUAUCGACAGCAAAUCUGAAGCAUGCAUUAUUUUUGGGCAUCGAUUUUUCUUCUUUGAAUCUGAUAUUCAUUUCUUUUCUGUGGCAAUAAUAUCAUAAACUAAUAUUUCCUAUUUUAUUACGAAGGUUUAAAGUUCACCUUUCACACUAAUGUCAUUCAGUUCUUGAAUUCUUGAUAGGUUAAAGUUUUUGUGAAGCGCUAAUCAAAUAUGUCAUACAUCAAAAUGCAGGUCUUGCAUUUCAAUCGUUGAAUACUGCCCCUUCUCUUACUAAUUUUCAAAUUCGUACUAUCUUAUAAUUGGAUCAUCGAUAUUUUAAGCGCCAGACCUUAAUAAAACUAAAAUUGUCCUUAAUAUUAAUAAUAUUAAUCACUUAUAUAAUAUUGGCUUAAAUUUUUUAGUAGAUAAUUAAAUUAACUUUUACUAAUUUACUAACAACCCCUUAAAUUAAUUAUGUAGUUCGCGACCUAUUUUCCUCAUAAAUAAGAGUAGAUGAUUAAAGCCUCCUUUAGUCGAUGGGCCAUAAUCAUUUGAAAUUUGCGUUGCUUUUUCUAUGUAGGACUAAGAGAUGUACCUCAAUUCUUUUGAACGCAUGUAAAGUAAAUUCAUAAGCUUCGAAGAAGUAAAUUAGUCAAACUAAUCAAAACAUCCAUUAAGCUGGUCAGAGGAUCAGACCGCUCUCUAUCCACCCUUAUCACCGCCUGGUCCAAACUCAUUUUUCUUUGAAAAUAGACAAAUAAUAAAGCCACUACAAGUUAAGCAGAUCAAAUAAACAGAGGAAAUAGCUGAUCAAUUCUUUGUGCAAUGGCCACAGCAACAACAAAAAUAUGUCUACAUGACUACAUUAAUCCGACUGGCGUGGUACCAUCGCCAUGCAGCAUUACAGCAACAUUUGAUCAUCUAUCAAUUUUCAUGAUAUGAGAUUAGAAACAUUGAGUUUAUAAUUUUAUGUAAUUUCAUAGAAAAGAUAUAAUUGAUUUGAGUUAGUUUAACAUAUAAGGAAGGAGUAAUGAGGAAUGAUAUCGCUGUGGCAUGUGCUGAGUAAAGAUAGACAACAAAUAUUGAUCAUGUAAUAGUGAAAUAUGUAUUUAUAGAAAAAUAUUUGGCAAUAAAAUGAUGCUAUAAGAAUUUAAUAUUAGUUGCAAGAAAAUAAAUUGACAAUUAAAUUAAUAGAUAUAUAUGCAAUGCUUCGAGUUUAUCUUAUCAAUUUGAUAACCAUUUUGUAACUACAUAUUAAUUAGAAGUUCAAUUAAUUUUGACCAAAGACUCCAGAGAAUGUGGAGAAGAGAUUUGAUUUUGGUAUUAAUAAAAAUAGAAAUGAAAUAAGUCAAAAACAAUUACAAGAACAACAAUAAAAGCAUAUUUUAUAAAAGCCACAAAUACAUAAUAUAAAUUUGAUUUUGAAUUACGCAAUUACUAAUUUAUAUAGUAAGAGGGUCUUAUAGAAAAAUAGGAAUUUUUUAAAAGAGAUUUGUUAAAGGAAAAAGUUUAGUUUGGUCUAGUUCGUGAAGGCUCAAGUAAUUGAAUGCAAUGCAAGUGAAAGAAACACAAACUUCUAAUUUUUACGAAGUAAUCGCUAAAAUAUUUGACAAGUUUGAGAUUUUAAAAAGGCUGGGAAAAUAGACCAAUAAUAAAGACCCUACAAGUUAGCAUAACAAAUAAACAGAUGAAAACAGGGUAGAUAUUUACCAUUAUACAUAGAUAUAUAACGAAUGUUGCGAAUUUUUUAUAAUAGAGAACAUAACUCAUGGUUUAGCAAUAAUCAUCGGCUCACUGGCCGUUAGUUCAGAACGACAAUUCUUAUUAGUCAAAGAAUCAAAAUGAUUUUUAGUUGUUUAUAAGUAGAGCACUAGAUCAACAAAUAAUUGAAGACUUGCUUUUGCUAUUGAACCAUGGGAUGGCAAUUCGAAGACUAGAGCUUAAGUCUGCCAUUCGAAGUAAGCAACUCAGCUGCCCAAAGACUGCCAAGCCACCAAGACAAUGCGAAGAUACGACAUCAAGAAUUACAUACAGGCCAUCUCAUAUUACAUCUCUCCUCUGUUUUAAGAGAGAUUUACGAACCCACGCACUAGGAGUAAUUCAUUAAUCUAUACAGUUCAGUACUCAUUCCUCCUCUAUUUCGAAUCCAAACCAUUUAUUAUGACGCAAGGUACAUGGGUUAGCAGGUGCCGAUAUUGUCCUCCAUCCUUUUGUAUACGUUUCUUCUAUCGGAACAAUUUACAAUUAAAUAAAUCAUUCAAAAUCUCCUUUAGUCGAACCCCCAUUUAUAUGGUUUAAUUAAAUAUCACAAAGUUGCCUAAUACAGAGAAAUUAACAAAUUCAGCCCAUGAGAGUGCCGUUUUAAUGCAAGAAAUUGAAAGUUAAUUAACACUGGAUUAUGUUGGAUUGUUACUUGUUAAUUACGAUGGGAAUAUAAUCUUGGUCCUUUUAUUAUCAUCUAGCCAACCCAUGCGCAAUAGCUUCAUUUGUGUUUGUCACUAAAGAGUAAAGUUGCUUGAUUGAACGGUAUCAUAUGACAGAAACUCAAAACUCUAUCAUUGUCCGAGUAUACCAUGCCACAUAUGUAGCUCAAAGGUACAAUAACAUUGAACAUUCAGCUAGCUAGCUCAUACUAAUUAAUUUAUAGGAUUGUUAGUUCUUUAUGAUUAACUAAAAGUGAAAAAAAAUUGACAAUCACGAAAACAAUAACAAUUCACUCCCAUAAAUAACAAAAUAAAUGCAUAGUCUAUAUUGCAAGUCUUUUUAUGAUUUUAAUUAAAAGAGAAACUACGAAGGACAUAUUAUAUAUAAUUGAAUGUUCUCCUUGAUAAUUAGACAAAAUAACAUCAAUCUGGCUAGCUAAUCUGAUCAUCAUAAUAAUUCGAUUUUCAAUAUUUAAUUAUGUCCAAUCAUGCUAAUUUAAUAAAGAACACUAAAAACUUGAGUAUUUAUAUUUUCAACAACUUUGGCUAAGUUAAAAAAAAAAUAUUAGAGCUGCAUUUAUGCUUUCUGUUAUUAAGUAGGCCAUGAACAUAUUAUGUUGCAUUUGUUUGAAAAUUAUUGAAAAAAAAUCUUAAAAGAGGUGUGUUGAAUUGUGAGCCGGAAACUGAGUUGUACACGUUUCUGAGAUGUCGGUUUACAGCCCUGAUUGUGCAUGCCCUGUCGGUUUCUGGAUAAAACAAAAGAAUAUUGACAUCUAUGUAUUGUCGUUUACUUCCUGUAAGUAAAUCACAUGUUCUUCACGUGAUUUCACUUACUCUAUACGGCACAUUUGGCAGUCAUUUUGGUCACUUACCGAAGCGCGAGUUAGUACUUGAUUCAAGGUUGUUAACUGACCUUUACAAGGUGGGAAAAUUCUGGGUUUGUUAAUGUAGCUGGUGAGUGCGGGACCUUUCUAUAUUCUUCAUGAUCUGUAUAUAUAGUCUUAGAGGCUAUAUUUGAGACAUAUGAAAAGCUUGUAACUUCUUGGUGAUGGAGAUAAGAUUGCUACCUUGUUCUUCAGUGGAUAAGAUCGUCCAAGCCGAACCACUUAAAUUGUGCCUCUGUUUUGCUUGUUUCUGUUCUUAUUCUUGGGAGGUGUGUGAUUUGCUAGCAAUUAGAGAGUUUAGUGAGAUCUUUCUGGUUUUAGGUUGAGUUUAAUGGAUCAAGAAUCAACAAGAUGUAAUGAAAACAAAAUGAGAGAAUAAUGCACACACAUCACAGCAAUGCUUCAUUCAUUUUGAAUCUAUAUAUACAAAAUUUGUAUCGGAUGGUUUACGUUUGUUUAAUCCAAUGGCUAUAACAUGUGUACCAUCAAAAGCUACAGUAGCCGUCUUUGUUUGUCCUCGUGGCAUCCUUGAUCUUAUAUUAUCCUGGUGGUUCUUGAAAGUUCUUCUCAUUCCCAAGUGCUGAGUUGCUUGCUGAGAUGAUGAAUACUUGAUGGUCCUUCCUUGAGACAUUUGAUGAGAAAUGAUGUAAUCAAUAUAGAUCUAUUUUGAAAAAUCAAUAUAAAUCAAUCCCCUUAGAUUCUCUUUGUCUCGUAGCACAAUGGGUGGUGAUUUGAUGAGAAAUAUUAGUAUGCAUGCAUCCCCUGCAUUCGUAAGAGCUGCUCGUCUUUUUCUUCUUUCUUUUGGGUACUUUUUUAUUUUCAUUCAGUCAAAUUCAGUUGCAAUCAGAUAUUAAGUAUAUUUGCCAGAAUGGAUGCAACAAAAAUUCUAUCUGAUCUGUAGUUCAUGAAAAGCGGCCGAAUGCUUCCGGCAAUUCAAGCAGAUAGAAGCUUGGUUGAUUGAUUGCUCUUCAUGUGAAAUUCUACCUAAUGGCUAUACUUUUAAUGGUUUAAAUUCUUCUUUUUUUCUUUUAAUUGUUGAUUUAUACUGUCUUGUUUGCAAAUUAAAUUCGAAAUUUCGGAUGAUGAUAAUCUUGAUUUAGAACAGAUUAGGUAACAUGUGGCAUUCUACAAUCUUGCAAUGCCAUUUCUUGUUAUGGCAGCAGCAUUUUUUUCUCAAUUGUUUGUGUGGACUAAUUUUCUGAAUUCAAAACUUGGCGUAUUAAAACGGCAUCGUUUUGUCUAUUAAGAUUUUUCAACUGUUCAUGAAUGUGUUUUUGCUAAGGACAGCCUAAGUUUUAAGUUCUGCACGUGACAAGCACGUGAGAGAAGAAUCAAGUUAGUUAUAAGUUGUUAUACACGUGGCUGGAUCUGGUGCAAUCUGGUGUUAUGAACAGCCGUUAUAUAAGCUGAGCUUUUCAGGCAGUUUCAGCAAGAUGUAAAGAGCUUUCUAGAGAGAAUGAAGAGAGAGAGAAACUAUCAUCUUAUUCCUUGUUAGUUUCUCCGUGUGAUCUCUGUAAAAUUACUUUGAAUCAUAAAUAAAACUCAUUUUGGUCGAUUCUCCCUUGGAUGUAAGUUGUGCCUAAUUGCACAGCUGAACCACGUAAACAGUGCUGGUUUCUGCGUGUGAUUGUUUGUUAAUCUUGCUUAUUUCUUGUUUCCUAAUGGCUGAAAUCUUGCUUUAAGUUCUCAACUCAUCUAUUGAGUUCAUCGAGGUCAUUCAAUUGUUCAUAUGUAGCUAGUUUGAUCUUGAACAAGGUCUUGGGCAGUGUUUUGAUAGCUUGAUUAGCGGCUAUCUUGACAGUACAAUUGGUAUCAGAACUAGUUCUUCAGAUCAAGAUCCAAGUAUGGCUACAUCAAAGAUUGAUCUUGAGCUUGUAGACUCAGUGAUAAGGGAAGUGGCAAAAGAAUCCACGCUUGCUGACUUAUGGGCUAAGUUGGAGAGUAUGUACAUGAGAAAAUCCCUUGCUAACAGAUUGUACAUAAAGAAGGGGAUGUUUACCUUAAAGAUGAUUGAAGGCUCAUCUCUUGAUGAUCAUAUUGAUGGGUUCAACAAAGUCUGUGACACUUUGAAAAGCAUUGAUGCAGAAUUAAAUGAUGAAGAUAAAGCCUUGCUAUUAAUGAGCUCUCUUCCCAAAGUCCUAUGAGCAUUUUGUUGAUGGCUUGAUGUGUGCAUAUAUGCAUAUCAUAAAUUUUAUUUUAUGAUCGCGGCUAAUCCGACGACUUUCGAGUACAUUCAUUCAAAUAUUAAACGUACCAAGUCUACAGAUUUACGUUUUGCCAUUUGUGGCAGGAUAGCAAAAAUUACAAAUGGUCAUUCCCAGCACGAACACCUAUGGCUCUUUUCCUUUAAUUUUCUUCUUAGAAUUUUCCUUUGAUUAAUCAUUAGAAAAACUGCUUUCUUUUUUUUUUUCUUUUUUUAAACAUGUGCCGUUAACAUUUACAUGGUUAAUCUCAUCGAAAUCAAAUGGUUGUUAUUCCCAUUGCAACCAUAUAUUGUUAUAAAUUGCAUUGUUUCCUAUAACAAAUAUAAUAAAAUCUCAAUAAAUUAAUAGUUCUGGGACCAAUGAAAAAUUAGUUAAAAUUUAACGAAUAUCAAUUAGUCGAUAAGUUAAUAAAUUAUUAAUUUAUGAAAAUAUUCAUUAUUUUGGGAAAAAAAUGAUUACGUUUAUAGUAUUGAUUUACCUUGAGUUAGAAGCUAUUACGUUUUAUUUGAAUAGUAGUUUUCUUUUAAGAAGAUUUUUUAAUUAUAAAGACUAUUGUAUGAUUUUUAUUUUUCCAUGUUAGAGAUGAUAGUUCUGCUAUACAAGCUGUUUCGAUCAAAGGAUUAGAUGAUAUUGACAUUGAAUAAUUUUUUGUUGCAAAAUGACAACACCAAUUAGAAUUUCUUUUCGCAUUACAAAAGUAAAAAAUGAAAUCCAAUUCUAAAUUAAUUUACAAAGAAAUAAACUAUGCUGAGAAUAUAUUUUACACAAGCCAUAUAGACAUAUCAUAUGGAUUUUAUUUUAUACUAGGUAAUUAUUAAUCUAUGUAGUAAUAUAUUUCCUUCAAAAUGUACUAUUUGAUUUUGAAAUUAUUUUUUAAAAAUUUAAUAUCACAAUAAUAGUCAUGAUUCCAUCGGUUUGAGGUUUUUUUCUUUUUUUUGUUUAAGAAAAAAGAUGGGAAAAUAGCCAAAUGAUGAAAACACAAGCUAAGCAGAGCCAAUAAAUAGUGGAAAGUGAAUUACUGUCCUUGAACACGUUCUCUAAUAAUCUCAAUAUUCUACAUACAUUUUUGUAAAUUCGUGUCGCAUACAAAAGUCUUAUGGGUUUUGUUGCAUCAAUUCUUUGGUGAUUUAUCUUGUUUUAUUAUUUUACGACGCAAGAGUCCUCGAAGCAAUACAUUUGGAAUAAAACGAUUUAAUUUAUUUUUUGUUGUUAUUAACAAAAACUAUAUAUUAUUAAUUAAUCAACUCAUCGAGAUAUUGGUUUCAUUUGUAACAAGUAGCUAAUUGCUUAGUACAUUGUUGUACUUACUCGUUAUCAUAUCAAGAAGAACUUGUAAAUAAGAACAUAGACGUGGUACGCUGUGAUGUGAUAAAUUUAAUUCAAAUCUAAAUUAAGAGAUGAUUCAUAUAUAUAGGUACAUACCGAACAAAGAUAUUCAAACAUAAGCACUCCAUUUUAUGAUAUACCUAAUGAUAAUCGGUUUAUUGUCCAUAGGAAAUUGAGUGAAUAGAAACAGAUGUAGAAAGUCAAAAAGACGAAAAAGCGCACAUGACGAUUUAUAAAAUAAUAAAUUAAAUUUAUAUCGUUUUUAAUAAGUGUGAGAUUAUUUGCAUUUUAAAAUUUAUUUUGAAUGCUCUUAUUUUUUAUUACAAAACCUCAUAAUUCAAUUUACUAUUAAGAACAAUUCAAUAUAAAUAAAUAGAACAAUAAUACCUUUGACACCCACCUAGAGCGCACACACCCAUGUAAAAUUAUUAAACCUUAAACCGAAGAACGUUCUUCCUCAACAUUAAAACUCGUGCAUUAUUUAAAAGUAUAUUUAACAAAUUUUCACAAAGAGACUCCAUGAUUCUAAUUUCUUUGACUUACAUUUCAAUUUUUGUGGAAUAUAUAUCUAUUCCAUAUUAAGAGAUUCUGAAUUUUUCACUCGGCUGUCAAGGAGAUUGCACUGAAUAAACAACAGCAGAAAAACAAAUAAAAAACCUGAUACACAUGUAGAAUAUACUCAUUAAAUUUUAAUUUUCGGCACAAUUAUGAGCUGCAUAUUUACACACACACACAAAUAACUGUUCUGCAAAUAUGUACAAAGCAAUUUCAGCCAUCCAACUUUUUUUGGAAUUUUAAUGAAUAUAAAUUUUAUAAGUUGGACAACUAUGAAACAUAAAAUUAGCAAAAUGAUAUUAUUAACAAAUAAGGAGAGGAAAAGGUAAUUAUAUCUUGGUGUGCUAAAUAUUUUUAUGGGUGUAGUGAAAAAACUAAAGAUAAUGGAAGAAAUGUUAUUGAGGAGUAUUUUGAUAUUUACAAAAGUGUUCAAAGUGAAAAGUGAUUUCCUAAAAUCUAUUAACUAGUGCGCAUAAUAGAAGGGCAUUUUGAGAAAAUUUUAGAUUACAAAUAGUCCCAUCCUUUUAAUAAUAUUCUUCAAUCAAUCUGUUUAUUUCAAAAUAAAAAAUCCAUCUCAUUUUUACUUUCUAAUUAGUCAUAUUAAUGUGUUAAUAAUUACGAAGAACCAGUAUUAUUUGUAUGAUGUAGGAAGCCCUUUCGACACAAUAACCCAAAUUUCUAAGAGUAGCGGCUGGACUUGAUUGGGAACAACCUCGAUUCAGUUUAAAAGGUUAAUCUCAAAAUUUCGUGAUAUUGUGCCUAAACAGCUUCCUGCAUCCGUAUAACAGUUUCCAAAACUUAAUGAGUCCAAAUAUCCAAUGGUGAUGACACAUACGCAUGGAAGUCCCCUGAUUUGAGUUUGACUAAAAUAAUCUGAAUAAUUUAAAACAACACAUCAGGCCAAAGUCCUUAAGAGAUGAACUGGAUUUCGGUGCAUCACAUUCCGAAAUUGAUACUAACCUUAAUUGGGAAGGCAGAACAGCCUCUCUUUCCUACUAUUGCACAAAAUGGCAAGUCAAGCCAAUGCAAGGAACUUCCCUGUUUUUUUACUGAAAAAUACAUAAUCUGAACAAUUUGUAAUCAAAUAAAUCAUUCAAAAUAUCCUUUAAUCGAACCCCCGUUUCUAUGGUUUAAUAAAAUAUCACAAAGGUGCCUAAUACAGUGGAAUUAACACUCAGCUCAUGGGAUUGAAAUUAUAUAUAUUGAAACAGAAAUUAAUACAAGAAAUUGAAAAUUAGUUGACACUAGAUCACGUUGGAUCGUUAGUUGUUAAUUAUGAUGGAAAUAUAAUCUUGGUCUCUUAAUUAUCAUCUAGCUAACGCAUGUGCACUAGUUUCAAUUGUGUCUAUCACUGUAAACAGUAGAGUUGCUUGGUUGAAUAGUAUCAUAUUACAUCACAGAAACUCACUCAAUUUUCAUUGCCAUAUGUAUCUCAAAAGUGCAUGAACAUUGAACAUUCAGCUAACUUAUACCCAACAACAUCCAUCAGUCAAAGUGAAAACCCAAUUGAUUUCAUAAAUACAAAAGAGCAAGUUUCACACAUGCAUGCAUGUGUCUGACCAACACAACAUGGCUUGUGGCAAGGAUCAAUCAAAGAAAUAUAAACUUACAAUUUUAUAAAUGUUAAGUAGAUAAGAGCACCAGCUCGGCCAUGUCGUCAUCCCCACGCUGAGGUGGACCACCUCAGCCGAGUGGUACGAGCCGAACACUGGUAAUGAGCCUUCUACAAAUGGGCCGACCAGAGACGAGUACCAGCCAGAAGAGUAUACCGAUCAGAGACAUAUACCGAGCCGGUGCCCAUCCCCCAAAGAGCGGGAACACGAUCUCACAGAAUCACGCCAGUUGCGCUUUUCCCAGAACCGUUGAGGGAGACGCGAGAUCCCACGUUUGCCCACAAUGUAGCAGUUAGAAUCCCAUGAGGGGCUGCCACUACCCGAAAAAAGGGGACGGAGGGUGAAUGAAAACGUGGGACAGCGGCUAUAAAAGGGGAAGAAAUCGAUGAAGAAAAGGACAGAAAAAAGGAGAGAGGGGAAAACUCUGCCAAAUUGUAUCCAGACCCUUUUUUAGUACCAAUAGUGAGUCAAUUCUAGGCAAUUAUUUGAACCUUAAUUGCACCGUUUUCCCGUAAAUACUUUGUGCUAACUUAGGCAUCGGAGGGUUUACGCCGGCAAAACCACCGGCGUCUCUGACCCAUUUUUGUGAACGCAGGCUUAGUGAGAAAAAGAAGGAGAAGUCUAACUCUAGCAACUAGAGCGAUCGUUGAAGCAAGGAGAAAUUGACAUCCUCAUUGCUGAUAUUACAAACGUUGGUGUAAAGAUCUGGUCGGGCAUAGGACGAGCAGAUUUCGGCAUCAACAAUAAAGUAAGCAUCAAAAUGUUUGAGAAGUUUUAGAUUUGUAGAAUAUUGGGAAAACAGACAAAUAAUCAAUGAAGAAACUGCAAGUUAAGCAGAUCAAUUAAACAGAGGAAAUAACUGAUCAAUUCUUUGUGCAAUGGCCACAGCAAAUGUGAGGUUAUAAGUUGCUGAUGUGUUGGGCUUAAAUCCAAGAUUCGAAGAGUUCUGUGUGAAGACUGACUUCAGUUGGAGGGGUCUUAUUGUAAAUUUUAUGCUGAUGUGGCAGAGUUCGUUGAGAAUUCGUUAUGCCUUUUCCAGAAAUAUCAGAAUAAAAGGCGCUGGUGAUUAGCCCCUGAUCUGAGAUCAAUAUCUUCUUCAUUUCUUGUUCAUUUUGUUGGAAAUUUGGUUCUCUGUGAUCCUUGUAAUUGCCUCUUCGUAAUCAACCUGUAUCUCGAUUGUUAUGAUCAACAAAAGAGCAGUUUUUUCCUUCAUUGACUUGUGUACUUGAAACAGUGCUCUGUGUUCUAUUCUUGGAAUUGCUUUCGUGUUUGGUUGAUCUGGUUUGAUUCUUUCAAGUCCGAUUCAUCAAGUUCUUCACGAACUAACUUGUGUAGCCAUUAAAGUUUCAACAGCAACAGAUUAAAUCUGUCUACAAGGCUACAUUAAUCCUAAUGGCGUGGUACUAUCUUCAUGCAACAUUACAUUAACAUUUCAUCAUCAAUCAAUUUUGAAGAUAUGAUAUUAAAAACAUUGACUUCAUAAUUUUAUGUAAUUUCAUAUAAAAGAUGUAAUUGAUUUUGAGUUAGUUUAACAUAUAAAGAAAAAGUAAUAAGGAUUGAUAUCAAUGUGGCGUGUGAUGAGUAAUAAUAGACAGUAAAUAUUAAUCAUGCAAUAAUGAAACAUGUAUUUAUAGAAAAAUAUUUGGCAAUAAAAUGAUGCUAUAAAGUUUAAUAUUAGUUGCAAGAAAAAAAAAUUGGCAAUUAAGAUUAACAGAUACAUGUGCAAUGUUUCGAAACAUGUAUUUAUAGAAAAAAAAAAUUUCUUGCCAAUUAAGAUUAACAGAUUCAUAUGCAAUUAAGAUUAACAGAUACAUAUACAUAUGCUUCGAAACAUGUAUUUAUAGAAAAACAUUUGGCAAUAAAAUGAUGCUAUAAAGUUUAAUAUUAGUUGCAAGAAAAAAAAUUGCCCAUUAAGAUUAACAGAUACAUAUGCAAUGCUUCGAGUUUAUUUUAUCACUUCGGUAACGAUUUUGUAACUACAUAUUGAUUAGAAGUUCAAUUAAUUUUGACAAAAAACUCUGGAGAAAGUCGAAAAGAGAUUUGAUUUUUGUAUACAAAAAAAAAGUAAGAAAUGAAAAAGCCAAAAUCAAUUACAAGGACAACAAUGAAAGCAUAUUUUAUAAAAGGCACAGAUACAUAAUAUAAAUUUAGUUUUGAAUUACGUAAUUAUUAAUUUAUAUGGUAAGAGAGUCUUAUAGAAAAAUAGGAAUUUUUAAAAUAGAUUUGCUAAAGGAAAAAGUUUGGUAUAUUUUGUGAAGGCUCAAGUAAUUGAAAGCAAUACAAGUGAAGGAAACAUAAACUUCUAACUUUUACAAAGUAAUCGCUAAAAUAUUUGACAAGUUUGAGAUUUUAAAAAGGCCAGAAAAAUAGACAAUAAUGAAGACCCUACAAAUUGGCAGAACAAAUAAACAGAGGAAAACGGAGCAAAUAUUUACAUAUAUAUAUAUAUAUAUUUUCCAAAACCAAUGUUGCGAUUUCUUUUUGUAGAGCAAGUGAAUCCAAACACAAGCCAGAAUAAACGACAGCGUUUAGAGCAAGGGUUAAGAUUCGUUAUGAAGCCACGUGAGUAAGCUCGUGAUCUCCAUAAGUAAAACGACGCUCAGCCUUGCGUUUUGCUCAUAACAGACUUAACAGAGUUGCUCGUGCCAGUCACGUGUUCAUUUAAACUCUUCUGAAUCGGUUUAACGGCUGGACACGUGGGAAGCAGCUUUGCGUUCUGGGUUCGAAGUUUGUUAUUCUUCUGUUAUAUAAGCUCGUUGUAGUGUGAUUUCGAGGGUAUUCUAGAGUGUUGUUCAGUUAAGAGGAAGGUGAUCCUUGUGCUCUGUAAACUCAUCUCUGGAUACUUUGUUUUUUCUUGUUCACGAAUCAAUAAAAGCAAGCUGAACCACAUUAUCUCUGUGAUUUUGUCUCUGAUUCAUCUCUUUCUUUCUUCUUGAUUCUAUUUCUUGGAAGUUUAAGUCUGGUUUGUUGAAUAUUGAGUUGAUUCAGAUUCGGUUCUGUGCUUGUGCAUCUUGUGUUGGUCUCAUUCAAGAUCUUGGGCAGAGUCUUUGGUUUGACAAGUUAAUUAGAUCGUCCAAAGCUCUACGUUUUUUUUUUUUUUAACAAAAAAGAAGCACAGUCUGCUAUUAAUACUGUAGCAUGUUAGCUACUAUGAAAGCUCGUGUCUAAUUACCAAAUAAAUUCCACUUUAACAAAGAAUAGAAGCUAAUUUUAUUUUUUUCUUUUUGUUAUUGAAGUUACCUCGCAAACUGCUCGGAAGCUUAUUACAAAAUUUCCUUUUACUCUAGGAUCUCUUGAAUGGUCCUGCAAUUUGUAUUCUUUUAUGUGGGAUUGGUUUUUUCUUUAAACAAAACUUCACGGAUCAGAAACCUUACCCAUCGAAUACCAACUUUGAAAUUUAUUAUUAUUCAAACUUAGAAAACUGCAGAAACAAAGUGCCUUUAAACAAAUUUCAAGGAUAAGACAAAAUUAAAUAAGUUAAUUUCAUUGUUACUACAGAAACAAAGUGCCCUCAUAGCACCAGUUAAGCUGUGUCUUGCUACCAUGCUGGUUCUAUUUUUAGUUUAUUAAAUAUAUACAAAAUUAAAUCACCUGAGCCUCUAGUUUCACUAGUUUCCAACUUGAAAUUAAAACGCGAAAUUAAUGGUAUUGGAGUUCGUUAUUUAAUUUUGCUUUGGUUCAUGGGGAAUCAGAUGGCCAUCCAAUUUUAUGUCUAUUUUAUGUACUAUUGGCCACUAAGUAGCUUGCUUAUAUAUGUGUAUUGGGAUGUCAUAGGCCUUAAAGCUGAAAAUCAAUCCCCAAUCUAAAGUGAAAAACAGUAGCUAGAACAGAUUCUAUGUUUUGAUGUCUUUGUUUAUAAGCUCAAACAAAUUAGUAGUGUAUAGAAAAUGCAUGAUAGAACCCAAAACUCAUAUUGAUUUUUAGUUUCGAAAUUCAUUUCAGAAAAUCUGUUCCGUUCAACAGAUUUAACUAAAUUAUCAACUAAACUCUAGCCAUGUACUUGCUUAUCUAUGGGUAGAGCACUAGGUCAACAAAGGAGUCCAUCUUUAAGGCCUUGUCUAAGACUGUGGUUGCCUUUUUCAUGAGCUUCUGGCUUUCCAGCUUGCUGAGCGACGUACACAUAAAGAGGUUAUCCUUCUCUUUUUUUCUUUGUUUUCAUAUCACAGAAUCCAUUUUUGAAUAUAUGUAUUUAGGUACACACACACAUGAAUAUAUAUGCAUGUUUUUAUGAGGAUAUUCAAGUAUAUUAUUUGACAAUCACAAAAACAACGAUCCACUCCAAUAAAUCUCAUAACAAAUACAUGCUCUAUCUUUUUAGGACUAAUUCAAAGAGAAAAUACGAAGGACACAUAAUUGAAUUUUGUCCAUGAUAAAGAACUCUAAACAAAUUCAUAAACUUAUUGCAGUACCUGUUAAAAAUUCAUUUGUUUCUUCUUUUCCUUUGAUCAACAGCUAAAUACAGCCUUGAAAUUUCAUUUAGUUUUGGUUAAUUUUCUGUGGAGUUGUGUUGUGUGUAAUAGUUUUGUUUCACGAAAUCGGUAGGGGAAGAGAAUUUUUAAAAGCAUAUCAAUGUAAUGAUCAAAGAGACGAAAUCAAUACAAAUAUUGAUUGUCUCAAGUUAGAUUAUACAAAGAAGAAAGAAGCUAAUCUAGCAAUUCAAUCAUAAUAAUUUGAUUUCCAUUAUAUUAAUUAUGUGCAAUCAUGCUAUUUUAAUAAAGAACACUCGAGCAUUUAUAAAUAGUCAACUUAUGAAAUUAAUUACAAAACAAUCUUUCGCAGAGUUUGAUGAAAAGACUGUGUAUUGUGUUAUCUUGAGGUCUUAUAUCAAUUAAAGCCAGGCUGCGCUUUGGCUGACAGCGAGAUAUAUCCAAACAUAAGUGCUGCGAAUGAACUGGGAAGACGGUAGGAAGAUUAAGCUGCUGAGGAGAAGAUAUAUGCAAAAGAAAUAAAGCUAAUCUGUUUUUAUGUAACAAGCUAUGUACUCUGCUUUUAUGGUCUUUCUCUUUGCGGUUGUUAGACAAACUUGAACGUAAGUUUCUAUCUUAUGUGUGUCCUAAUCCUUUUAGAUAGCUUGAGAUUGUUGAUUUAUAUAUGACGUUUGGUAUCCAAAAUUCAGAUGAUGAUAAUCUUGGCAGUACUUUUAUAAAAUUUUCUUUUGUGUUGGUGUUGACUUAAUAAAAUAUUACAAAGGUGCCUAAUAUAGUGAAAUUAACAUGAGCUCAUGAGAUUGCCGUUAGAUAUAUUGAAAAAGAAAUUAAUGCAAGAAACUGAAAAUUAAUUGAUACUAGAUCAGGUUGGAUAGUUAGUUGUUAAUUAUUGUUAAGUGUGAACCAGAAUUCAGUGUGCAGGGCAAACAACAAUGUCGACCAUCAGACUUGGCAGAAGACUACAUGUCCAAUAAAAGCUGAUCAGGGCUGUACGACAACCUUCCCAUGUCAAUCAGAAUUCGUAAAGUAAUGCACGUGUGUAACACGUGAUCUCCUAAUAACAUAUUAACUGAAACGGCAACUUUUUUUUUUGAAAAGGCUGAAACGGCAACUUACUACUGUCGUUUUGGGAUAUAUAUGUUACGCACACGCUCAGCACAAGGGGGAUUGGUUACCAGUUAAAAGAAGCGGGAAAAUUCUGGGGUUAACUACUUAACUGUAACAAACCCAGAAUGAUUUGCAGGCUUCUGAGAUAGGUUUCUAGGAGCUUCAAAGCUUGUAUAAAAAGGGUCCUGAUGACUGAAGUUGAGAGUGGUUUUUUCCUUGUAAUCUCUGAAAAGGCUUGAGCCUUGUUUCCUGCAUUAAUAAAUAAUCAUAGCCCUGUUUCUCAAAGAGGAUGUAGGCUGUAAUGGCUGAACCUCUAUAAAUCCUUUCUGUGUUUUUUCUUUCUCUGUUGUGUGUUUCUAUUCUUGUUUUAGAUUGUAUUGAUUCCUAAUAAAACUGUUAAUCAUUCUUCAUACUGAAUUUUAUUAAAUCUCUUCUUCUCUUUUGAAUAAAAUUUCUUUAAAAUUCAAUUCAUAAAAAAGAAAAUCUCCUUAUAAUUUAAUAUGUUUCAGUUGUCUCAGUGGAAUGAUGCUAUUUGUUUCAAUCAAAGUUUUGAAGCAUCCUAAAAUUUUGAGAUCCAAAUGAAAAUAAAUUAAUUUAAUUCGUGGUGUACUCUAAAUUUUCAGCUAUAAAAAAAUAGCGAAAUUGAAGUGCACUUGGGCAAGAAGAAACAGAGACUGCGAUUAUACAAUUUCAGUGUUUGACUCUAUCGGCAAAAAAAGAAAAUAAAAAAGAACUCCCAUUGUUCCAUUGUUUUUCCCAUAAAUAAUAAUAUACAGAGAAUUUUGUUUAACGAGAGAUAUAAUAGGUAUUUAGGUGAGUUUAUAGCGUAAAUUUUAAAAUUUUAAAAUUUAAUAAUGGAUUUAAUAAGUAAUUGGGUUCAAAUAGUAUUUUAGUGGUUUUAAAUAGCCCCACCCUUUUUAUUUUUAAAAAAGAUUUAAUUACAAAAAUAUUACUUCCAAUCGACAGCAUUUUAUAUUUUAUUUUAUUAAAUAUUAUUUUAUUUUUGAAUUACUAAUAAUGCACAAAACGGCAUCAUUUAUUGAUAUUUUUAAAUUGUUUAAGAUUUGUUUAAUUAGAAAAUUUCCAUUGUUGAUAUUUAAAUAAUUUUAAAAAAUAAAAUAAUAAAAUUGGUGUCGUUUAGUUUUGUUAAAUAUACUAAGGGCUCGUUUGGUAUGCCGGAUUGGAUUGGAUCAGAUUGGAUAAGAUAAAAUUGGAUUGGAUAAUAAUGGAUUAUAUAUAAUACUAUAUUGGGUUUGGUCCAAUUUUAGAUUGAACUAUAAAUAAUCAUCUCUUAUAUUAUAAUAUUAUAAUUUACAAGUUAUUAUUAUUAUUAUUAAUAAUAUAAACUAAAAUUUUGUAUUAUUAAUUAUACAAAUCAACCUCAAUGAUAUUAAUGAAAUAUAAAUCAUAAUUUAAAUAAUUUUUAUUUUUUUAAAUAUAUUUAUGAUAUUUUUAUUAUUUUUAUUCAAUAAUCUAUUAUUUUAUAAAAAUUUAUAUUUGUGAAUAUUAAUUUAAUAAUAAUUUAUAAUGUAAAUUUGAAAUUAUAAAAAUAUUUAAUAAAUAAAUAAAUUAAAAUAAAAUUUUCAUUCAAUGUGAAAUUAAUAAUGAUUUUUAGUAUAAUUUAUUAUUAAAAUUAUUAAAAUCAAUAUUUUUUAUUACAUUUAUCACAUAUUACUAUAAUUUUAAUAUUUAUAAAUUAUUAUGUUUAAUUGAAUUAUUAAUAUAAUCUAAUACUAACUAAUCCCAUAGUCCCCUUGAAAUAAUUUCUUUUACAAAAUUGAAAUUAGCUUUGGGGCUCACGAUAAAUAAAUUCUAAUACUUUUGACAGAACUAAAUAUAGGAAUAGGAUAAAAUUUUAACAAAGAGUUUAAUCUCCACUUUUAAUCCUCCUCCAACCAAACAUGCCCUAAGCUAACGGAUCAUGGCAAAUUUGUAGUAAGUGAUGAACGAUUUGAUAAGCUCUACUCCAUCAGUUCCUUAAUUGAGAAAAUUCCCAAGCCCGUGCAGCCUCACAAUUGAUAGAGACCCGAAGCCACCAAACUCGACAAUCAUCACUCAACGUCGUUGCAGGCUACCGGUCGCUCAACAAGCACCAGUUCCUCACUCUACAGCCAUCACUCAAGCGCUGCCAUUUCCUGUUAAUUAUUCGCUCGAAUUAGGGUUCUGAUAUUUGGGGAUUUUUUCUUAAUUGUGGAAUUAUGAAGUAAUGAUGAUGACGACGAAGAUGUGGUGGUUGACGACGGCAAAGGCAACGUUGAAUAUUGAGGCACUGGAGAAACAAGCAUUGGCUAUUAUCUUGGUCGAUUUGCCUCGAAUUGAUCACUAAAAAUGGGGAUAUCGUGGGCCGAGCUUCAACGCAGUCGCAAAUUUCAUUUGGAUAACUGAAUUUUAUUUUAUUUUUGUGUUUAAUUUGUUUAAAGUUUAAUUGUUUAGAUCUAGGCUAAAUUUUAAUGAUCAUUUUUAUGAUUAAAUGACAUGAGUAUGCUUAAGUUUUUUUCCUUCAAAUUGAUUUUCUGAUGUUACAUUUUGUUAGCAAAAAGUUAAAAAAUAGUAGAAACUGUCUGAAUUUUUGUUAUGAAGAUGUUGUUUUAGUUUGAUAUUGGGAAAAUAUCAUUAUACAUAUUGCCAUCAUAUUCAUGGGAGACCAAAAUGGGAAUGAUGGCAGGCUAUGCAUUGCUCACAACUAAUUUAAAACUCACUAUUUCUGUUUUUGGUGUUUUAGUAAUUCUGGGGGCAUUCCAACUAUAAUUAAUAAGCUAUAAACUUGUUUAGUAAUUACUAAUCAACUUGCUAGAAAGAGUCACAAACUAAUUAGCUUUCUCUUGUAAUUUUUACAGAUCAUCAGUGGAUAAGAACUACAAGGAGUUGAAGACUUAAAGAUAAGAACUACAAGGAGUGAAAACGNNNNNNNNNNNNNNNNNNNNNNNNNNNNNNNNNNNNNNNNNNNNNNNNNNNNNNNNNNNNNNNNNNNNNNNNNNNNNNNNNNNNNNNNNNNNNNNNNNNNNNNNNNNNNNNNNNNNNNNNNNNNNNNNNNNNNNNNNNNNNNNNNNNNNNNNNNNNNNNNNNNNNNNNNNNNNNNNNNNNNNNNNNNNNNNNNNNNNNNNNNNNNNNNNNNNNNNNNNNNNNNNNNNNNNNNNNNNNNNNNNNNNNNNNNNNNNNNNNNNNNNNNNNNNNNNNNNNNNNNNNNNNNNNNNNNNNNNNNNNNNNNNNNNNNNNNNNNNNNNNNNNNNNNNNNNNNNNNNNNNNNNNNNNNNNNNNNNNNNNNNNNNNNNNNNNNNNNNNNNNNNNNNNNNNNNNNNNNNNNNNNNNNNNNNNNNNNNNNNNNNNNNNNNNNNNNNNNNNNNNNNNNNNNNNNNNNNNNNNNNNNNNNNNNNNNNNNNNNNNNNNNNNNNNNNNNNNNNNNNNNNNNNNNNNNNNNNNNNNNNNNNNNNNNNNNNNNNNNNNNNNNNNNNNNNNNNNNNNNNNNNNNNNNNNNNNNNNNNNNNNNNNNNNNNNNNNNNNNNNNNNNNNNNNNNNNNNNNNNNNNNNNNNNNNNNNNNNNNNNNNNNNNNNNNNNNNNNNNNNNNNNNNNNNNNNNNNNNNNNNNNNNNNNNNNNNNNNNNNNNNNNNNNNNNNNNNNNNNNNNNNNNNNNNNNNNNNNNNNNNNNNNNNNNNNNNNNNNNNNNNNNNNNNNNNNNNNNNNNNNNNNNNNNNNNNNNNNNNNNNNNNNNNNNNNNNNNNNNNNNNNNNNNNNNNNNNNNNNNNNNNNNNNNNNNNNNNNNNNNNNNNNNNNNNNNNNNNNNNNNNNNNNNNNNNNNNNNNNNNNNNNNNNNNNNNNNNNNNNNNNNNNNNNNNNNNNNNNNNNNNNNNNNNNNNNNNNNNNNNNNNNNNNNNNNNNNNNNNNNNNNNNNNNNNNNNNNNNNNNAAACCUUUAACCCCUAAACUUUUUUUUUUUUUUUAAAAGGCCAAGGGGGUUUCCCCCCAAUUUGGGGGAAAGAGUUUUCUUUUUUUUUUUUUGGGUUUCCCCCCCCCCCCCCCCCCCCCCCGCCCCCCCAAAGUCAUUUUUUGUUCUCUACUCCAUUGUAAAUUUGUAUUCAAAAGUCUUUUUCUUUGUCUUUAGUUUUUAAAUUUAUGGAGAUGAUCUUAUGAGGUCUUAAAUAAAUAGUUGUAGAGCUUUACUAAAACUAUGUACAAUCUUAUUGAGAUUUGGGUGUGAUUUUGUAAGAUUGCUAAAAAAUUCAUAUUUGGUAUUUGUUUUAUUUUCCUAGUCGAAUUUCUUGCUUGUAGAAGAUAAAAGAAAAGUGCAAUUUCAUGUUGCAAUAAUUUUUUUUCCUUCCCUCUUUUUCUUCCCAUAUAGUCUGGCUCUGGAUUUGGUGCAGUUGAUGGUUUUAAUACAGUGAACCAAUUUCGUCAGAAUCAUCUUAAAGGAUUAAAGUGGCUUCCUUUUGCAACUGGGUAAGUCAAUGUUACUUCCUGAAUUCAGUUUGGAGUUCUUUCGGAAUAGAUUUCCUUCCCUUACAUUACUUAGCUUCUAGUUGCAUCUUCUUGGCCUUCUCCAGCUGACUUUCCUAUUGGCAAAUUCCUUCGCUUCUAUUGUUUUCAGGUGCCAGUGCUGGAUUUGGAGGUAUGAAUCAUGCCUUCAUUUUUACUUUUUAUGAUUAUUUUUUUAAGGUGUAUGGUACUGUAAUAUAGUUCUUUGUAUAGCUAGUACAAAGUAGUUCUUUAACUUCUUACGUUCGGCUAUAAUGGUCUUGACAUAUGAUAGGGCAGCUCUAUCACCAAUUGACGUGGAAUGAGAAAUAGGAGACAAAUGGGAUUAGAAAAAUAAGAAACAUGACAAAAAUAAAAAUCUAAUCUACUCAUAUAAGCAACUCAUCAAAUAAGUGUAUCACAUACUUAAGUGAAUAACAAUCUGUAAUUUCCACGAAUCAAAGUAAAAUUAUAAUAUUCUUUAAAUAAGACUCAUAAGCUUGUUAGGUGUUAUAUUGAAUCAUCUAAGUUGAAUAAUCUUUUGGGUCGAAUAUUUAAUUUCUUAUUCCAUACGUUUCAGUCUCUCAAUAGUUGAAUUAGCAAUGAAAAUUUGAAAAUGGAAAAAUCCAAUGCAAUUAUUUUAGCUGCUUAUCAUAGAUAAGAAUUUCAAAUUUGACACUUUAUUGUCUGUUGUCAAAUUCAUAAAGUAUGAACCUGCAUUAGUUUAGUUCUCUAAUAUUUAUAAAUAAGUAAUACUUGAAUUAAGAUGAAAGAAAAUUGAAAAGUAGAGUUGCUUGAUUGAAUAGCGUCAUAUUUUACAUCACAGAAACUCAAUUUUCAUUGCCAUACGUAGCUCAAAAGUGCAUGAACAUUUAAAAUUCAGCUAACUUAUACUAAUUAAUUAAUACGAGUCUCAGUUCUUACUUCUUAGUACUUGGCAACAUCCAUCCAUAAGAGUGAAACUCCUAUUGAUUUCAUAUAUACAAAAUAAAUAACUUACAAAGGCAAUAUAUACAAUCACGACAAAAACACCAAUUCACUCCAAUAAACAACAUAGCAAAUACAUGGUCUAUAUUGCAAGUCUUUUUACUAUUUUAAUUAAAAGAGAAAAUACGAAGGACAUAUUAUAUAUAAUUGAAUAUUAUCCUUGAUAAUUAGACAAAAUAACACUAAUCUAGCUAACUAAUCCAGUCAUCAUAAUAAUCCGAUUUCCUUUAUUUAAUUAUGUCCAUUGAUGCUAUUUUAAUAAAGAAUACUGAACACUUAAGUAUUUAUAUGCUCAACAACUUCGGCCACGUUUGAAAAGAUCAUAUUAAUUAUUAAUAUAAAGAAAAUAACCCUACAAGGUACAUAUUACAUAUGCAUGUAGUUGCAAUAAAUACAUAAUAAUAAAGAUUGUAAAAGUUCAGGGCCAUUAAUUCAACAAUUACUAAACCAAUAUCCCAAUAAUUGUUUGAUUACUAAUCUUAGCAUUAAAAGAUCUGCAAAUUUUAUUCGGCCAAAACAAAUGCUUCCUUAUUGCUUCCUUGAUCUUAUCCUGCCUGGUGAUUCCUGAAUGUCCUUCCCAUUCUGAUAUGCUGAGUUGUUUGCUGAUUAUAAAUACAAAUCACCUUAAAUUUUCUUAGUCUUGUUCUUCAUGCGAAAUUCUACGUAAUGGCUUAGUUGGUUUAAAUUCUUCUUUUUUCUUUGAAUUGUUGAUUUGUAAUGUUCUUCUCGCUCUCACAUGUGGCAUUCUGCACUCUUCCAAUGCUAUUUCUUGUUAUGGCAGCAGAAUUCUAUAUUUUCUCCCAGUUUCUUUUGUAAAGACUUCUAAAGAACCAUCCAAUGGAAGUUAGAUUAUACAUGGAAGAAUAAAUAAUGCUAAUCUAGCAAGUCCAAUGGUAAAAAUUUGAUUUUCAUUAUAUUAACCGUGUCCAAUCAUGCUAUUUUAAUAAAGAACACUUGAAUAAUAUUUUCAUGUCCAGCAUGUAAAAUUUCAAAACAAUUUUUGCCAAAGUCCUCCUCGGCUAAAUUAAUUUAUGCAUUAAUAAAGUCCUCCUCUUCUAAAUAAUACAAAACCUGUUACGUUGUUCUACCAUUUUUUUUUUUAAAAGCAUUCUACUAUUUAAUAAAAGAAUUCGAAAACUCGUUCUAGACAUACACCGAACCAUAUUAAUUUAAAACAGUUUUCAACUGAGAUUUGAAAUUACACACACAAACACACCGAGUCCUUUAUAUAAAGUGCUUUUAAUAAAUUAUGGUCGGUUUACUAUUAAUUAAUCAAAUUUAAUUUACUCAAAUUACUCCUGUACACGAUCAAAAUAAUAUCAAUUCUAUGAUAUAUAUAUACGUGCACAUACAUACAAAAUGUAAAUAACUUUCAAAUAUAAAAUAUUUAAAAUAGACGAAAUAACUUUCAAAUGUUUAUUGUAUUUUGAUGGGUUUUUGAGGAUGGUUGUAUGUAUUAGCAACAACAAGGUGCUUUUUAUAAAUCCGGGUCCUAAUUUUGUAAAAGAAAUUAAUACUCUCGGUUUAUUGUUAAUAAAAAAGAAAAAAGAAAAAGCAUUUUUCUGUGGCAUAUAUUAAGCAUUUUAAGAAAAGAAAAAAUUACAUUCCAAUUCAUGAAAGACAUUCCUUCUGUCAUAUUGAUGUGUUAAUAGAAAGAUCUAUGUAAAUUAUAACAAUUUUGAUGAAUCUAAAUAUUUAAUAACCGAUAAAUUAUAUUUAUAAAUAUUAAUACCGGUGGCACAUAAGCACUUAAUUCAAGAACUCGCCUAUAGUGCAUUAAUUUAAAGAGUAGAAAUAUUUAAUAAAUCAUGCCCGCUUUACUAUUAAUUAAUAAAAUUUAAUUUACUCAAAUUACUCCUCUACAUGAUCAAAGUAAUUUCAAAUAUACAACACACAAAAUGUAAAUGAUUGAAAUAUAAAAUAUUUAAAAUAAUCACCCCACUAACAAUUCACCACAAAGAUUAUAAAUAGUCGAAAUAAUGAUAAUCUAAGGGGUCCGGUCAUAAUAAUUUAAGUUUUAUUUAUAUUAAUUAUAUAAAAAAGAGUACUCGAGAUUAUAUAUAUCCAACAGCUAAAAUUUCAAAACAAUAUUUGCCAAAGUCUGAUGAAGAGAAUACAUAUAUAUAACAUGCACUUGCACACAUUCUAUUGUUUAAUUAAAAAAUUCGAAAGCCCAUUAUAUACAUGAUAAAGACUUACCGACACCGAACCAUAUUCAUUUAAAGGAAUUGUUUUCAACUGAGAUUUGAAAUUUUUUUUUUUGAAAAGAAACUUCUAUUAAUUCUGAGAUGAUAACAGAUACAUGACUUGUAGAGGGUAUGAACCCUUCCAUACAACAGUUUCGCAUUUCUCUAAAGCUAGUUUAGCUAGAGAAUGGGCAAUGGCAUUGCAAGAUCUAUGUGUAUACACACAACUAACAUGAUCGAAGCUUUCUUUCAAUUUCUGAAUUUCCAAUACUACCCAAUAGAUCUCGGAUCUGCUGCCCUGACUGUUGUUUACUAAACAAACUACUUCUUGCGAGUCUGACUCCAAAAUUACAUCUGUCACAUGUGCAUCUUUUGCCACCUGCAAGCCCCAUUCCAUAGCUUCUGCCUCGGCAUAAGCUACACUUCCAUGGAAUUUUGAGACCUUGAUCGCAGCUGCUGUCACUUGCCCCGUUUCAUCUCUAAUCACAGCCCCCAGCCCAGCAAGAUUCUUUUCUGAGUUGGUAGCGGCAUCAGUGUUGAUCUUAACAAAACCUUCUUGAGGGGGAUUCCAUCCCAGCUGCGCCACUUUCUGCUGCUUUCCAUGGCUUACAGCAACUGAAGGCUGCACUCUCUUAUAAGCCUCCAUCACAGCUUCAGCUUUAGCCACAACAGAUUGGGGGUUCUCUCGCUUGCCUUUGAACAGCCAUUGGUUCCUUGCAUUCCACUUUGCCCAGAGAAUCGCGGCAAACAAAUCUACAUCAGCUUUGCUUCUCAAUCUUUUCACGCCAUGCAACAAGCUCAAAACAUCCUGCCCAGGGGCUGCUUGAAUAUCAUUAUCAAAAAGGGAUAGUCUCCAAACCUUCUUGGCUGCUUUACAAUCAACUAAGGCAUGAAACAAAUUCUCUAUUCCCAUUUUACAAAGCUGGCAGGUAGGCUCUUGGACAAUCUUCCUCUUCCACAAAUUCUCAGCUGAAGGAAGUAAGUUUUUGGCUGCCCUCCAAACAAAAAUUCUGAUCUUCUUCGGCAAAGCAAGAGACCCAAUUUUUUCUUUUUUAAAAAAAUUACUAAUAAUAAAAUAUUUCAGUCGUCCUCUGUUCGGCUGUCAAAAACCCAUUAAGAUCGAUUUGAACAGAAGGUAUAUGGGUUAACAAUCCUCCAUCCUUUCUGCACUUCUCUUCCAUCAACGGACAGCGAUAGAUACUUAAUUGCAAAAGUGAGGAAGGCAGGCCCUUCUCCGGAAAGUAUUUGAGCUUGGGACAAUCCACGAGAUUCAAGUGGGUGAGGUUUUGAAGAUCAACAAUUGAAGAAGAUAGGCGUUCCAGAUUUGGAAAAUCUACAAUCCUCAGAGAUGUUAGAGAGGUAGGAAGAGGAAGCGCGGUCCCUAAUCUUUUGUCCUCUAGUGGAAAUGACACCAUGUCGUCAUCACAUCCUUCGAUUGUAAGAUGUCGCAGAGAGGAGAAUCUAUGAAAUCCCCGACCCCGCUCAAUCAUUGACUUCCAAAUCUCCAUAUUACCCCAAAUAUGAAGUGAAUGAAGGUUGGUGGGAAGGCCAUCUUCUUCAAGGCUUGGAAGCUCAACUCCUCUUCCUAUUGUUAAUUCUUGAAGAGAGGUCAGAUUGUGCAAUCCCUUGGGUAAGGCCUCCAGUCUCUCACACCCAUAGAUCCUGAGCUUACUCAGUUUCGCACAAGGCAAUCCCCCUUCGGGAAAGGACA
rnacentral:lncRNA from 1 species